GUUUAGGGUUUAGGGUUUAUACUAGUUAAACUAGUUUAGGGUUUAGGGUUUAUACUAGCUAAACUAGUUUAGGGAUUUUAGAGUUUAGGGUUUAUACUAGUUAAACUAGUUUAAACUAGGUUUAAACCUAGAAACUUGCUAAGAUAGAGUAUUACUUGCAAUGUGGGUUGCUGUGGCACGGGGGAAGGCUCGGUGGGUCGACAGCGACCGGCGGCGGCGACGUCGGCUGGGGUGGCGGCGACUGGCGGUGGCGAUGACGGGGUGCGGCUCUUCGUUGGAGCGGGAUAGGCAGAGAGGGAGAGAGAGACAGAGAGAUAAGAGAGAAAGAGAGCGAACAGUGAGGGAGAGGUGUCGGGGCUCCGGGUAUACCUAGGUAAGACAGUGAAUUGUUCACCGUCUUCAUUAAAAACAGUGAAGACGGUGAACGAUUCACCGUCUUACCUUGGCCCACCUCAGGUUACCAAUAAAGACGGUGAACAGUUCACCGUCUUUACUCCACCACAAAUAAAACGGUGAACUAUUCACCGUCUUAUCUGUGUUUUAUGUCUCCAGGACUUGGCCAAAGUUGUCUCCAGGACUUGGCCAAAGUUGGGGGGUGUGGUCGCUCUAAAGACGGUGAAUAGUUCACCGUCUCAUGAAGGCGGUGAACCAUCCACCGUCUUCAUGAGAAAUGCGCAUAGACGGUGAACGAUUCACCGUCUUUACGAGAAAAAUCCAGGCUGGCGCCGACAUGGCGAAAGGAGGGUUAGUUUUACAAAUAAAAUUUUCAGAGGGUUAUUUGGCCAAAUAUAAAAUUCUAUAGGGUCAGUUUAAAAAAAAGUCCGGCAGUGGAUCUUCAAACACCGCGAUGGGGACAUUGAUUUGGUAUUUUCUGUUGCAGUUUAAUUGGGUGUUUCCAAUUUGCCAAGCAUAUCGGUUUUUUUCGUAUUUUUAUUUAGCAGUGCUGCCGGUACAAUCCCACAGCGGGUGUAGAUACUACAACCAGUAAAUUCAAUGGUUGAGAAUAAUAGAUUUUUUUUUAAAAAAAUAAUGACGGGUGAUGCUACUGAUACAACCCACAUAGGGUUGUACAUUCUACAACCCACAUAUCUAGGGGUUGUUUGGCCUAGCUAUUCAAAAAUAAUUCUGAGCCCAAAAUUACUUUUGAUCUCAGUAGAGCAUUUGGAAAUGACAUUCUGAAAAUCCGAUUCUGUUUUCUAUAAUCAGAAAACUAAUUUUGAAGGCUUCAAAAUUAAAAGCAGAAAAAAACUGUUUCUCCAAAACUGAUUCUGAUUUUGAACUCAAACUUCUAAUUUUUAUUUUUAUUUUAGAUUCAAAGUAUAAAUUUAACAUUAAAUUUAAAUUUUGAAAUUUUAAAUUCAUAUUUAAAUUUUUAAAUCUCAACUUUUCAAAUUUAAAAUUUAAAAUUUAGAUUUAAAAAUUUUAAUGAUUUAAGUUCAAUCUCAAAUUUUAUAAAUUAAUAUCAAAUUUUAAAAUUUAAAAAUUCAAAUUUUAAAUUUCAAAAAUCAAAAUUUUAAAUUUAAAAUUUUAAAAAAUUUUAAAAUUUAAAUUUCAAAUUUCAAAUUUCAAAUUUUCAAAUUUCAAAUUCAAAUUUCAAAAUUUAAAUUUAAAAUGUCAACUUUUAAUUCAAAUUUAAAAAUUUUAAUUAAAAUAAAAUUAUAAUUAUUUUAAAAAAUAAAAUUUAGUAGAAAUAUUAAUAUAUGCAAAAUCAAAAUUUUUUUACCAAACAGUUUUAGAAAAUCAUUUCAGAAAAAUCACUUAUUUCUAAAUUCAACCAAAGGCUCUACAGCUUUUAACCAAAAUCAAUUCUCCAAACUAAAAUCACUUUUACAGAAAUCACUUAUCCAGAAGCUAGGCCAAACAGGCCCCUAAAGGCUAAAAAAAUUUUGCUUCUGAAAAAAAAAAAAAAUUAGUAUUAACCUCACUCCCCUUUUUUGGCCCCUCACUCUUUCCCUCUUUUUUACUUCUGUGGCCUGCAAGCUAGAGAGAGAGAGAGAGGCCUGCGAGCGAGCGAGCGAGAGAUAGGAGAGCUCGAGCGAGAGAGGGGCGAUGGUGCGAGAGAGAGCGAGAUCAGCGGCUCUGUGCAAGAAACAGAGAGAGAGAGAGAGAGGCAGAGAAAGUGAGAACGAAGCUGGAUUCUUCCAACAAACUAGAUUCUACCAGCUCCUCCCUCCUCUUUUCUCCGUCUCUGCGAGAAACAGCGGCUCUGUGUGAGAAACAGAGAGAGCGAGAUCAGCGGCAAAAUUGAUCGACAUGGCUCACCCGACAACGAUUCCUACACCGCCACAUACACAAUCAGGUAUGAGAUGUCUGAUUCAAACACUCGGUGGAAGAUAACAAAGGGAGCAAUUCUGAGAUCAUUGAUUACAACUGUUCUUUUUUCUGUAAAUAAUAAUCCUAUUAGUUAUUAAAAUAUGCAUCUGCUUUGUUGUGGUCAAAGUGCCUAAGCUAGCCCGAUCACUAUCCAAUAUUUAGAGUUUUAUUCCCAAAUGAUAUUAUGAUUUGUUGUCUAUUGGUGAACUGAUGUUGUGUUUUAGUUCUAUUUAUAGUGCUUUAUGUAAGAUUCAGUUGGUAGAUGCUUAGCUAAACACCCUAAUAGAGUGCAUUGAUUGAGUAAUAAAGUUGGUAUAAAUUUUGUGCUUUGAAAUAUCCAUGUUGAAGAUUACGUAUAAAUUUUUUUUAGUAUAAAUUUUUUCCUUUAAUUUGAACGCAUUUUGCCAUUUGAGCUAAUUAAGAAGUCAUUGCUUCAUUUGAACUCAUUGAUUCACUUAAUUUUUUAAUAUUUUGUAGCAAUUUUUGAGUAAAUUAAUAAUUUUUAAUUAUGAUGAAUUAUUUGAUUAAUUUUAUCAUUGAUUUGGACUAUGAUCUACUAGUUAACAGAUAAUGUAUUUUUAGGGUAUAGUAGAAUGUGGUGUAUACAUUAUUAAUUUAGAUGUAUAGAUUUUGAUAAAUAGUUUGCCUGCUCACCAUUAUUCCAAUUUUGUAUUUCGACUGCAUAUGAUGUCUUACAGGUGAGCAAUUUUGUUAAAUGUCUGGGUUGACUGAUUAUUUGAAUUGAAAAUUUUUGAGAUAGAUGAAGAAAGAAACAGUGAGGUCAGAGAUAUAAAUAUUUCGACACUAAAAAUUGGAAUGUCUUUUAUCAAUUUUGAAGCCGUUUUUAAUUUCUAUAAGCAUUAUGCACAAGAAAUAAGAUUUGGAGUUGUAAAGAGGUCAACAAAAAUGACUGAUGGUAAGGCUACAUAUAUAUACUAAUCGCAUGCUCUCGUCAUGAAAAAAUGCAUCGGACCGUGACGAAUCUUUGUUCUCGUCCAGCGGUAGUGAAGACGAACUGUCUUGCGAGGAUAAAUGUAGUAAUAAAUGUAGAUUCAUCUUGUAUAAUAAGCAAAAUUAUACUUGAGCAUAAUCACGUCCUAAGUCCUUAUAAGUCUCGAUUUUUUUCCUGCAAUCGAGUUAUAAAUCCAAGCGUCAAGAGGCGGCUUGAUCUUAAUGAUCGUGCGGGAAUCAGAUUAAAUAAAAGUUUUAAUUUUAUUGCUGUUGAGGCUGGUGGGUAUGAAAACUUAAUAUUUGGAGAGAAGGAUGCUCGUAAUUAUAUUGAAAAAGUCCGUCGGUUACGACUUGGUGAAGGUGAUGGCGAAACAAUUUGUAAUUAUUUUAGAGAAAUGCAAGAGAGAAAUGGAAACUUUUUUUAUGCCAUAGAUCUAGACGAUGAUUUUCGGCUUCGCAAUGUCUUUUGGGCAGAUUCUCGGAGUAAAGCGGCGUAUGAAUGUUUCGAAGAUGUAAUUACUUUUGACUCGACAUAUCUAACAAAUAAGUACGAUAUGCCAUUUGCUCCUUUCGUUGCUGUUAACCAUCAUGGAUAGUCGAUCUUGUUGGGAUGCGGCCUACUCUCCACUGAAGAUACAGAAUCGUUUGUAUGGCUCUUUCGGAAUUGGUUGUCAUGCAUGUCCGAGCGUGCCCCCAAAGCAAUAAUCACAGAUCAAGAUAAAGCGAUGCAAAAUGCUAUCGCACGUGUCUUUCCUGAUACUCGGCAUCGAUGGUGCUUAUGGCACAUAACAAAGAAGAUACCGGAGAAGCUGCAUGUAUGUGAAUGCUUGUAAUAGCAUUAGUUGUUUAUGUUUUGGGUACUGAAAUUCAUUCAACAUACAUGAUCCAACAAGCGAUGAUACAAGCACCACAAGUGCAAUACAAUUAAGAGCAAGAAUCACAAGUAACAUACAAAUGAAAUAAAGAGAGAUGCAUCUAGCUAUUACAUCACAUUUAACCUUUACAUAUUGGUUUAUAUUUUCAUCUUCCAAAAUGAAUACACAUUCUUCUCAUAAUACAAAAUGGCUCUCCAAAUACAUAAGUAACUCCCAAAUACAUCACAUCUCUAUGUACACGAGGGUACUCUAAUGCAAAAGGGAAAGCUACUAGCUACUAGGGCGCUAUGCCCUUUCCACGGUCCUUUGCCGGUACUCUCUCGCUAGGCCCUGCAAUAAAGUGGGGUGAGAACUAUAUAAAUAUAGUUCCCAGUGGGUUCGGCCGCCGACUCCGUCGAUCUUUCCACUAGGUCCAAGCAGGUCCAAGCAGAUAGAUAGAUAGAUAAAUAUGGAAUUGAAGUACAACAUAGUAAAGUAAUCUGCAACAAUCUACUAUGCAUUCGAUAAUCAAGGAUGUGAGCUACAACAUAGUAUAUGAUCUAUGCCUCAAUGAUCCGAUAUAUGAGCAACUACAUAGUAUGCAAUCUACAUAUGCUAGUAUGCCUCAACAAUAAUGAAAAUGAGCUACUACAUAGUAAUGUAAACUACACAUGGUACUAUGCCUCAAUAAUAAAAGAAAUGAGCUACUACAUAGUAUGCAAACUACACAUAAUACUAUGCCUCAACAAUAAAAAAAAUAAGCUACUACAUAGUAUGCAAACUACACAUGAUACUAUGCCUCAACAAUAAAAGAAAUGAGCUACUACAUAGUAUGCAAACUACACACGAUACUAUGCCUCAACAACAAUGGAAAUGAGCUACUACAUAGUAAUGUAUCCUGCAACAUGCUACUAUGCCUCAAAUAUCCGAAUGCCAUAUCCAAGUGAAAUGCAUGAGCUACUACAUAGUAUACAAUCUACACAUGAUACUAUGCCUCAAAUAAUCACAUGAAUGUACGAGCUACUACAUAGUGCGUUAUGCAACUAUGCCUCGAUAAUAUCUAAUCUCAUGGCCAACCCGAAGGUUGUCGACUCACUCUCAAUCUCAUAGGUGAGGAGAAGCUGCACUCGCACACCGAGACCGUCUGCGGGACAACCCUAUCGUGAAGUACUCCGGAGACCACUGCUUUGGUGGAGCGACCACCGACAAGCGAAAACAGACUAGUGAGUAUGAUCCAAUCCUCACAAGAGGAUACCCUAUCUACCAGGGUCACAAUGCCUCAACUGCACUAAUGCAAAAUGCAUAAUGUCUACAACAUGACAAUUGGGAAAAUCUAUUAUCCCUAGGUUCAAAUGCCAUAGUGUUCCACUACACUAGAUUUGAUGCCACUCAUUUAUGUCAUGAUGUUAUAUGUGUCUCGAUACACUACAUUGACAUGCCACUCGUUCUUGUUAUAUUGUCUCUACUUUACUAGUUUAAUGCUACUCAUUAUGUCAUGAUGUUGUACGUGUCUCGAUACACUAAAUUGACAUGCCACUCGUUCUUGUUAUAGUGUCUCUAUUACACUAAUCCAAAUGCCACUCAUCUAGGCCAAUUACAUGUCCAAGUUCAUCAUCAUUCUUGUUACUAUAGGAUUCUUGUCACAAGACCCAAUCCUCAUGCAACCUAAGUUCAAGUGUCAAGCCCACAAUACAACACUACCAUAGGAAACAUGCAAGGAAAUGGAAUGUAAUCAACUACUAAUCCUAUAAUGCACAAUAUCAAUAUAUGAAUAUGAUCAAAAUAGAACUCAGACAUAAAAGGAAGCUCGGUUGCUUCAGGAUGGACACCCCCCACCUUUUGGUGAUAUCACGAUGCUACGAUUCCGUUUCCAAGAUUUUAGGAAGCUUUCGCCGCAAGCUGUGGCAAUCUGUACCGAAAUCGGCCUUUUCUUUAAUAUCUUUGCGUAGCCUCGACGAAUGCUCAAACCGAGUGCAAGAACGCGUUCGGGGACCUAACAAUUAGGUUAGAGAAGGGUCAAUUGAGAUCAAAACCCCUCACAAGCAAAAGCCCUCUUUUUUGGAGCCCUAAAUCACCAUUGUUGCAAUUAGCUUCAUACAAGCUACUAAUCUUGCAAUAAAUGAGAUCAACUACUCUUAGAGCACUAAUAAACAUCAUCUAGCUAAGUUCAAAGAGGUCUAAGCCAUGCUCUAAACAUUCACCAUGAGAGACUUAAAGAGCUUACCUCAACUAGCUAGCAAGAAGAUGAAGAAGAUGAUGUUGGUCCUUCUCCAAGCUCCAAUCUCCACCUUCUCCUCCUAAAUCCACUCUUAGAGAGAGAGGGAGAGCUCCUAGAGAGAGAGGAAGAGAGUGUUUUAGUGUUUGGGUUGAGAGAAAAUGAGAGGAGAGGUCUCAUAUCACCUCUAUACAACCUUCAUUAAUGCAGAAUUGCAAGAAACCCCCUCAACUUUGUGUUUUAUGCACUGCCCGCGCGGGGCCAUUUUUUGUAUAGGGGACUGGUCUCUGGCAGUGGGAGACCGGUCUCCGAAGGUCCAGAAUUCUAGCAUUUUUAGGACUUAGUCAAAUUUCAGCCUUUUUCGUUUUCGAGGUCGGUUUUCGCUCGUUUGACCUCCGAUUCUUUUCAAAUCGAACCGAGACUCUCUAAACAUGAUUUCGAGCGUAUUUUCAUCAUCUUUUCAUCCGCGCUAAUGCCGGAUUAAGUCCAUGGUCCAACAUAGUGUUCGGGUCCCAUUUUCGCUCCUACGCGCUCCAAAAACGCCCGAAUGCUUCCGGACCUCACCAGAAUCAUUCUAAUGGCUUUCUAAACCAACAUGCCCCGCAACUUCAUAAUUUUGGAGUUUGGUACCCUACACUCGGGGCGUGACACACUCGCCAAAGCUCGGCGCUGGUCCAACUAUCCACACAACGAGGACGCUAUUACCACCACUCGAUCCGUCGGCGCAUAAUCCGAAACUCUCAAACCACAAGGUCGUCCUCAAAACAUCCUGACUUCACUCUCACAAUUAGCUACUCACAAUGCCCAGAGAGUUACUCCAUCAGUUCUACCUCUGUCUCGAGCCUAACUCUCGGCUCGCAACUAACCACUCGCCAACACAAUCCAAUCACACCUAUCCAUUUGGUAGGCGAUACCACUAUCACACAUGCAUGCCAGGGGACUAAAUCUAUCCACGUUCCACCCCCAACUAUACUUAUGCAUGCAAUACUCCGAAUCCACCUCAAAUCAAAUCAUGGAACCUCUUCCGAGAUGCUAAUCCUGCUACAACACCCUCAGUAGCAGUAGAUUCCAUAACCAGGGUCGCUUAUCCACAGCCACUCGACGCUCAUUGCGAACCCUCAGAUCACACCAUCUACCUCGCAACGCACACCAUUGCGUCUGAUGGGAACCACUACAACUAACACCUCCCUACAAGGUCAACAAUCUCGGGAUCACAUCCACAACUAUCUCGGGGUCGCCGAAAACUUGAUCGACCACCCGAUCCAUUCCAAACAUGAUGCGGCUAGCACUCUUCAACCCGCUCCAAUCGUACAAACUUCCUAAAAAGAUUUUCCAUAGAGUCGAUCCACACCACACCACAUCGACUCAUCGUCAUACCACUACAACAACAUGGCCAAUUGACCCCAAAAUUUCGAGUUUCCACCAAGCUCGGCCGACUCGAGGCCACCACUCUUCCAAAGCCACGUCGAUCUCAUUAAAGAUCGGCCACGCACAACCACCGAACAUGUAACAACUCAACCCUCAAGGUCAAGCGCGCGACACCUACACGCAACACUAACCCCGACUCAAAUCCAGGCGAAAGUCAUACAAGGGAGCAUAUUCUCAUCACUCAGUUUCAUGUUGUGUGCACCCAACAUGAACACUCCCUGAUGAAAAUGAACUACACCUUGGAUCCACCCUUAACAUCCGUUAUAGAGGCAUGCCACACAUGACCCAAUCAAUUAACCCUUCGUCACAAAUCCAGAUCCUCGUUACAUUUCACGAACCUAAAUCCUUAUGGUUUCCAACCUAAGGUUCCUGGGUCUAUCCUAUACUUUCACUUUUCACGCUCUGAUACCAUUAUAUCUGUCACGCCGCGCGACCACCAAUUUGGUCGGUUCGGGCACGUCAACAAACGCCGAACGGACAGCACCUCCCCUAUCCGCCCAAAGCUUUACCAACUCAUGUAUUGUAACACACUGGACCUUUGCAAAUUGCGAGGUUCGAGUGUUUGAUCAGUGUUCUGAGUUUUUUCCAGAUAUUCUGGAGGGUCGUUGACAGUGUUCUGACCUAUGGCUCGUAUCUCAAGAAUUAUAGUAUUUAAAGUAGCGCUAAGGUCACCAAAGCGAUGGACUUAGGCUGCUCUCGGGUUGCAGUUUUUUAGGCUGUGUACCGGUACACCUUGAUGGUUGUACCGGUACAGAAAGUGUACCGGUGACAACUCGAUGGUUGUACCGGUGCAAAUGAGAUUCCUGCCAACCCGAGCCUCGGGUUCGCGCAUACGAGGGAUUUGUACCGGUACACUUUCCCGUGUACCGGUACACUUUGCAGCAAAGGCUGUUUUUGUUAGGGGUUGUAUUUGCAAUUGUUGCAAACCCUAUUUAACCCAUUCCAGCCCAUUAGAGGACCUCUUUUGUGCCCUAACUCAUGGAGGAACCAGGUGAGGUCCCCUCCCUUGAGCUUUUCUCCAUUUUUGAUAGAUUGUAGCUAGUUUUGAUCUUUUUUUUCUUCUCCUCCUUGCUCUAUGUUGGUUCUAUACCAUUAGAGAAGCUUUGAGCUCGUGGUUGGAGCUUGGUAUAGGGAAGAUCUUCAUCGCUGGCUGGGUUCUUGGGUGAUUUGAAGCUUCUAGUGAGGUUAGUAAGCUUAAUCUCCUCUUCGAUCCAUGAUUUGUUAGUUUCCACUAGUUGAAACCCUAGAAUUGGGAUUUACGGUUUGUAAUGGGGAUUUUUGAUUAGAGGCUUUUGAAGCCCAAUUGAUCUCAUUAGAACCUUUGUUUAGGUUGGUUUAGAAGGCCUCUAACUCUUUUUUGGAGAUCGUGAGAGGUUUCUUCGCAUUCGGUGAGUUUCCUUCACCUUUGCUUGUGUUGCUUAAUGAUUGAGCAAAUGAUUAUUCGUAACGUUCGUGUAUCCCUCCUUUUGUUACCUUUAGGGUACUAGGAGGUAGUGGGCACCUUCGUCGGUGCAAACAAGGGUUUCGAGAAGUCACGGUGGGUUUGGCUUCAUUGGAACAGGAGAAAUCUUCUCCUAAGUAGUUAAAAGUUGUUGUUUCAUCGAAAUGCAUGCAUAUUUAUGCUAGAUAGAAUUUUUAUGAAUUUUAGAAUACUUAAAAUGCAUGUGUUAUGUAUCGUGAAAAUUCAACUCUAUAUAGUAGAGCUAUAUGUGUAUUAGGCAUGCAUGUGAAAAGUAUUCUAUAUUGCAAGUUGGAAACAUGUCUCAUAUGAUGAAAAUUACUCGAAUUAUGUAUUCUUGAAUACUAAACUCAUGUUUGGACUUAGUGGACAAAAGUGCCAUAAAGGGGCACCCGACUUAGUAAACUGUGAAACUGCAAUAUAGAGACAUAGUGAUAGGCCAUUUGGACAUCGACUAUAUUCUAUGUUUAAGAUAUGAUGACAUAGUGAUAGGCCUUUGAGAUAUUUGCCACAUUCCAUAUUUUAGACAUGAUGACUUGAGACUCGAGACGGACGUUUACACUUGCUUGCCAUCGUGCUCAUUCGCACAUGCUUGUGAGGGUCGCUCCCCCAAAGCCGGCACUCCGAAGAUAGCCAUUGCGACACAUGCUCGCCCGUGCAGGAUUGGGCGCCGAAAUGGGAUGCCGUAGGAGAGGCUCAUUUCUAGAGUGGGGAUGUUGACUACCACGGGGCCAUUAGGCACGGCGCAGACCGGACAACCCACGGGUAGGUCCUACAGGAUUGGAACAUUGGUAGCUUAGUAUACUGAGUGGACAUUGACUAGAAUAGUAAACAUUGACAUUUUACUAUUUAGCUUGUGGACAUUAUGUUGGUCAUACUCAUGUACAUUCAUAUUACAGUAGCUUUAUUACUUAUGCAAAUUCAUGCUAAGUAGAGAUAUCAUGGUUUAAUAAGUAUUCAUGUUUAAAUACUUGUCAUUCAUAUUGCUUAUUUAUUCUUACUUACCUGCUUGGUUUCGGGCCUAGUGGCGCAUUGCACUGAAAUCAGUAAUUGCCUACUGGGAACUAUUAUUUAAUAGUUCUCACGCCCUCUGUUUUAUGGUUUUCUUUUAGAGCCUUCAGCACCGGUGGAGGCACGAGAUCACGGCAAAGGGGUCGCGCAGCUAGAUGGCAAGGAUUUACAGUUUGCUUAAGUGGUUUUCUCUCUUAUUGUUUGUUGUUGUGAGAGAGAGAGGUUUUGUAUCCAUAUAUAGAGACCACCUAUGUAUUACUUAUAGUACUUGUAUUCGGAUUUCAGAUGUACUACUUGAUCGUUUUAUUUAUUAGAUUUUAGCCUUUUGGUUAUUUCUCUAUUGUAGAAUCUAGUUGUACUUUGCUCUGAUACUUCUAGAUGUCUUUCUUCUAUUGCUUUAUUUGCCGUUUUAUACUAGACGCCUUAUAUGUUUUACACGUAUGGCGGGUCUGGACACGUGCCGGGCGGGCUUCUGCUGGGUCCCGGGGCGUGACAGAUUAAUUUGGUAUCAGAGCCUAGGGUUGAGUCUUAGUGGACCUAUUAAACCUUAGGCCGAUUGGACUAUAGGAAAUAGGCUCGUGAGAGACGAGGUCUAUUUGAUUUGUAAGCGAAAGUAUCAUGAUUGGGUGUCCUUGAUAACUCUAGAAAGUGGAGUUAAAUCAAAGUGUAUAGCUUCUAACUUCGCGGAGGGUUACGUUGGCGGCCAACAACGUAACAUCGGGAGUUAGUAGUGAAGCACACUUUCUUACUUUCGCAUGAUUUGGAUAUUAUCUUCUUGAGCGGGGAUUCGAUAGCGUGGGUUUACUAACUUGCGCUUUUAUGAUGUUGUAGUGUGAUGCCGAUGACAUGCUCUCAAUCUGCCGGAGCGGACAAUGCGGCACACCUUGAGCAGGUCGAGACCUUCGCUACCUCCGGAUCCAGCGAGGUCCGUGAGUUGAGGAGCUAGCUUGCUGCCCUCACCGACUUGGUGUCGCAGCAGACAGUGGCGGCUCAGCAGCAGGCUGAUGCGGCGCGCCGACAGGAGGUGCGGAUGAAGCGACUCGAGGACCUUCUUCUACAGCAGGCAGCUUCCAGGGAGGCUCCAGUUCCUUCGCCGCCUGCACCGGUUGGGGACGUCGCACCGAGGGAGAUCUUAGCGUGCGGCGCCUGAGGUCGUGCCUCGGGAGGAGGACUUUGUGGCACCACCUGUGAGAUAUUGAAUCUCGAUGGAAAUUUGCUAACUUUGGCCAAAUGGACCAAAGUGGGCAAUUGAACAGUUUGGACAAGUUCCAGUCGGCAUUCCAACAAGUUUGGAAGAGCAAAAAUAAGUUCCAAAGAUGUUGGAAUGGUUUGGACAUCGAUCGGCGCGAAGUAGAGCCAAAACGGAGUGAAAACAGCAUUCUGGAGCUGUUGUACCGGUACAAGAGUGAUGGUUGUACCGGUACAACCAUCGCAGCUCUCGGGUUGGAGGCUGCCAGACCUUGUACCGGUACAAGGGGGCCUUGUACGGGUACAAGCCCUGCGAAAUCGAAAAACCGAGCUCUCGGGUUGGGCUGUCUGCCAGGCCUUGUACCGGUACAAGAAACCGUGUACCAGUACAAGGGACCCGAAACAGUGGGUCUGCUUUGGAAAUUAGAUUUUUGAGGGGGCUUUUGGGAUUUUGUUACAAUAGAGGGUUAAUAUACCUCUUCCUCUCUCAGCCUCUCUCACUCUUAGCCACUCUCUCGCCCUCUUACUGUGAAGCACUGGACCUUUGCAAAUUGCGGGGUUCGAGUGUUUGGGCAGUGUCCCGAGUCUUUCCAGACUUUCUGGUGGGUCGUUGACAGUGUUCCGACCUAUGGCACGUACUCCGAGAAUUGUAGUAUUUUAUGUAGCGCUAAGGUCACCAAAAAGUUGGACUUAGCCUACCCUCGGAUUACAUCCUGCACAGGUGUACCGGUACACUCUUGAUGGUCGUACCGGUACACAUUUUGUACCGGUACGCGCUUGGUGGUUGUACCGGUACACUUGUGGCAAAUUUCGAACUCGAGCCUCGGGUUCGCAUUUUCGUAGGCUGUGUACCGGUACAUUUUCCCGUGUACCGGUACACUUUGGCAGAAUUUGAACUGUGUGAACUGCGGGGGGUUUUCCGCGUUUGUGCCUAACCUAUUUAGCACCCACGCCCCUUAGGGCACCUCCUGAGCUCACAGCACAGGGAGGAGAAGGUAGGGCACCCUCCCCUUCAUUUCUUUGGGUUUGGUCCCUCUCUUUUGGGUUUUUCUUGGAUUAACCUCUCUUUUUUCGCUUUUUGGUGCUUUUCCUCCAUGGUUGAAGCCAAGAGCUUGGGAUUGGAGCCUUGUGGAGGGAAGAUCUUGGGACUUAGAGCUUUUAGAGCUUAGAUUGAAGCUUCUAAGAGGUAAUCCACUUGUUCUCUUCCUCUAGAAUAGAGUUCUAUUGAGAUUUUUGUGAUGAAACCCUAAAUUAGAGAUUUAGGGCUUAUUUUUGGGCAUUUUGAUUCUAGGGCUUUUGGAGCUAGAUUGAGUGGAUUAGAGGCUUCCAUUAGGUUGGAUUGGAUGAGCCCUAGCUUCAUUUUGGAGCUUUAGAGGAGAUUUUUGCACUAGAGGUGAGUUCUUCUCACCUAUACUUGAUUAGCUUAAUGAUUGAGCUAUUGAUGGUUCGUUUCAUUCGAGUGACGCAUGUUCUUGUACCUCUAGGAUACUAGGAGACUAGGGGACACCCUCGAGGGAGCGCACGAGAAGUUCCGUUGUCAUCGGUGGGUUUGGCUUCGGGGAAAUGGGGCGAAAUGACCCCUAUGCUCUUUCUACUUGUUGUAAAAUAUUUUUAAGUUCAUUUCUAUGCUAAAUGGGAUUUAUAUGAAUUUUAGAGCACUUAAAAUGCAUGCCUUGUGUAUUAUGAAAAUUUCACUAUAUAGUGGAGCUAUAUGAGUAGAAUGCAUGCAUAUGGAAAAAAGUGUUUAUUUUGCAAGUGGAAAAUACAUCUCUUAUGAGUAUUAUAACUUGGAAUAUGUGCUUUGGAACAUAGUUGCCAUGUUUUGACAUAGAGAACAAGAGUGUCAUAAAGGGGCACUCGAAACUAGUAAACUAUGAAACUGCAACAUAGAGAUAUAUGAUAGGCCAUUGUACAUCUGCUAUAUAUUCCAUGUUAGAGACAUGAUGACAUAGAGAUAGGCCUUUGAGACAUUCGAUAUAUUCCAUGUUAUUAGACAUGAGGACUUGGUACUUGCGACAGAUCGUUUGACUACUUGCCAUUGUGCUCAUUCGCACAUGCUUGUGAGGGUCGCUCCCUACAAGCCGGCACUCCGGAGAUAGCCAUCGCGAUUCAUAUUCGCCGUGCGGGAUUGGGCGCCGAAGUGGAUUGCCGUGGGACAGGCUCAUUCCUAGGGUGGGGAUGAUGACUACCACGGGGCCAUUAGGCUCGGCACCGGCCAGACAGCCUACGGGUGGGUCUCAGGGCCAUAGACAGCCUUCGGGUGGGUCUCUUCAGAUUGGGCUAUAUAUAUAUAUAUCCAUUAUGACAUGUGGACAGAUGAUGACUUAGUGUACUACUUGGACAUUGAUUAGAAUAGUAAACAACGGAACUUCACUAUUUCACAUUGUGAACAUCAUGAUAGUUGGAGACAUUUACUUUAUGCAUAGUUGCUUUCAUACUUAUGCUAUUCAUGCUAAGUAGAGAUAUCAUGUCGUAGUAGGUUACAUAUUUACUUACCUGUCGCCUUUCUACUUUUAUAGUCACUGACAUCUUUUGUAGCUUUGGGCCUUGUGGUGCAUUCACUGAAGUCAGUAAUUGCCCACUGGGAACUAUUUUUAAUAGUUCUCACGCCCCUGUUUUAUGGUUUCCUUUUCAGAGCCUUCGGCACCGGCGGAGGCACGGGAUCGCGGCAAGGGGAUCGCGUAGCUAGCUAGCGAGGAGCUUACUUGCCUAGGUGGUUUACUCUUUCUUUUGUAGUUGAGAGAGUGAGAGUUUUGUACCCUGUAUAGAGACCACCUAUGUAUCUACUCUUAGCACUUGUAUUUGGGAUUUCCUAUUGUAUUUACUUUAUGCCUUAUUUAGUGGAUUUACAGCUUUUCCUCAUCCCUUGUUGUAGCAUUUAGACAUUUAUUAUGCUCUGAUACUCCUAGAUGUCUUUUAUUAUUGCUUUUAUUAUUGUUGUUUUUAGACGCCUUAUAUGUUGUAGACAUAUGGCGGGUCUGGGCACGCGCCGGGCGGGCUUCCGCUGGGUCCCGGGGCGUGACAGAUUAAUUUGGUAUCAGAGCCUAGGGUUGAGUCUUAGGGGACCUAGUAAACCUUAGGCCAGUUGGACUAUAGGAAAUAGGCUCGUGAGAGACGAGGUCUAUUCGAUUUGUAAGCGAAAGUAUCUAGAUUGGGUAUCUUGAAUAACUCUAGAAAGUGGAGUUAAAUUGAAGUGUAUAACUCCUAACUUCGCGGAGGGUUACGUUGGCGGCCGACAACGUAACAUCGGGAGUUAGUAGUGAAGAACACUUCUUUACUUUCGCAUGAUUUGGGGUAUUAUUAUUUGAGCGGGGUGCGAUAGCGUGGGUUAUAUUAACUUGCGCUUUUAUGAUGUUGUAGUGUCAAUGCCGACUUCACGCUCUAAGUUAGUUGGAGCGGACGAUGCGGCGACUUUUGAGGAAGCGGAGAUACCCGCUGCCUCCGGAUCCAAAGAGGUCCGUGAGUCGAGGGGUCAGCUUGUGGCCCUCACUGAUCUGGUGACGCAGCAGGUGGCGGCGGCUCGACAGCUGGUGGAUACGGCACGCCGACAGGAGGUAUGGAUGCAGUGCCUGGAGGACCUCCUUCUACAACAGGCAGCUGCCGGGGAGGCUCAGGUCUCGGUACUACCCGCGCCAGUGGAAAUAGUUGCGCCGGGGGGGUCGUCCCCUGUACUCGACACUUCGCAGAUGACACUUACGGUAGCCCUUCGGGAGAAGGCAUUGACAGCACCACCAGCUCAGGUGUCUGUGACAACGGCGACUUUUCCCUUGAUGGUUGAAAGAGUGGAGCGGCAGCGGCUCAUGGAUCGCCUCGACGAGUUCAGGAAGCGCGAUCCCAGGAUCUUUGAUAGAGAGAAAAUCGACCACUGGAUCAUUGAGAAGUGGUUGAUGCAUAUGGAGAAGUUAUUCCGCGACACCUUCGUGGAGGAAAGAGAUAGAGUUGGCUCGCCACUCACCAUUUGGACGGCGAGGCCGAUAGUUGGUGGGUGGGCAUCCAGGAUAAUCCCGACACCGACCUAGCAGCGAUUUCUUGGAAGAGAUUCAAGGAGCUCUUAUUAGAGCAUUACUUUCUCGUCCGCGUGAAGAGGAAAGAGGAGCAGGAUCUGCGCGAGAUGCGCCAGGAGGAUCGGACUGUGGCCGAGUACGAGAGGGGGUUCUUUCAACUUCUACGCUAUGCGCCCUUUGUUGUGCGAGACGAUGAGGAUAAGGCUCGCAUCUUCGAGCGAGGACUUCGGUCGUCGAUUUUACGGUUGGUGCAACCCUUCCACCUUCAGACUUACCAAGAUGUGGUGAACCGCGCUCUCAUCGUGGAAAGCUGCGCGGCAGACUUACAGGAACGUCGGAAAGGCGCAAACAAAGGAAAUGGCAAGAGACCCGUGACUGAGGGUGCGAGUCAGACGCACUCUGGGAGGCCGUCGAGACAUUCCGGGAACUGGAGCCAGUCGCGAGGACGUGGCUCAUCAACACGGCAUAGAGGAUCCGAGCGUCAUCAGACUCGGAGCUGCGUGAUCUGCGGUGGUCAUCGUUACCCGCAGCAGUGCUCACAGAGGCAAGGCAGGUGCUACUCGUGUGGCCAGGAGGGUCACUUCCUGUCAGACUUUUCGAGGGGGUUAGCAUCAGCGCCAUCUUCAGCAUCGGUACCAGUAUUACCGGAUCCCAGCCGGGGGACGCCUUUUACUCACUGUUAGGCCGGAAGGCCACCCGUCCAGCGACAGACGGAGGGUCACGACAGGCCCCGAGCAGACGCCUGUACGCGACCAGACAGGGAAGGCGGCAGCGGCCGAGUUUGUGACUACAGGUAUCAGUUUCAUUUGUGGCAUUCGAGUUGUGCAUUGUUGGUUAUUGGAGCAUUGCAUCUAUGAUCGGCUAUUCGCCGAGUUGCAUGACAUUUCGUUAGUUCGCUGUUUGCGACAUUGUGUAGCCUCUCGAGCCAGGCGAUUGAUUUGCGGGUGCGGGUGGCAUAUUUUGCUAUGCUUGUAGAUUUCACGAGGAUUGCAUUAGUGAUUCGCCCGGCUAACGCUGCAUUGCCGGAUAUGCUUGAGCGACCGUGCCUAACCUUGGGGAUGUGGAGGCCUGGGCCCGUUGGGCCAGGCGCAAUCGUCUGUGUGGCCAGCGCCUCGUACUGCGGUAAGGCAGAGUUUUUGGUAGGAGGAGUCUGCGCGUGGACCCUAGACGCGGAAAGUCCACUGUUGGAAUCGUGAGAUUGAGGACACACUUAAGUGUGUAGUUACCCAAUACUGAGGAUUGUAGCUGUUGAAACUUUCGGCUGUUGAUGAUCGGUUGAUGCGGUGUGUCACGUUUCGAACCCUAUUGCCGCCCGUGAGAUGAUCUCUUUGUGCCAAACAAAUAGAUUGACUUCCUUGGUUGGAGUUGUUAGGGGUAACCAUGGUAUCUUGGAUUGCGAACUGACUUGCAUCGCCCUUGAGACGUGAGCACGGAAAACAAUAAGUGCGAUUUGAGAUUUACUUCGCAAAUGUUGAUAGUCCUUCUUACUCUCUAAAAAAUAGGGUAAUGUUCGAUGAGGUGUUUGGGCCUGAGUGGUCCAUCUAGCUUUGGUAUCGAGAAUCUCUUAGAAAAAUGAUUCUUUGAUCAGAUCGUUAUGUCCCCUCGAGUUCACAAAUCGUUCUGCUCAAUUAGACAGGCAAGUUUUAUAGAUGGUGUUUUGCCUCGUGGAGGAGCACUUCCACCUGUUGUGGGACCGCGUUGGUGCCGUAUCGACUGUAUUCGACUUCUCGUGAUUACAAAUGAAAACACACGAUAUGGAGAGUUUAGUACGUUGCUGGGCCCAUUGACCUUGUCAAGUGCUUGAAUCGUUGGUGUAAUUUUGUUAAAGCUUUUGAGUAAUCGAAGUAAUGCUGGUUGAUGUUGGAAGUUUGAAGGUUCGUACCUCAAUGUGAUUGUGAUGCUAGUGUGGCAUCACAGAAGGAUGAUGCUGCCUAAUAAGCCUAUAAUACUCUACCUGUGGAUAGUCGCGAAAUAUAAAUCCGAGCCUCUGAGUGUAUUUUGUUGAUUCCGUUGCGGAUGACUUGGGGUAUUUUAGAUAGGAAUGUGCGAGGUUGACUGCGUAAGACAGUUGAGGUGAUUGAGUUUUUGGAACUCUCAUGAUGGAAUGAAAACUUGUGAGCAGGAAGUACCAAGUUAUAAUUCCCCGUGUCCCAGGAGCGGCACGUAACACUGAAUUGAGUCCUUAGGAUAAACCCUUAUACAUGCAGGACUGAUGAAUAUGACUUGGUUUGCACUUGAUCGGCAUCAAGUAUACUUUGAUAGAGGCUGUCGUUGAAGUAUGGAAUGAUCACACCUCUGAUCUGCGGAGAAUUGAUUUUGGAUGACCAUUGACACCUGAGCAUCCAAAUGCAUAGGAAGCAUGGAUCUGGAAUUAUUAAAGUGAUUGUUGUGAGCCUUCUGUCCGAAGCUAGCCUUUUAGGCCUAGCUUGUGAGAUUACUGGACUGAGUUAGGACUAAGAUGACGAUCUUAGUAACCUGAUGAAGCUAUGAGCUUUAGCCCGAUCAUAAUAUUUGCAGUGGGAUUACAAAGGACUACCCGAGUGGUGAAUUUAGGUUGAUGAAUUUGGUAUGCGACCCUUAGUCUUUUGAUAGAUAAAAGUAGCAAGUGCUGUUUUGAAAUUGCAAAAUCAAGGUAAAAUUGUUGAAUGGUGCAAAAAGCGACCUACCUUUUGGACUGAUCUAGAGAUGGAUACGUUCGUGGGGAUGGUAUACCACCGCGGAUUCGGGAAUUAAAGAAGAUAUUUCAAGAACGCCACCGGGCGCGUCUAACGCUAUAACAUUCGGGUGCACAAGAUGUACAAGGAUCUAAAGUUGCUUCAUUGGUGGCCCGGGAUAAAAAAUGUAGUUAGAGUUUAGCUCGUUGAUCUAAACUUUGCCAAUCAUAAAAGUUGAACACCGGAGUUCCGCAGGGAGCUUGAUUACCUGCCUGUUGUAAGUGGAGCAAGAUCACAUGGACUUGUGACCAGUUUCCUCGCUCACUAGGCUGGCAUGCAUGCUAUUGGAGAUACGCGGAAUUAGAUUGAACGAAGUCAGCUCACUUAUUAACCUAAAUCAUUGACGACUUGAUGGGGAAGCUCGACAAGUACACUCAACGAGAUUGAUGUGACUUCAAUAAUGCUACACCCGAUAAGUAUCAAUCGCGACACUCGUUGUGUCUUCUUUGGAUAGUCUCAGGAACGUUUUGGGCAUCGAUUAGAUUUACACCACCGCAUUCCACCCACAGAGUGAUGACGUCGUAGCGCACUAUUACAAUGUUUAGAGUAUAUACCAAGGGCAUGUGUGAUGGAUUCCAAGGGAGCUGGUCGCCAGCAUCUACACAUGGCGGAUUUGCUUAUAUUAUUCUAUUGCGGCCGAGAGUGUAAAUUUGAAAGCGAAUCGAUGUCAACAUUCACAAAACCAAAACCGGAACAACAUUGACUACUCAGUUGUCGCCCUACACAGUAUAAUUUGCAACGAUACUAUUUUCUCUUCAUCGAAUAAAAGAGUAAACAUAAUUAUAUUGUUCUAUUUAUGCCCCACGAUGUAAAUUUCGGACGAAUCGAAUGUCAACCAUAACAAACAAAACAGACAAUAAUGCUACACGUGCGCCCCUACCAUUAAUAAAUUGGCAAUAGUGCUUUUUCGCAUUCUAUCGAACCAAGAGUAAAAAAGCCUAUUUAUAUUAUUUCUAUUUAUUGCCCGAUAGUGUAAAUUGUGAACGAAUCAUGUCAACUUCAAAAAGCAAAACCGGAACAACAAUAGACUACUAGUUUGCGCCCUAACAUAUAACUUUACCAACGGUACUUUUUCUCAUAAUUAUCGACAAAGAUAAACCUAAUUACAUUAAUUCGAGUUAUGCCCGAAGUGUAAAUUUGGAACGAAUCGAUGUCAACCUUCACAAAAGCAAAAACCGGAACAACAAUAGACUACUCAGUUGCCUCCCUAAGUAUAACUUGCAACGAGUAAUUUCUCAUUCAUCGAACAAAGUGUAAAAGCUAUUAUAUUUAUCUAUUAUGCCCCGAAUGUAAAUUUGAACGAUGAUGUCAACUUAUCAAAAAAUCAAAACCGAAACAUAUAGAUACUCAUGCGCCCUAUCGACUGUAUAACUUUGCAACGAGAGUUAUUAUUCAUUCAACCGCUCGAACAAACUGUAAAAAGCAAUUUAUAUUAUUCUAGCUAUCGCCCCGAGAGUGUAAUUUAGAACGAAUCAUGCAAACAUUCAAGAACUGCAAAACCGAACAACAAUUGACUAGCUCAGUUCGCUCCUUAUCCCUUAUAACUUUGCAACGAUUACUUGUUUUCUCAUUCUAAUCGAAUAAGAUAAAACAUAAUAAUAUAAUUUCAUAUUAUGUCCCGAGAGUGUAAAUUAUUGGACGAAUCUGAUGUACAACCAUCCACAAGAACGUCAAAACAGAACAACAAAUAGACUAACACUGUUUCGCCCUAACAGUAUAAAUUUGCAAUGAGCGCUUUAUUCUGCAUUUAUCAAACAAAGAGUAAAGCUAUUAUAUUAUUCUAUUAUGCCCAGAUGUAAAUUUUGAACGAAUCGGAUUGUACAACAUUCACACAAAGCAAAACUCGUGAACAACAAUAAUCUACUCAGUUGCGCCUAACAGUAUAUACGACUUUGUCUAAGUGAGGUACAUUUUUCUCUUCUUAAUGAAAAAAAGUAAAACCUAAUUACAGUUAUUCUAAUUUCGCCCGGAGAGUGUAAAUUUGAAACAAUCGAAUGUCAACCUUCACAAAAGCAAAAACGCACGAACAUACAAUAGACUACUCAGAUUGCACCCUAACAUAUAACUUUUGCAACGAUAAUUUUUUCAUAUCAAUCGACAAAUAAAAUCUAUAUAUUUUUCCUAUAUGACCACCGAAGUGUACCAUUUGGAACAAUCGAUUCUAUCUUCAAAAAAUUCAAAACCGGAACAACAAUAGACUACUCAUUGCGCCCUAACAGUCUAACUUGCAACUAGUACUUUUCUCAUUCUAAUCGAACAAAAGAUAAAACCUAUAUUGUACAUAAGCUCCCAAGAAGUAUAAAUUUCAAACGAAUCGAUGUAACUUCACAAGAAGCAAAAAGGAACACACAUAAGACUACAAUCUGUUGCCCCUACAGUAAAAAUUUUCAACGAGUGCUUUUUCGCAUUCUAUUCGAACUAAUAGAGUAAAAUCUAAUUAUAGUUGUCUAUAUACCGCCGAUAGAGUAAAUUUGGAACGAAUCGAUCUGUCAACGGUUCAACAGAAGAGCAAAACCGGAGAAAUAUUAACUACUCAUGAUUUGCGCAACUAACAUUUUAACUUUGCAACGAAUACUUUCGUCAUUCUACAUCGUACAAAGGAAAACUCUAUUAUUGUUCAUUAUUCCCGAGAGUGUAAAUUUUGAACAAUCGAUGAUAACCUCAAAAAACCAAAACCUGACAACAAUAUACACUCAAGUUGGGCUCUUAACAGUAUAACUUUGUAACUAGUAAUUUCUCUCAUAUUAUCGAACAAAGAGUAAACCCCUAACUUAUAUUCGUUCUAAUUUAUGCCUCCGAAGAUAUGUAAAAUUCUCAACAGUAAUCGAAUGUCAACCAUUCAACAAAAACACAAACCGGAACAACAAUAGCUAACUCUGUUGCGCCUAACAAGUAUAAAUGCAACGAGUGCUUUUUCGCAUUUCUAUCGAACAAAGAUAAAACAUAAUUAUAUUGUUCUAGUGUUACCCAGUAGAGUAAAUUUGGAACGAAUUAUGUCAAACGUUCACAAUAGCCAAUAAACCGGAACAACAUAGACGACUGAGUUGCGACCAGUAUAACUUUGCAACGAAGUAAUUUUUCAUCAUUCCAAACGAACAAAGUGAAGCUAUUGAUAUAUCUGUAAUGCACCCGAGAGUGUAAAUUUGGAAACGAAUCGAUGUCAACAAUUCAAAGAACCAAAACCGGAACAACAAUUGACUUCACCAGUGCCCCUAAAGUAUCUCUUUGCAACGAUACCUUUUCUCAUUCUAUCGAUAAAGAGAAAACGUAAUAUAUAUAUGUUCAUUAUGCCCCGAGAGUUGUUAAAUUCGGAACGAAUCGAUGUAAAUCAAAGUCAUCCACAGAACCAAAACAGGAACAUCAAUAGACGACAACUGUUGCGGCCCUAAGCAUAUAAAAUUUUGCAUGAGUGCUUCGCAUUCUAUCGAACAAAGAGUAAGCGCUUUUAUAUUUUACUAUUAGCCCGAGAGUGUCCAAUUUGGAACGAAUAGAUUCAAACAUUCAGCUAAAAGCAAAACGAACGAAAACAAUAGAACACUUUCUGUUUGCGCCCUAACAGUAAUAUAAUUUAACAACGAGUGCUUUUUCGCAUUCCUAAUCGAACAAAAAGUCCAAACCUAAAUUAUAAUUGUUCCUAUAUAAUCUCGCGAGAGAGUAAAUUUGGAACGAAUCGAUGUCACGAGUCACAAGAGCAAAACGAGAAACAUUAAGACUAAUCAUUGCGCCCUAUACAUUUAACUUGCAACAAUUACUUUUUCGCAUCUAUCGGUACAAAAAUAAACCUAAUUAUUUUGUUCUAUUAUAACCGCGAGAGAGAAAUUUUGGAACGAUAUCGAUGUCAACGUAUUCGCAAGAGCCAAACGAACAAACAUUAUACUACCAAGUUGGCGCCGUAACAUAUAACUUUGCACACGAGUAUUUUUCUUCAUUCAUACAUCGAACAAGUGUUAAAAGCUAUUUAUACUAUUCUAUUAGCCCGAGAUGUAAAUUUAGAACGAAUCGACGUGUGAAACAUUCACAAGAACCAAAACCUGACAUACAAUUUACUACUCUUGCUAGUCGCCGCUAACAAUCGUAUAAUUUUGCAACGAAGUACUUUUUCGCAUUCUACGCAUAAUGAGUAAAACUAAUUAUAUUGUUCUAUAUGCUCCGAGAGUGUAAAUUUUGAACGAAUUCGAUGUCAACAUCAUAUCAAUAGACCAAACCUAGGACAAUAAUAGACUACAUUGUUGACCCCUAAACAGUAAUAAAUUAGCAAUGAAGUGCCUUUUUGCAUUCUAACUAGAACAAAGAUAAUAGCCUAUUUACUAUUAUUCACUAUUAUGCCCCGAAGUGUAAAAUUUUGGAACAGAAUUCGAUGUCAAACAUUACACAAGAAGUCAAAACCGGAACAACAAUAAACUAUCUUUGCGCCUAACGAGUAUAAAUUUUGCAACGAGUGCUUUUUCCCGCAUUCUAUCGAACAAAAAGUAAAACUAAUUAUAUUGUUCUAUUAAACCGAGAGAUAAAUUUGGACACAAUCGAUGUCAACGUUCACAAAGCAAACCGGAGGAAACAUUGACAACUCAGUUGCGCCUAACAUUGUACCUUUGCAAGAGUCCUUUUUCGCAUUCUAAUUCGGGACAAAGGUAAAAAACCUAAUUUAUUUGUUCUAUUAUGCCGGAGUGUAAAUUUGAACGAAUCGAUGUAAACCUUCACAAAAACCAAAACCAUGAACACAAUAGACUAUCUCAUUCGCCCUAACAGUAUAACUUUGCAACGAGUACUUUUUCUCCAUAAUAUCCUCCCUGAACAAACAGAGUAAAACCUAAUUAAAUUGUCUAUUUAUGCGUCCCCGAGAAUGGUUAAAUUUAGAAUGAAUCGGAUGUCAAUACCUCACAAGAACGGAAAACCGGAAACAACAUAGACUACUUCUGUUCGGCCUAACAUAUAAUCUUGCAACGAUGCUUUUUCGCAUUCUAUCAACAAAAGUAAAACCUAAUUUAUAUUUUUCUAUUUAUACCCCGAGAGAGUAAAACUUUGACUAAUCGAUGUCAACUAGUUCCGCAAGAGCCAAAUACCGGAACAACAUUAGACUCUACAGUUUGCGCGCCCUAACAUAUAGACUUGGCAACGAGUACUUUCUACAUUCAAUCGAAACAAAGUGUAAAAAGUCUAAUUUAUAAUUAUUCCUAUUAUGCCCGAUAUGUAAAUUUGGAACGACAUCGAAUGUGAAAUUCAAAGAAACCAAAACUGGAACACAAUUUACUACUUCAACUUGCGGCCUAUAAUAUAACUUUGCAACGAGUCUUUUUCGCCAUUUCCUCCUCGAAUAAUGAGUAAAACCUAAUUAUAUUGUUCUAUUACCCCACGAGAGUGAAAUUUCCGAACGACUCGAUGUCAAACCAUACACAAGACCAAAACCGAACAACAAUAGACUACAUUGUUUGCCCUACAAACAUAUAAAUUGCAAUGAUAGCUUUUUCGCAAUUCUAUCGAACAAAGAGUAAAAGCUAUUUAAUAUUAUUCUAAUUAUAGCCCACAGAGUGAAAAUUUGGAAAACGAAUCGAUGUCAAACUUAUUCAUCAAAAGCAAAACCGGAACAACAAUUGACUACUCUGUGCGCCCUAACAGUAUAAAUUUGCCAACGAGUGUUUUCGCAUUCUAUCGAAAAAAAGUAAAACCUAAUUAUAUUGUUCUAUUAUACCCCAGAGAGAAAUUUGGAACGAACGAAUGUCAACUGUUCACAAACCAAAACCGAGAAACAUUAUACAACUCAGUUUCGCCAUAAUAUCUGUAAUGGCAACGAGUACUUUUUACGCAUUCUAUCGGACAAAGAGUAAAACUAAUUAUUUGUUCUAUUACUCCCCAGAUGUAAAUUUGAAACGAAUCGAUGUAAAACUUCAAAAAAAUAACCAAAACCCGGAACAACAAUAGACUACUAGCAUUGCGCCCCUAAAAGAUAACUUUCAACGAGUACUUUUCUCAUAUAUCAACAAAGAAGUAAAACCUAAUUAUAUUGUUCUAUUAUGCCCCGAAGAAUAUAAAUUCGAAUGAAUCGAGUCAACUGCUUACAAGAACCAAAACGGAACAACAAUAGACUAACUCUGUUCUCCCACUAACAGUAUAAAUCUGCAACGAAGUGGCUUUUUUCGCAUCUAUCGAACAAAAAGAUAAAACUCUAAUUAUAUGUUCUAUUUAUAUCCCGAAGAGGUAAUUUGAACUAAUCAGAUUCAAAAACGUUCGCAAGAGCCAAAACAUGGAAUAUCACAUUAGACUACUCAGUUGCGCCCGUAAACAUGUAAACUCUUUGCACGAGUACUUUUUCUCGGUAUUCAAUCGAACAAAGCUGUAAAAGCUUAUCUUACUAUAUCUAUUAUCCCGAAUGGUAAAUUUGGAACGAAUGAUGUGAAACCAUUCACAAGAAUCAGUAAAACGCAACAACAAUUUACCUACUCAGUUCGCCCAUAAACUAAUUAUUAACUUUGCGGCAACGAGUUACUUUUUUCGCAUCUCUAUCAAAUGAUAAAACCUAGGAUUAUAUUAUUGUUCUAUUACCGAUUUUUAUCCGAAGGUUAAAGUUGUUAUUCCAGAACGCAAUCGAUUCAAACCAUUGCACAAGAACUCAAACCGGAAAAACAACUAGAACUACAUUGUUGCGCCCUACAGUAUAAAUUUGGCAGAUUGAUCUUUUUCGCAUUCAGUCGAACAAAAGAGUAACUAGCACUAUUUAUAUUAUUCUAUUAUUCCCCGAGAGUUAAAUUUGGAUGUAAACGGAAUCGAUGUCACAAUUCACUAAGAAGCAAAACCGAACAAACAAAUAGACUACUCUGUUGCGCCCUAACAGUAUAACAAUUGUGCAACGAGUGCUUUUUUCGCAUUCUUACUAGAACAAAAAGUCAAAACCUAAAUUAAUUGUUCUAAUUAUACCGCGAAGAGUAAAUUUUGUAACUAAUUCGACUGUCCAACGUUCGCAAGAGCCAAUACCGACAACAUUAGAACUACUCAAGUUGCGCCCUAUACCGAUUAUAACUUGCCAAACGAGUACACUUCUCUACAAUCACAAAAGUGUAAAAACUNNNNNNNNNNNNNNNNNNNNNNNNNNNNNNNNNNNNNNNNNNNNNNNNNNNNNNNNNNNNNNNNNNNNNNNNNNNNNNNNNNNNNNNNNNNNNNNNNNNNAAAGAGAUUCUUUUGCUGAAUCAUAGGGACCGUCCAUCAUCAUUUGGGCGAAAUUCUCAUUAGCAGAAUUCGGGCACACCUCCAAACCAGGAGCAACCUAACGACCCAACCACUUCAAAUCCUGUGUUGGCUACAACCCCACUUCUCAGUGCAUCCUCGAUGCCAUGAUCUAUCACGGUCGUGGAAGUCCACUUCCCAGGGUCUAAGAGCUCGACUACAAACCGUCUUGACAUAACUCUGCCCCUACCCACGCCGUGUGUCACCCCAAGCUGACUGCGCCUGGUCAUAAGGCCCCGCUUCCACAGUCCCGAGUAGUCGGCAAGCACGAUCGUCCUCCAAGCAUACCCAAUCAGCCCGUCAUCACACGGACUACGCUCACGCCGAGCAAGCACAGCGAUCACUCUAGCGUUACAACACUACGCCCAGCAUUAGGCACACUUGGUCAAACCCCGGAUCUAACUUUUGGUAGGCGACACAACUGUCUCAAACUCAGCUCAUGCAUGGCUAGUAUAUAUACGCGCUCAUGUCCUGGUCCCGUACUCAUACUAUUAAUGCAUAAGUAAGUUAGAAAUGCAUCAUCAAGGUAAAAUGCAUGCAGUUCAUAAGUCUAACCAUCAUGCAGAAACGAUAUGAUUGCGCGUUAAAAUUUAGCCAUACCUGCCACCGAUGGUCGCGGGUGCGCUGCAGAACUCGGCAGGUUCCUUCGACUGUGAGCGGCCGCGAACACCCCGACUCGGGCCGACGCGGGUCGCCUCGAGCUGACGGGCGCGCCCGUCAGCAGGGUCCCGGCAGAUACGGCAGUAGGCGUAACUCACCCAACUACCUCCAGAGUCACUGGGGGGAUGCAAUAGGACGGGGACAGGCGGCAUCCUCUGGAACACUAACGGGCUCAUAUGCCCCCUUGACACACCUGAAGCAUCGUCCUGCCGAUGCUCAACAAUUCCCAUGCCGAUGCUCCCCCGCAGAUCACACACGCAUAGUCCGUUCGACCCUGCUCUCGGUACUUCGGGGGCUUCUUGAACUAGACUGUCCCCCGAACCACUGCCAGGCCGUUUCUUUCCUUUGUCUUUCUCAGAUGGUCCGCUCGGCCUCACUCGCUCACGAGGCAUUCCGAUGCUCGCAACCGCACAGAGCACCAAUCUAGCACUUCGCAAAGGUGCGGAAUCUUAAAAUGCAAUGUACCAUAUCGGAACACUCCGGCCGAAUCCCCGCACAAGCACUCCGCCCGAUCUUGCUCGUCCUUGCCACAUCAGGAACGCACAUUCAAGGAGAAUGUGUAAACCCGCUCUGUACUCCCGAACUGUAGCGGUUGCCUUGCUUGACGCUUCCGAAAAUCCUUCUCCAUUUUCCUUUAUCAUUCACUGUCAGGGAAAUACGUUCCGCGAGACAUCAGCCCUGGAACCCGCCAAUCAAUCGGGGGAAGGUUCGGUAGAACGGAUCCUGCUUCACCCUCCUCCACCAACUCGGGCCCUCUUAUCAAUAGCUAAUGAGUGGCCAAGUUUACUUGUCUUGCUCUCGGUAAUAGAUUCCUCAAACAUUGCUUCUUCCAUCCGUGGCUAAACCAGGUCUCCCGGACCAAGCAUCAUCACUCGCCAUCAAAUUGUCGGAGGUGGAAUUUCAUAAACCUCGGUGAGAGCCGUGUAACCGCGCUCCGCCCGCUUCCUCAGUCGGCCCGCAUCGGGUAUCGUGAACCCGAAGCCGCUGGAGAUGAACACUCGGUCCGGGAGGGGGAAUUGCGCGCCGCCGCCCGAGCUGCCCGCUGCCCCACACCUUCAGCCGCAUUUGAGGCACCGAGCCGAGGCGCGGGAGGACCACAGAUCUCAGCUUGCCGUCGCGGCUUGCCGCCGACCACUUGCCGCUCCAAAAGCCCUGGAGCCGCUCAGUAUCCUGUCUGGUUAGCGCAGUCAACUUGCGCUCGUCACUCCUGCACCUCCUAGGGCCGCCAGCUAGCUCUGGCGGUAGCGGGAGUCCAGCCUGCUUGGCACCACGGGAGGUGGUCCGGAACGGAUCUACUGUGCGUACGUCUCGGGGACAUCAGGCUCCUGAAACGCAAAACAUCUGGUAAUUCAUCUUAACUCCGUUAACCUCGCGCGAUUUUUACUAGACACCCGACUCAUCGGGCGAAAGUCACGCAAGGGCGUCUAUUUCUCAUCACCUGGCUUCAUGUUGUGUGCACCCAACAUGACACCCUCGGUUGAGAAUACAACCACACCUUGAGUACUACCUCUAACAUCCAUUUAGACGGUUCACCGAACACAACCAAUCAUAAAUCCUAUUCGCGACAGCAACCUCAUAGGUUCAGCGUCUCUCCACUGCACGCUAUAGCCUUAGGUUUCUAUCCUACGGGUCUCCUAGGUUAGUGCUAAACUCUCUCUUUGCUGCUCUUAACUCGCUCUUUACCACAACUGUCACACCCGCCCCGAAACCACUACCAAUUGUGCACGGUUCGGGCCACCGGCGGCACCGCGAACACAGGCACUCCUGUCCGCUCCAAGCUAAAGAGACGAGAUUGUGUAGCAACAAGUUUUUCCCAGGGAAACACUUGAAUAAUAUACACAAUCAUUCAAACAACUAGCGAGAGCACAAACAGUGCGAACAAAAUGAGAGCAGCAUCACAAGUAGAACGCAUACAAGUGAAUAAAAGAGAGAAUAAUAAACGUAACUAUGUACACACAUUGGCAUCAACAAUUACAAUCCAUUCAACUUCUAAUACACGACUGAUUUAAUUUAAGCUUCAAAAUAUAACAUAAAGUUUACAACUUAACUUCAAAUGAUCUCAACACCCUAAUACAUUCAUCUACUCUCAAAAGUAUAGUAAAUUGCUAAUGGCAAAUAGGUAGGUAGCUACCAACUCUAGGGCGCUAAGGCCUUACCACGAUCACUGCUGCCGGUCCGGCUCUCACGUGUACCUGUACCCAAAACCACAGGCGGGGUGAGAACUAUAUAAAUAAUAUGUCCCAGUCGUUCGGCCGCCGACCUCCGCCGAUCUUCCCAUAGGUCUAAGCUGGCAGCAUAUAGAUAGAUAGAUAGAUAUAUAGAAAUAAACUGAAUACAUAUCACUAAUGGGGCACCAAAUGCAAGGAAUGAGCAACACAUUUAUCAUGGCCUAGUAUGGCUUAAACAAUGAAAUAAUUACAACUACAACCAUAGUUAUGCAGUGUAUUAUUUAAUCAUGGUAAUGAAUGCAAAUCCACGUUAUGGCAAUUCAUUUAUGAACCCUGCCAAUCCGUUAGGCUACCCCACCUAAGAUUUCGAUAACACACAUAGGUGAAAGAGCUACCCCCGCCUGUCUCACCCGUCCACAACUCUAAUACUAUAGGUAAAGAGCUACCCGCUCUUACCAAACUUAGAUCUCAAGUACGAUAGGUGAAGAGCUACCCCGCUCGCUCACCCAACUCAUAACCCAAUGCUAAGGCAAGAGCUACCCCGCUCUUUCGCCAGCCGACUAAACCUCAUCUCAUAGGUCAAGAGUUACCCCGCUCAAUCUCACUAGGUGAAGAGCUACCCCGCCUUCGCCCGACUCACUUCGCGCAGUCCAAUGGGUGGGGAGCUACCCCGCUCGGAUCCACCCGGUGGCUCCCGCUCAUGAAACUACCCAGCUUCGUUGACAAUCCGGCAGUUGCACUUCUUUGUGGGGGAGGCGAACGCCACAAGUCAAACAGACUAUGUGAGUAUGAUCCGAUCCUCGCUAACUGAGAAUACCUGCUCCAGCUAGGUAACCCUCACUUGAUAAUCCACAAGCUAUCCGCUUGUCCAUUCAUUGUCUCAACCGCCCUAAAUCUUGAUGCAUCACCAGGUCUAAUCACUCUAGUUCCACAACACAGGUUUAAAUGUCAACCUCAUUGUAAGCAACAUUAUGUUAAUGCAUUCGAUCUAUCCUAGGUUCACGACACUGGUUUAGUAUGCCACAUGCUGCAUAUCUCCAAUAAUUAACAAUCGGUUAACAUUCAUUCUUCAUCUAGGCUACAUAUGGUUCUAUAAAGCCAACAUGCAUCAUACAUCUAGUAAUACAUCUUCAUAAUGUAAUAUCCAUUAUGCAACUAAGAUGCAAUCCAUUCAUUAAUGCUACAUGCAUACAAUCUCAAUUACACUAUUCUACAUGUCAUUAGUUUCAUUAUUCAGUCCAAGUUCUUAUUUUCUUUUCAAUUAAUAGGAUCUCAUAUCUAAACCAUUCCGGCCUCAUGCAUUCUAAGAUUCUAGGUUCAAGUCAAUAUAUACUACACGAACUAGCAUGCAUUCAAGAAAGUAGAUAAUUAAUAAUACAUUACAUCUAUAAUGCCAUAAUGAAACAUGUGUAAUAUGACAAAGAUCUUAACUGCGAUAUAGAAGGAAGCCCGAUUGCUCAGAUAGACACCCCCUAGACCUUUUUAUAGCGUGCGAUUGCUCGUCGUCACCUCGCAAUCGGCCACCCCGCCGCGCACGCCCGCUCGCUCGACCGCUAUUCACGCGCGACCCACUCGAACGAUCCUCCGCUUCGCGAUCCGAUGAAAUAUCAGGUUCUUGGUUUCCUAGUCUACGAUGCUCGGGAUUCAAUCCCAUGAUUUAUUGAAGCGCCUCGACUCUCCAGGGCCAAUACGAACUCACGAAACUUGUUUCAGCCGGAACGUCCCGCACCGCUCGACGAAUCGACAGAAGCCGUCGGCUUCCUACGCGUUGGACACAACAUUAGGUUUCUGACACUCAAUUUAAUCCAAACCAAGUAUUUACAAACCUCAUUUUUAACCCUUAGGUUUGUAUACUAAGAGCAACCAACAUACACACCAUUUUGGACCUAAGCUGUAAGCAAUAAACAUCUAAUUAGCAUCUAAAUACUUGCGCUAAAAUGCCAUUUCUAUGAGCAUUUAAAAUCACACCCCUAGAGAAUCUAACAUUUAAACCUCAUUUGGAGCCUAAAUCUCAUUGUUGCACAAAAGCAACAUCAAGCUAUAACCUGCAACAAAUGAGAUUGACAAUCUCUAAGCAUCAAUAAAUCCUAUCUCCAGGUAUUCAAACUCUAAUCCAAGCCAUUCUGUUAGGUCUAUGUGUUGGCAGUUUCGUGGUCGAUCAGAGUCUUGAAGAAGGUCCGGAGCGGAGUAUUAAAGAUCGAAGAAUCCAAGACUUCGAAGUAAAUCGAAAGACCAAACAAAACAUGAAUCAACGAUGCUUAGGUAACCUUUACAUCAUGUUUAUUGUGAUUUCAUACUUAAUUAUAAGAUUUGUAGAAUCAUGUUUUCAAACAGUGUAAUGAAUAGAAAGUUUCUAAGAGCUUGUAAAAACCCGAAACAAUGCAUUUUCAGGCAAAUUAGCAUUAUUGUACGGCGGUACAAGAAUUUUCUGUCCAGGGUAACCAGCCAUCAUCAUAGUUGCGCAGAAAGUUUGAUGGUUGUUCCGUAACCAAUCACGGCUGUCCAGGGUACAAGCCUGUUCGGAACAAAAAGGAAGUCUGUCCAGGGUACAGAAGCUUCGCAAGAAAAAUCUUCGUCAUGCUGUAAACCCUGGACAGGCUUUCCUUUUCGCGGUACCAGUGCUGAUUUUGGAAAGAAAACUUUCUAACCUACUCUGUUUGAUUCUCAAGUCUAUAUAAUAACUAUAGGGCUCUAACUGAUUAAGCAUCCACGAAAAUACUAUUGGAGAAACCUAGAGCUCGGAUUUCAAUCUAAAAACCUAUUUUCUACAAAAAGCCUCUUUUAGAAUCAAAUCGAGAUAUUGAAUUUGAUAUUAAUUAUGCUCAUUUGAUUUCCGCUUCGCUGGAGUUCUAAUUCCUGGUUUUACGAUACUCCAAAGCGAGGAUCACCAUAUUCAGAUAUUCUUCAUGGGUGCGUCGUGGAUUCGGCGUGAUUUGACAGCCGGUUCGUGAUUCGGAAUCGUGGCUCGUGGAUUCGACGUGAGCAGUCGUGGAUUCGGCGUGAUGAAGCUUCGUGGAUUCAAAGUGGGCUUUCGUGGAUUCACGUGAGGGCAUGGACAACACCGAGGUAGCGGCGAAGAUUCAUAGGAGGUUAAGAGAGGUAGAGUCGUGGAGUGCCGUAAUCACCCUUGUAAUCUUUUCUCUAAGUGAAUUAUUUUUUUCGCACGUGUUGGUCACCAUUGGUUUUUCUCCAAGUUGAGUUUUUCCCACGUAAUCUCGGUGUGCUUUUAUUUUCGCAUUUAUUUUAUGCUCGAGAUUUGAUGGUCUUUUGGCUAUUUACACCUAUUCACUCCCCUACCUGGUGUUAGAACUAACCAUCUAAGAUAGAUCUGGGCUACCAACCUUUCAAUUGGUAAUCAGAGCGGAUCUAUAACUUAUUUUCUAAUGCCGAAGCGGUAACGUUAAUCGACCACAUCUUCGAUGGCAUCGAAUUAUGCGUAUUGGAAAGUCGCAUGAGACUUCUAAUUGCGGCCAUCGAUAAGCUGUUUGGGAAAGCUAUUAAUUUGGUUGGGAGCACUGUUCUACGCGAAGUUGUCAAUAAACGCUAUCCAGUUCUAAACCACGGUAACAAGUGGAACAAAAAUGAAAGGAGUCCAUCUUCGUUUAACCGGUAAAGGAAUUUAAUGCUUUAGUCAACGCUUUAUCGCAAACGGAGUUACUCGGGUUUUUGGCAUUGCGAAAGCGGCAAAGAAAAUUUGGGAUACUCUACAAGUUACGCAUGAAGGAACAAGCUUAGUAAAGGUCCAAAAAUUGCAAAUGCUAACUAGCUAAGUUUGAUUGUCGACUUUCUAUGGGAGGAAAUGAGACCUUUCACCGAGCUACUAUACGCGUCCACAAGACAUUGUGAAUACAUGUGCUAACUUGGGAGAGACAAUUCCGGAUUCAAAGUUUAUGUAGCAAAAAAGUUCUUCACCUUCAAGGAAGCGCUUCGGCAAGUUGCAGCGAUUUGAAACGGUUAAGCAUCCGCCGAGAUUAGAUGAAAGUCGAAGAAUUAGUAGGUCUUUACAAACGAUGAGAGACUUUUCCUACUAAUCAAUCUUCUUCGCAAGUCUUCUCUAAAAGUCAGGGGUUGCGUUCAAUCAACAAGCUAAGAAAGACGACGAAAACUCGAAUCAGACGAGAUUAUUUUCGCUUGCCAGGAUUUCGAAAAUCAAACUUGCACUCGAACGAAGAAGUUUCGUCGGAAUUUCCGAAAGAGAGAAUGAUCGGGCCCAAAGGGCUUCAUUAUCUAAAUCUUCAUGCUACAUCUAAGGAAAGAAGCGUGCAAAGGCUUCCGAAAGAAAAGGAUGUAUUGAAGGCGAGAUGCCCAAGUGCUACAAAUGAAAGGCAUAUGCGCACAUCAACGGAUUGCCGCUUAAAGAAGCGUUAACAUAGACAAAAGCAUGGCAAGCAAAAAUCUUGGGAUGAUUCUUCUGAUGAACCCCCAAUUCGUCAAGGUGACGAGAAAGAGAUCCAAAUUGCCUUAUUUGCUAAAUCUCCUUCAUUAACGUUGUGUGUUAUCCUCUUAUUGCUACUAACUCUAAUGUUUCUGUUUCCUCGCAUCGACUCAUCGAACGACAACGCGAAACGAGGAGGAUUGCACACAGACAACAGUAGCAAAGCGUACAAUCAACGUUCUCAUUGAAUCAAAGACAGAUGGCUAAACUCAACAAGAAGUUGAGACGUCGUUUGUUGGAAUUUGAGGAGGAAAACAACAAUGUAACAGAAUAUGAAUAAAGGCUCUUUGAGGAGAAGGGAAAUCAAUUGUGAAAAUAAUCAGCACUCUGCAAGAGAAGCUAGAUGAAGCGGAUCAAACGAUCAAAGUUCUAUAAAGAUAAAGUUGGAAAUUUUGGAGGCAACAAUUCGAGAUGCGUACCACAUCCACAAGUUUGACCAACUCUUCAGUCAACUUCAAUCAACAAUUCACGAUUUUCUCCCGAAUCAAAAGAACUAGAUCAUAUGCUGCGGAUUGGGUCAAACGAACAAGCUUGGACCCGAUUACGAACGGACAUCACGUCUGAGUAAGUACUCAAAUUCAACUUUUAAAGUCUCAACAACUUCAAAAGAGAAGAAUGUGUCAUAAAUUGGCAAGAAAAGGUCACAUUAAAAGGAAUAUGGCCUAAAUAUAGGAAAGAAAAUCAAUCGGCCUUCUACAACCUCAAGCAUCAUCUACACAUCGACUUCGCCCACGGAAUCAAAAGAAAAAUCAAGUUAGUCGAUACCUCAAAAGAAUCGGUUUGCUAUAACAACGCCAAGUUCAUGCAAACGGGCUGCGUAAGCUCAACGACAAAUUCAACCGACGACGCCAUCAACCGAAGAACCACCAACGGUUGAUCAAAAAUCUAAAACAACGGCACCGUGACCCGAGAAAAACCAAAGAUCGACAAGUUUGGAUGGCCGGAAAGGUGAUAUGUUUCUUGCUCCUCGUCUUAGUCAUUUUUGAUUUUUAGUGUAAUCGCUUUGAUUGGUGCUUGUUGUAUAUUUUGUAUUCAUUGCAUUAUAUUUACAUAGAUUUUUUGUACUUGAAUUUUAUUGUUAUAAUAAAUCUUUUUGAGGACAAAGGUGUUUAGUGAAUUCAAAAUUUUCGGAGAAAGAGAAUAAUUGAGAUCGCAGUCGAUUUUGGAGAAAGAAAUUCUUUAGAAAAAAAAGAGGUGUUUGAACGUUGUUUUUUCCAAAUGAUAAUUAAGUUAAAUUCAUAUUAAUUAUCGUUUUUACUCCAACUUUUAUUAUUUGACGUAUAAUUAAUAUAUGAUUUCUGUAUGGCAUAUAUUCAUCAAAACUCUGAAUCAAAUUGAUUUUUUGGUGAUUAAUUCAUCUUGUUGUGAGUCGUUGGAUAUGAUGAAUGGAUAUUCUCUAAUUGACUAAAAUUCGUCAAAUUAUUUUCAAACUGUGAGAUUGUCCUAAUUAAGGGGGCAGUUUGAAAUUGUGUUAAAAUAAAAAAAGAGAAAAAGAAACUCCUAUGUUUAAAACUGUGGAAAGAGUUACAUCCUAAAAGGAGUGUGAAAACUACCAACCACGUGUAGGAAAGAGCUACACCCGGUCCGCCGGUAAGUGUUGAAGCUAACCACAUGGAAAUUAAUUGAAAAGCCGCAAAGCGUGAAAAAAAAUAAUAAUUUUAGAAUUUUUGGAGUAAUAAGGUUGCUACUAGUUUGAAAAAGAUCUCAAAGAGGCCCCCCCGGGUAUCAUGUUAGUCUUAAAUGCUCUAUUUUGAACGUGUUACGAUAAUUUUUGGUGUCAAUUUUUGUUGAAUUCUAAAAAAAGCAUUUUUCACGCCAACUUACAUGCUUUGAUGUUUUUGAUCAUUAAUUAUUUUUGAUAUUGAAAAUUUUGAUCUUUUUCGAUGUGUUUUGAAUUUUAUAAUAUUUAUUUUCAUUAAAUGAUUUUGAAUAAAAGCCUAAAUUUAUUUGAAAUUAAUUUUAAUUUGAUGGAUUUUAAGCACUUUUUUGAAAUAUGAGAUUGCUUUGUCAGCUACUUUCCUCUUUCACUGGCGUUUGCUGUUUAGCAGCCAUGUUUUAGAUUUGCUUCGCGUUAUGCUUUCUAUAGGUAUGCUUUUAUUUUUGCUUUUAGGCCAUGUCCUAUGAUGACUACUCUAUGCUUUCUAGUAUGUUUUCUUCUCUUUAAUUUGCUUUCUUUGGGCAUUUUGACAAAAAGGGGGAAAGCGUAGAUGAAGAGGGAGAGCAUGGAUGAACAGGCAUUGACUGAAGCAGAGGAUGAUAGUUCAGAACUAAAGAGGGAAGAUGUGAACAAAGAGAGAGGAAAUCAGAGACUUCAAGACUUCCUGUUGCGUCUAAGUCAUAGAGUCCGUGUUUUAGGAGUUUUGAAUGUAACUUUGAGUUUCAAAUGUAUUUGAUUACACGCGGAUGGGUUUCGAUGUUUUGGUGAUGACAUUGAACUUCGGUUUUUUUCUUUAAUUGUUAAUUUGUGAGUUUGUGUGUGUUUUUGUCACGAAAAAUUGCCAAAGGGGAGAUUGUAGGUCCUAUGUGUUUGGCAAGUUAUCGUGGUUCGAGUUCGAGUCUUGAGAAGUUCGGAGGCGGAGUAUUAAAGAUCACGAAGAAUCCAAGACUUUCGAAGAUCGGCAAAGGCACGCAAACACGUAAAACAUGAAUUCACCAUGCUUAGGUAAAACCUUUUAAAUCAUGUUUAUUGGUGAUUCAUACUUAAUAUAGAUUUUAGAAUGCAUGUUUCAAGUUGUAAUUGAUUAGAAAGUUUCUAAAGAGCUUGUAAAACACGAAAUAAAUGCAUUUUCAGCAAAAAUUGCAUUGUUGUACGGUACAAGAAUUUUCUGUCCAGGGUAACAAGCCAUCCAACGUUUUGCCAGAAACAGUUUGAUGGUUGUUUCCGUAACAACCAUCACGGCUGUCCAGGGUAGCAGCCCUGUUCGCGAACAAAAAGCAGUCCUGUCCAGGGUUACAGAAGCUUCGUAAGAACAAAAUCUUCCGUCAUGGCUUUGUACCCUGGAUCAGCUUUCCUUGUUCCGAUGGCAAGGCUGGAAUUUUGGAAAAAACUUUCUAAUCCUACUCUGUUGAUUCUAAAAAGUCUAUAAAUAAGCUAUCAGGGGUUCUCUAUACUGAUUAACUUCACGAAAAUACGAUAUUGGAGAAACCUACGAGGCUCGAUUUCAUCUAAAAAAACGCUAUUUUCUACAAAAAGCUGCUUUAGAUCAAAUGCGAGAUAUUGAAAUUUGAUAUUAAUAUGUCGAUUUGAUCUCCGCUUAGCCUGGAGUUCUAUUCGUGGUUUUCUACGAUACUCCAAAAGCGAGGAUGCCCAAUAUUCAUUGAUAUCUUCAUGGUGGCGGUCGGUGGAUUCGGCGUAUUCUGACGCGGAUUCGUGGAUUCGGAUCGUGGCUUCGUGGAUUCGAGUGGUGUCGGGAUUCGGCGUGAUUGAAGCUUUCGUGGAUUCGAAGUGUGAGGCGUUCGUGAUUCGACGUGAGGGCGCUGGACAACCCGGAGGUAGGCGAAGAUUAUCGGAGUUAAGAGAGGUAGAGUCCGUGGAGUUCGGAAUCACCUUGUAAUCUUUUCUCUUAGUGAGAUUAUUUUUCGCUGUGUUGGUCCCGUGUGGUUUUCCUCCAAAGUUGGAGUUUUCCCACGUAAAUUCUGUCUUUUUAUUUUUCAUAUUUAUUUUUUUGCAUCGAGAUUUUUGGUCUUUUGGCUUUUACACACUAUUCCCCCCUCUAGGUGUUAGAUACAUCUAUAGAUAGGAUCCUUGGGCUAACUCCAAAACUUUCACAUUCACUAUGUGAGAGGGGUUCAAAACCUUACCUCUACCAAGCUUCUUCUCCAAGCAAUGGAAGAGGAAGAUGAAGCUUUUGCUCCCUCAAGCUCCAAAUCUCCUCCUUCUCCUCCUUCUUGAUCAACUCCAAGAGAGAGAGAGAGCUCUAGAGAGAGAGAGAGAGGGUGUUCUUUUAGGGUGGGAGUGUGAGGGAGUGAGAGGAAAUGAGCCCUAGCCCCUCUAAUCAACUCCUCAUGUGGCAAAAUUGCCAAAAAGCCCCUCAACUUCAUGUUUCCUGCAUUGCCCCGCGCGGGGGCCAUUUUUGUAUAGGGGACCGGUCCCCGGACUUGAGGGACUGGUCCCCGUAGGUCCAGAUUUUCAGCAAUUAAGGACUUAGCCAAAUUUCAGCCUUUUUCGCCGUUUUAGCUCCGUUUUCGCUCAUUUUCGCUCGUUUGACCUCCGAUUCUCUUCAAAUCGAACCGAGACUCUCCAAACAUGUUCUCGAGCGUAUUUUCAUCAUCUUUUCAUCCACGCUAAUGCCGGAUUUGGCUCACAGCCCAACACGGCCCUUCGGGCUCCGUUUAGCGCCUAUGCGCACCGGAACGCCCGAAUGCUUCCGGACCUCACCGGAACCUCACCGAGACCAUUCAAACGGCUUUCCAAUCAAAUGUAUUCCGUGACUUCGUGAUUUUAGAAGUCCGGUAUGUUACAAGAUUUGUGGUGAUUAAGCUUUAGGAUCCCAUAAGCACUGAGGGUCUACCUUUUAAUCAAACAUCUACUUGAUUCUCGUAUGAGUUCUCAAGUAAAAAUGAAGAAUCAAGUCUAUUGUUGAUUGUUAGAAACUUGUUAUAAGAAUCAAACCAUAAGAACGAGAAAAACAAGUUUCUAGGGUUUAGAAUGAGUAGAAAUUCAAAGCCUCGAAUUUUUAGAUGACCCCCAUAGCUUAUUUAUAUGUUUAGAAGACUUAGAAGUAGACUAUGAUUGCAAAAAGUUCUUUUUUAAAACCUGUGUCGUCCUCAGUGACCGGUCCUCUCGAGGAGACCGGUCUGUGAGAGACCGGUCUCUCAAGUGAGGAACCAGUCCCUCACUGCGUGACCAAAAACACAACGUUCGGGAACCGGUCUCUCAAGCUUGAGAUCGGUCCCUCGCUGCGCGACAGAAUUACCAAGGUUCGGGAACCGGUCUCUCAUCUCAGGGGACCGGUUGCAUUAAAACUCACGCAGAGAGGACCUUAGGGGAACCGGUCUCUUCACCUCAGGGACCGGUCCUAGAACACAGAAAAGUUCAGUAAAAAAGUUUUAAAGCAAUCUAAGCCUUCUGACCUUAUUCUAAUUAAGUAUCUUCACCACAAAUGAUCUUUUCUCCAUACCUUAGGUGCCAAACUUUACGAAUGAAUCUUUGUUCUUCAAUUUGAAUCUUUUCUUCAAAAACUUCCGCGAUCAACUCUUCAAGACUCCAAUCAACUUUACGAAAUUCGCCAACCUAUAAAAUCCUUAACAAGGAGGCACAAGGCACAACCACCCGAAGGAUCUUCGCCGGGCACAUCCACCCGUGGUGCUUUUCUUCUCCGGAGUACACCGCUUGUGGAGGAGCGACCUCCACAAGCCGGAACCAAUACAUGUGAGUAUGAUCCCAUCCUCAAUUUGAUGAGGUAUGGCCAACCUGUCACAAUUCUCACAGUCUCAAUGCCGAUGAAUGGUUAAUACCUAUUCAUGCACAUACUAUCAUUUGCCAACGUCAUAAUGGUCCUGAUGCCACAAUACACAUAACGUCUCUCGGUUAAACCUUGUUUAACUAUUCUCUUUUCGAUGUCAAUCGAGUCACUAAUGUCAAUGUCGCCUUUGUUUACUACGGUCAUAGUCAUUUCUCACAGUCACAUGCAUAUAUGGUCAUUCAUUUUCUUUGUUCACAUGGUUCUAUAUCAUUACAAUAAUCUUGAGCAGAUAAUUGUUACAACCAACAUAUGCCAUUCAUUAUCCUACAUGCAAGAAUGCUAUAAUACCAACAUGCUCAAAGAAGGGACAUAGACAUAGAAAGAGAUCCGGCGUUUCCGGAUAGCACCCCCCACCUUUAUGUGCCACAAGGAUGCCGUGGUCCAGAUUUCACGAUUUUUAGACUUGUUCGCCGCGAGCUACGUCGAUCUGUACUAUUUCAGCUUGUUUUCUUAAUAUCCUUGCGCAUGCUCGUCGUAUCGCCGAACCGAGCGCACCGACACGUUCAUAGACCUACCAAUUAGGUUAAGAUGAGAUCAAACCCAAGUUCGAACCCCAAAAUUACAAAACCCUAAAUAUAGGUCCCUUAACAACAUCAUCUUCCCCAACUUAGGUCCUUACUCAUAAGAAACUUAGGGAAAAUAUUCUAAUCCAUCUCCUAGAAGUAUACUAGAAGGAAAAACCCAAACCCUAGUUCAAAACCUAUAAGAACUCACCUUUGGAGUUCAAAACUUUCCUUCAAAAGCCUUGCCUAGCUUGCUCUUCACCUUGGAGAGCUUCUUCUCCAAGCUUGCUCCUCCAAAUCCCCUCUUGGUCCAAGCCCUAGAGAGAGAGGGAGAGAGAAAGGAAAGGUUUUUAGAGAGAGAAAGAGGAAAAGGUGUUGGUGUAGGAGUGAGAGCAAAUGAGCUCUCACUCAUGCCCUAGCCCAUAUAACCCUUCACAUGUCACUUUUACACUUAAACCCCUCAACUUUUAAUUUUUGCAAUCAGCCCUUACUGGGCAAUUUCGGGCUCGGGGACCGGUCUCUCCCCUUCAGGGACCGGUUCCCGAGAGCUGCCCUGCACUCUGCGUAGAAGGGGACCGGUCUCCCCCCGGCACAGUGCGGUCUCCCGGGACCGGUCUCCCGCCGAAGGACCGGUUCCCGAGAGCUCAGCUUCUAGGACUUAGCCGAUUUUUUCAUUCUGCUUGGCUGAUCAACGUUCAGGAACCGGUCUCUCACCCAAGGGACCGGUCCCCGAGAGUAAAAUUUCUGGAACUUUUCCAAAAAUGCAGUUUCACUCUCUCAGGUCCCUUUAUACUCUAUAUAUAGGCUCCAAUGCACUUCAAGCCCAUAGUAACUCAUUCCCUUCCGCAUUCCGCUCAUUUUGACGGAACUCGGCACAACCUACGGGGGAGUGAUACGUUACAUUCCCCACACCUUUAAAAUUGUUUCGGCUGCGAAACUAACUCAUUCGUAAUCCAAAAUCCAUACCUCAUUUUAGUUCCUCGAAGAGAUAAGGAUGACGCUCUUUCAUCGCAUCCUCAAGCUCCCACGUUUCUUCCCGGACGCCGUGUUUGCUCCAAUGGAUCUUAACAUACGGAAUUUCUCGGUUCCGUAGCUUUCGCACUUCCCGAUCAACAAUGUAUGCCGGGAACUCCUCGUAAGUCAUGUCCUCUUGAAGCUCUAUCGGUAUAUACGAGAGAACAUGCUCCGGAUCAUGAACAUACUUGCGGAGAUUAGAUACAUGAAACACAUCGUGCACCCCCGCAAGCCUCGGCGGUGAUGCUACUCUGUAGGCCACCGCGCCAACCCUUUCCAAGAUCUCAAAGCGUCCGACAAAUCGGGGACUUAACUUUCCCCGAAUACCAAACCUCUUAACACCGCGCAUCGGCGAUACCUUUAAAAACACGCGGUCUCCAACUGCGAACUCAAUAUCUUUUCUUCGCUUAUCGGCAUAACUCUUGUACCUUGACUGCGCCGUCGCUAAUCUUUGCCGGGUGAGACGAACUUUUUCUUCCGCCUCCCGAACAACUUCUGGGCCAAGAACAACUUUCUCUCCCACCUCGCUCCAAUGAAUUGGUAAGCGACACUUCCUUCCAUAAAGGGCUUCGAAUGGCGCCAUUGCAAUACUUUCUUGGUAGCUAUUGUUGUAUGCAAACUCCGCCAUCGCUAAGUAAUCGUGCCACCCUCCACGGUAGUCAAGCACACAUGCUCGCAACAUGUCCUCGAGUAUCUGAAUUGUCCUCUUAGAUUGUCCAUCACUCUGAGGAUGAAACGCCGUACUAAAAUCGAGCCGCGUGCCUAAAGCAUUCUGCAAGCUCCUCCAGAAAUGAGAAGUGAACCGAGGGUCUCGAUCUGAUACAAUCGACAGGGGAACCCCAUGCAGUCUCACUAUCUCGUCCAAAUAAACCUGGGCUAACCUAUCUCCUGACCACGUGGUGUGGAUCGGCAAAAAGUGAGCCGAUUUCGUUAAAUGGUCCACAACCACCCAUAUGGCGUCAUGUCCAGCUUGCAAUCGGGGCAACCCGACCACAAAGUCCAUCGCGACAUUCUCCCACUUCCACACACGGACCGGUAAGCUCUGCAAUUUCCCCGCGAAAAAAUGACGCUCAGCUUUUACUUGUUGGCACGUUAAGCAUUGCGCCACGAACGCUCUGAUGUCCUUCUUCAUACCCGGCCACCAAUAAUGCAACUUUAGAUCCCUAUACAUCUUAGUGCCACCCGGAUGAAUACUAUACGGGGAAUGAUGCGCCUCUUGCAACACCAUCUUAUGAAUCUCGUCUUCCUUGGGUACGCACAGUCGGUUUCUGAACCGAAGUACACCGUCAGUUCCCACGCUGAAAUCACCAGAGCGCCCGUCACUAACAUCAUUCCGCACCUUUUGGAGAUACGGAUCAUCAACUUGCCGCUCCUUAAUUUGCUCCAACAAGAUCGGUCGAACUACUAGUGCCGCCAAGAUAAUCGAAACUUCUGGCGCCACUACCUCCAAUCCAAACCGUUGCAUUUCCUUAUACAAUGCCGGUUGACUAGUAAUCGCCGUCGCCAAGUUCUCAACCGAUUUCCUACUCAGCGCAUAGGCCACCACGUUGGCUUUACCGGGGUGGUACAGGAUAGUAAGAUCAUAAUCUUUUAUCAACUCCAGCCAACGCCGCUGCCUCAUAUUCAAUUCUUUCUGGGUGAACAAAUACUUGAGGCUUUUGUGAUCGGUAUACACCUCACAAUGCUCACCAUAAAGAUAAUGCCUCCACAGCUUCAGCGCAAAAACAACCGCCGCUAGCUCGAGAUCGUGUGUCGGGUAGUUCUUCUCAUAGCUUUUCAAUUAGCGCGAAUACGCAAUGACUCGCCCAUUUUGCAUAAGAACACACCCGAGACCGGUGUAGGAAGCAUCACUGUACACCACGAAGCUCUCUCCCGGCGUUGGCAACGCAAGUACCGGGUUGACGUCAAUUUCCCCUUCAACUCUUGGAAGCUUCGGUUGCAAACUUCGCUCCAAUCAAACCUUACUCCUUUGUGCGUAAGGCGUGUGAGAGGAGUAGUCAAUUUCGCAAACCCCUCAACAAAACGCCGAUAAUAGCCCGCCAAUCCAAGAAAACUGCGGACUUCUGCCACACUUGUAGGACGGGGCCAAUCUCGAAUCGCCUCAAUUUUCUUCGGGUCUACCGAGAUUCCACUCCCGGAUAUGACAUGGCCUAAGAAGGUCACCUCCGAAAGCCAAAAUUCGCACUUCUUGAGUUUAGCGUAAAGCUUCUCGUCACGGAGAUCUGCAACACAGUCUCAAAUGUUCCUCGUGCUCUUCUUCACUCCGCGAAUACACCAACACGUCGUCGAUAAACACCACAACGCACUUAUCCAAUAACGGUCGAAAGACCCUAUUCAUCAAGUCUAUAAACGCUGCCGGGGCAUUGGUAAGCCCAAACGGCAUCACCGUAAACUCGUAGUGGCCAUACCGCGUACGGUACGCCGUUUUGUGCACGUCCUUCGGUCGGAUUUUUAACUGGUGAUAUCCCGACUGAAGAUCUAUCUUCGAGUAUACUCGCGACCCUUGCAACUGAUCGAAUAGGUCGUCUAUUCUCGGCAAUGGACACUUGUUCUUGAUCGUCACCUUGUUCAACUCGCGAUAAUCAACGCAAAGUCGAAGGGUGUCGUCCUUCUUCUUCACAAACAACACUGGUGCUCCCCAUGGGGACACACUUGGUUUCAUGAAGCCCUUAUCGAGCAAGUCCUGCAACUGGGCCUUCAACUCUUUAAGCUCCACCGGCGCCAUCCUAUACGGAGCCUUUGAAACUAGCGGCGCCGCACCGGGAAUCAAGUCGAUAACGAACUCAACUUCUCGAUCCGGUGGCAACCCCGGUAACUCCGCCGGAAAUACGUCCGGAUAUUCACACACCACCCGAAUGUCCCCCAACUCCGGGUACUCCUUUUGAGGGUCCACGAUGGUCGCCAAAUAAGCUUUGCAACCACCCUUGAUCAUCUUUUUCGCCCUCACCGUCGAUAUAGUCGCCGCAAAGCGCGUGCCUUUACAUGCCCGAUACACAAACUCUUCUUGACCAGGCUCACGAAAAGUGAUCACCCUACUGUCGCAGUCGAUGCUGGCAUAGUACUUGGAGAGCCAAUUAACUCCCAAGAUGACAUCAAACCCCCACAACUGUUUCAACACUAACAGGUCGAUCGGCAUAAUCCAAUCGCCUACCUGUACCGGACAGUCCAAACACUCGUCAUGCACAUAAAACAUAAGUCCAGGUGCAGUCACCGUCCAACAAUCCUCAUAAUACGUGACCUCUAUGCCUUGCGCUAGUGCAAAUGAUGCCAAAAUAAACGAUUACGAUGCUCCAGUAUCGAAUAUGGCUCUAGUUCUACUGCCUCUGAUAAGGAUAAUACCUGCCACGACAUCGUCGGGUACAGCAGGCUGCUCCUCCACCUGAGUGGCGAAAACCCGUCCACUCGGUGCACGCGAUCCCUCCGGCUGUCGCGGUGAUGAAGCACGCCCAACCGACAUGGCAGGUGGCAGUCCUGGGAGCUGUCGUGGAGCAUACUGAGCCGAAGCAGCUGACGGAGCAGGUGACGCGUCGCCCGAGCAAUCCCAUCUCAUGUGUCCCGCUUGGCCGCAUCGGAAACACCUCCCGUCAAGCUGAGAACAUUCACUCGGCCUAUGAUGCAAAUUACGCAUGGAGAGGUACUCAUCUGGCUCCUUGUCUGGCUCUUAUCUCGUCGCCAUUGCGAUCUAGGGUGCCGAGGGGGUCGCUUGGAACUCGACUGCCCCGUGGAACCACCAGCCGGUCGCUUCUUAGACUUCUCUCUGUCCUUGUCCCUUUCAAACGCCUCGCAUUCCUCGCGCGCAAUGGCAUUACCGCGCUCUAUCCAUAGCGCACGAUCGAGCACCUCUUCAUAGGUCUUCAGCCGAAGCGCCUGAACAGUCUUGAAUAUCUCCGGCCGCAACCCGCGCUCGAAGACUUCCGCCCGAUCCCGGUCACCAUGAAUCAAGCCGGGAACACAAUUAACCAUGUGCGAGAACUCCCUUUUAUACUCCCGCACCAUUCGACUUCCUUGCCUUAACUUGCGAAAGUCCUCCUUGAUCUUCCGCUUGUCACUUUUCGGAAAGUACUCCAUUAGUAGAAUCUCCCGGAACGCCUCCCAAGUCAUGGUAGCCGGAUACAAGGACCGACCACUCUACACUCCCAUCCACCACGAUCGAGCCGGCCCCUCUAAACAGUGAUCCGCCAAACGAACCUUGUCCUUCUCGAGGGUGUAUAUAUCCUCGAACAACGCCUCCAUCGCGAAAAGCCACGCCUCCAUCAACCAUGAGUCUUUCACAUAACCCAAAAAGGUCGGAGGAUUAAACCGUUUGAAGGCCAUCAAUACCGCCAACGAUCGCUCCUGCUCGGCCUCGAGUACCUCCGGGAUAGGAACCGAAGAACCUGAAGCCACCGGAGGAAUAGCCGUCACCGGUGCUGCCGCCACCGGCGUAGGUACUACAGGUGCGGGCGGGUCCUGAGGUACAGGUGCAGCCGCCGCCGCCUGUCGAGCCACCAAGUCGUGGAGCCAUCCUAUCUGCUCCCCUUGCUGUCGCAUAGCCCCAGUCAGAGUUGCUACUUGGGCCCGCAACUCUCGAACUUCAUCGGUUACAACCUGCUCUGGCACCUCGUCAGGUAAUGCCGGAGUGGCCCGACGCGUAUAUCGUCUCGGUGACAUCUGUCCUGAAAUGAAACACACGCAUUAAUACGCGACAUCCGAGACUCUUACUCGUUCCAAACAACUACCCAAUCAAGCGAAAGCAAUCAAGCACGUUCAUUUUCUACUCUCGGCAUUAUGUAGUCGUCCGCCCCACAUAAUACCUUAAAAGAAAACAAACGUUUCCUUGAAUCCAUAUCUAUUUCCGUUUAGAGAAGUUCUACUCAUAACCCAAUCAAUUUGCUUUCGCAUCUCUAGGUCCACGUCAUACGUGUCCUAAUUCCUAAGGUCUCCAAUCCUAAGGUCCCUAAGUCCAUCAUAGACUUUUGCUUCCACAACGCUUUGAUACCACCAUAUCUGUCACGCCCCGAGCUCCGCCAAUUUGGUCGGAUUCGAGCACACGACAGACGCCGAACGGACAGUACCUCUCCUGUCCGCCCAAGGCUCCAACAACAAGUAUAUUACAAGCAAAUCAACAAGGAGAAUUACGAGAUAUACAGGGUUUGCACGAGGGCAAAUGACAAUCACAAGUGAAAGCAUCGAAACUAACUAAACAUCCAAUAUACAUGUCAUUUGAUUUCAUUUGAAUCAAACACAAGCAGUCUAUUACAUUCAUUUACAUCAUUUUUCACAUUACUAUUUCAACAUACAAAAGUUCAGUACACCGAGUGUAGGGUAUGCCUAUAUAACUCCGAGGCCGCUAUCUACGGCGCGAUUCCCUUGCCUCGAUCCUCCGCCACCCCGCUCGCGUACGGAUCUGCAGGGUUAGUGGUAAUGAGAACUAGAACGAAGUUCCCAGUGGGUUCGGCUGCCGACCACGCCAAUUCGCCCACUAGGUCUAAUUCAGGCAUAUGUAUUUCAAUAAAGAAGAAUAACAAACCAACUAAUGCACUUCUAAUACAAUGCCUGCAAGAAAGUAAUCCACAGAUAGAUAUUCAUAUUCAAAUACAUGAAGUUUAUGCAUGCAUGUUCCUUUCACAUUCCUUUGGCCUUUACCCAAUCAACCUGGGGUGCUCCUGGUUUACCCCAACUCACAGUCCACAUAUCCCGUCUAACGGGGGAGGCACAAGGCACAACCACCUGAAGGAUCUUCGCCGGGCACGUCCACCCGUGGUGCUUUUCUUCUCCGGAGUACACCGCUUGUGGAGGAGCGACCUUCACAAGCCGGAACCAAUACAUGUGAGUAUGAUCCCAUCCUCAAUUUGAGGAGGUAUGGCCAACCUGUCACAAUUCUCACUGUCUCAAUGCCAAUGAAUGGUUAAUACCUAUUCAUGCACAUACUAUCAUUUGCCAACGUCAUAAUGGUCCUGAUGCCACAAUACACAAAACGUCACUCGGUUAAACCUUGUUUAACUAUUCUCUUUUCGAUGUCAAUCGAGUCACUAAUGUCAAUAUCGCCUUUGUUUACUGUGGUCAUAGUCAUUUCUCAUAGUCACAUGCAUAUAGGGUCAUUCAUUUUCUUUGUUCACAUGGUUUCUAUAUCAUUACAAUAAUCUUGAGCAGAUAAUUGUUACAACCAACAUAUGCCAUUCAUUACCCUACAUGCAAGAAUGCUAUAAUACCAACAUGCUCAAAGAAGGGACAGACAUAGAAAGAGAUCCGGCGUUUUCGGAUAGCACCCCCCACAUUUAUGUGCCACAAGGAUGCCGUGGUCAAGAUUUCACGAUUUUUAGAUUUGUUCGCCGCGAGCUACGUCGAUCUGUAUUACUUCAGCUUGUUUUCUUAAUAUCCUCGUGCACGCUCGUCGUAUCGCCAAACCGAACGCACCGACGCGUUCGUAGACCUACCAAUUAGGUUAAGAUGAGAUCAAACCCAAGUUCGAACCCCAAAAUUACAAAACCCUAAAUAUAGGUCCCUUAACAACAUCAUCUUCCCCAACUUAGGUCCUUACUCAUGAGAAACUUGAGGAAAAUAUUCUAAUCCAUCUCCUAGAAGUAUACUAGAAGGAAAAACCCAAACCCUAGUUCAAAACCUAUAAGAACUCACCUUUGGAGUUCAAAACUUUCCUUCAAAAGCCUUGCCUAGCUUGCUCUUCACCUUGGAGAGCUUCUUCUCCAAGCUUGCUCCUCCAAAUCCCCUCUUGGUCCAAGCCCUAGAGAGAGGGGAAGAGAGAAAGGAGAGGUUUUUAGAGAGAGAGAGAGAGAGGAAAAGGUGUUGGUGUAGGAGUGAGAGCAAAUGAGCUCUCACUCAUGCCCUAGCCCAUAUAACCUUUCACAUGUCACUUUUACACUUAAACCCCUCAACUUUUAAUUUUUGCAAUCAACCCUUACUGGGCAAUUUCGGGCUCGGGGACCGGUCUCUCCCCUUCAAGGACCGGUUCCCGAGAACUGCCCUGCACUCUGCGUAGAAGGGGACCGGUCUCCCCCGGCGCAACCGGUCUCCCGGGACCGGUCUCCCGCCGAAGGACCGGUUCCCGAGAGCUCAGCUUCCAGGACUUAGCCGAUUUUUUCAUUCUGCUCAGCUGAUCAACGUUCGGGAACCGAUCUCUCACCCAAGGGACCGGUCCCCGAGAGUAAAAUUUCUGGAACUUUUCCAGAAAUGCAGUUUCACUCUCUCAGGUCCCUUUAUACUCUACAUAUAGGCUCCAAUGCACUUCAAGCCUAUAGUAACUCAUUCCCUUCCGCAUUCCGCUCAUUUUGACGGAACUCGGCACAACCUACGGGGGAAUGAUACAUUACAAAUGAUUUUGAGAAGCACCAGCCACCUCGUAGGCUUGCUAAGGUGCUCAGGUUCAAAUUUCACGAUUUUUGGCCGCCUAUUUCCUUGCCUGCGGCAAAACGAAGCCAAAUUAGGCUUUUCGCUCAUAACUUUGCAUAGACUCUUCGUAACGUCAAACCAAGCGCACCAACGCGUCGGAAACACCCUCAAUUAUAGGUUUCUACACGAUCAAUUUUGAUCAAAACCCCUCCAAUGCAAAAGCCCCAAUUUGGUGCCCUAGCUUCACAUAUGCAUCAAACCCUUGGUUUGAUCUCUUCCACAAGCAAAAACAAGCUUGUUAACAUCUAAAAACCCCAACAAAACCAUUCUUAGAUCAUUCUAAACCCUACUUAGGGUUCUACCAUGAGAGAGGGCAAGAAACUUACCUCUAAGCUUUCCUUUUCUUGCACCAAUGGGAAUAAAGAAGAUGGUGAUUCACUCCUUAGCCUCCUUCUCCACCAAAUCCACCUUCUUCUUCUCCUUCUCCUUCUCCUUCUAGAGAGAGAGAGAGAUAUGAGAAGGUGUGUGAGGGAGAAAAAUGAGAGAAAUAUCUCAUUUGCCCUAUUACAUAACCCACAUGAUGCAUAAUUGUAUUUAAACCCCUCAACUUUGCAUUUUGUGCAAUGCCUGGACUGGGCAUUUUCAGGCACAGGGACUGGUCUCUCUAGCAGAGACCGGUCCUCGAGAGCUUAACUCCAGGGACUUAGCCAAUUUUUCCCAAUUUUGGGACUUUACGCGCACGGGGACCGGUCCUCCCCUCAGGGACUGGACCUUCAGAGACCGGACCUUCCUCAAGAGACUGGUUCCCGAGAGCUCUCUUUUCUGUCUACGCGCACGGGGACCGGUCUCUCCCGCCAGGGACUGGUCCCCGAGAGCUAGUUUUUCAAUACUUAGCCAUUUCACCAUUUUUACACCUACGGGGACCAGUCUCUCUCACCAGGGACCAGUCCCCGAGAGCUCAAAAGCUGCAGUUUGCAGAUUUUUUAUUUCCUAGCUCUCGAAGAUCCCCUAUAAUGCACUUUUGGUCUUUUUGACGCCUUCGGCCAUUCCGAAGCAUACCAACCUCGCACUUUGGUCAUUUUGACUAAAGUUCGACAUUCGUUUACCGAGAUUUCGGUAUAUGGUGAGCAUUGUGAGAUCUGCACCGAUCAUAAGAGUCUCAAAUACUUGUUCACCCAGAAUGAAUUAAAUUUGCGACAGCGGCGGUGAUUGGAGUUGCUAAAAGAUUAUGAUGCCACGAUUCUCUACCACCCCGGGAAAGCAAAUGUUGUGGCCGAUGCUCUAAGUAGAAAGUCGGCGGAAAAUUUGGCGAUGGCAAUUACACCCCAACCGGCAUUGCAAAAAGAGAUGCAACAGCUUGGUCUUGAGGUUGUGGCGCCGGGAGUGUCGGCAACACUUGCCACGUUGGUUGUACAACCGACCUUGUUGGAGAGGAUUAAAGAAUUGCAAGUUUUCGAUUUAUUUCUCCAAAAGGUGCGGGGUAAAGUUGAGAGCGGUAGUGCCAAUGAUUUUGGCAUUGGGACCGAUGGCGCACUACGAUAUCAGAAUCGUUGGUGUGUGCCCAAGGACGAUGAUCUUCGGAGGGCGAUUAUGCAAGAAGCGCAUCAAUCUCCCUAUAGCAUUCACCCGAGCGGCACUAAAAUGUAUCAAGACUUGAAGCUACAUUAUUGGUGGCCGGGCAUGAAAAAGGACAUAGGAGAGUUCGUAACACAAUGUCUCACGUGCCAACAAGUAAAGGUGGAACGGCGGUUUCCGGCGGGGAAGUUGCAAAGUCUAUCAAUACCCGUGUGGAAGUGGAAAAAUAUCGCUAUGGACUUUGUGAUGGGUUUGCCUAGAUCUCAAGGCGGACAUGACGCGGUUUGGGUAGUAGUGGACCGGUUGACAAAAUCGGCACACUUUUUGCCAAUCCACACUACUUGGUCGGGAGACAAGUUAGCUCAAGUCUAUCUCGACGAGAUUAUGAGACUCCACGGGAUUCCGGUAUCCAUUGUAUCGGAUCGGGAUCUGCGGUUCACAUCACAUUUUUGGAAGGGUUUGCAAGACACAUUGGGCACACGGCUCGACUUUAGUACGGCAUUCCAUCCUCAAAGUGACGGUUAAUCUGAGAGGACUAUUCAAAUACUUGAGGAUAUGCUUCGAGCGUGUGUACUCGACUACAAGGGCGGAUGGCACGAUCACUUACCAAUGGCGAAAUUCGCAUACAACAAUAGCUACCAAGAAAGUAUUGCAAUGGCGCUAUUCGAGGCCCUUUAUGGGAAGAAAUGUCGCUCGCCGAUUCAUUGGAGCGAUGUGGGCGAGAGAGUUGCUCUUGGCCCCGAUGUGGUUCGGGAGGCCGAGGAGAAAGUUCGUCUUGCCCGACAAAGAUUAGGAACGUCGCAAUCGAGGCACAAAAGUUAUGCCGACAAGCGAAGGAAAGACAUCGAGUUCGCUGUUAGAGACCGCGUGUUUCUAAAGGUAUCACCGAUGCGCGGUGUUAAGAGAUUCGGUGUCUGGGGGAAGCUAAGUCCCCGAUUUGUCGCACCCUUUGAGAUCUUAGAAAGGGUUGGUGCGGUGGCUUACAAAGUAGCAUUACCACCGAGGCUUGUGGGGGUGCACGACGUGUUUCAUGUAUCCAAUCUCCGCAAGUAUGUCCAUGAUCCGGAGCAUAUUCUCUCAUAUAUACCGAUAGAGCUUCAAGAGGAUAUGACUUAUGAGGAGUUCUCGGCAUACAUUGUUGAUCGGGAGGUGCGAAAACUACGAAACCGUGAAAUUCCGUAUGUUAAAGUUCAUUGGAGUGAACACGACAAUCGGGAAGAAACUUGGGAGCUUGAGGACGUGAUGAGAGAGCGUCAUCCUCAUCUCUUCAACGAGCUAAAGUGAGGUAUGAAUUUUAGAUUGCAAUUGUAAGGUACUGGACUUCUAAAAUUAUGAAGUUACGGUGUACAUUUGGUUGGUGAGCCAUCGGAAUGGUUCUGGUGAAGUUCCGAUGAAGUUUGGGAGCAUUCGGGCGUUUUUGGAGCGCAUAGGCUCAAAAAGGGACCCGAAAGGCUAUGUUGGGCCGUGAGCUAAAAACGGCAUUAGCGCGGAUGAAAAGAUGAUGAAAAUACACUCGAAAACAUGUUUGGAGAGUCUCGGUUCGAUUUGAAAAGAAUCGGAGGUCAAACGAGCGAAAACGGAGAAGAAACGGUGAAAAAGCUGAAAAUUUGGCUAAGUCCUGGAAUGCUGUUUUUCUGGACCUACGGGGACGGGUCCCUCAGCCAGGGACCGGUCCUUCAGGGUCCGGUCUUUAUAGCCAAGGACCGGUCCCCGUACGCGAGAAUGCCCAAAAUGGGCUGUGCACAAAGAGGCAUUGUUGAGGGAGUUUCUUGCAUUUGUUGCAUGAGUGGGGCUAUUUGAGGGUGAAAUGAGGUCUCCUCUCUCAUUUCCCUCAACCCUAAACACCAAAGCAUCUCCCUCUCUCUCUCUAAACUUUCUCUCUCUCUAGAAGGUGUUGGAGGAGAGGAUUUUGGUGGAGAUCAAGGUCAAGAGAAGGAAUUUCUUCUUCUUCUUCUCCUUCCUUGGCUAGUAGCACACUUGGAGAGGUAAGCUUCUAAGCUCAAUCAUGGUGAAUCUUUAGGGUUAGAUUCUUAUACUAUAAAGAUGGUUUUAGAUGAACCCUAGGAUGUUAAAUAGGUGUUAAUUGCAUGAUUCAAGACCUUGUUUGAGGUAUUCUUGCAUUGUUGAACACCUAGGGCUCCAAAGGGUUUCGUAAAUAGUUAGGUUUGAUCUUAAUUGACCCUCCGUAAACCUAAUUGUUAGGUAUUCUGACGCAUUGGCGAAGUCGGUUCAGCAAUCCGUCGAGUCUAUACAAAGAUAUGGAAGAAAAGGCUUGUUGAGGUACUAUAACACACUGGACCUUUGCAAAUAGCGAGGUUUGAGUGUUUGAAUUGUGUUCCGAGCUGUUCCACACUUUGUGGAGGGUCGUAGACAGUGUUCCGACCUAUGGUUCGAGUCCCGAGAAUUGAGGUUUAAAACUUGGUACCAAAAUCCAAAAAGUUGGAUUAUUGGUGUGCUCUCGUGUAGCCUUCAGCAGGCUGUGUACCGAUACAGGGUUGAUGGUUGUACCGGUACGGGGUGAUGGUUGUACCGGUACGCGGGGCCGUGUACCGGUACGCAAGCAGCUUCUCAACCAACCCGAGGCUCGGGUUUGGCAUUUUCGUGGGAUGUGUACCGGUACGGGACCCCGUGUACCGGUACGCAGUGCAGUACGCAGACUUCUUGAACUGUAGGGGUGUUUUUGCUAUUAUAGCAACACUAUAUGUGUACCCACACCCCUUAGGGCUCUCUUUGAGCCUUGCACCAGUAGAGAAUAGGUAGGGGAGCCUCUCUCUUCCCCUCUUUGGAUUUGAUCUCCUUUUAGCUUGGAUUUUGGUGGAUUGAUCUCUCCUUUUUCCCUCUUUGUGCAUCUCUACCAUGGUUGAAGCUUGGAGCUUGGACUUGAGGCUUGUUUGAGGGAAGAUUCUUGGACCUUGAGGACUUUGAGCUUGGUUUGAAGCUUCUUAGAGGUUUGUAGCUUAUCUACUCCCUCUAGAUUUUGAUUUUGAUGCUUUAUGGUAGAUGAAACCCUAGAAAUGAGAUUUAGGAGUAUUUUUGGGGCUUUUUGAUUAGAUGCUUUUAGAACUCUCUUGAUGGCUUUAGAACCUUGGAAUAGGUUGCUUUGGAAGGGAUUUGGCUUCCAUUUGGGGUUUGUGAGAGGAUUUCUACCUCAUAGGUGAGUUUUCUCCACCUUAGCCUAUGUGGUUUUAUGAUUGAGUUUAGGGUUAAUCGUAAGGUUUGUUUAACUCUUGUCCCUACAUCUUUAGGGUGCUAGGAGAUUAGUGGACACCUUCGUCGGAGCAAACGAAGGAGCGCAAGAGUUGUGGUGGGUUUGACUUCAUGAAAACGGGGCAAAAUGGCCCCCAUGCUUUCUAUACUUGUCGUAACGUCAUUUUAAAUGCAAAUCAAUGCUAAAUGGAAUUUAUGUGGAUUUUAGAACAAUUAAAAUGCAUGUGUUGUGUAUAAGCUAAUUUUCACUCUAUAUAGUAGAGCAUUCUGGUAUUAUUACAUGCAUGUGAGUAGUGUUCGCACUAGCCGUUUGGAAACAUGUUCCAUAUGUUAAAGUAACUCAAUUAUGCAAUUAUGAACAAUUGGUUUAAGCUUGGACUUAGUGAAAGAAAGUGUCAUAAAGAGGCACUUGGUCUAGCAAACUAUGAGACUAUUGCAUUAAGACUUAGUGAUAGGCCAUUGACAUCUUCUAUUUUUCAUGUUGUAGACAUGAUGAUAUAAAGAUAAGAUAUGUGACAUAUAUUCCAUAUUUUUAGACAUGAGGACUUGGUACUUGAGACAGAUCUUUCGCUUGCUUGCCAUUGUGCUCAUUCGCACAUGCUUGUGAGGGUCGCUCCCUACAAGCCGGCACUCCGGAGAUAGCCAUCGCGACAUAUGCUCGCUCGUGCGGGAUUGGGCACAAAAAUGGAAUGCCGUGGGGAAGGCUCAUUCCUAGAGUGGGGAUGUUGACUACCACGGGGCCAUUAGGCACGGCGCAGGCCAGACAGCCUACGGGUGGGUCUUACAUGAUUAGAACUUAGUGACAGAACAUGCCAUUUGGACUUUGACUAGAAUAGUAAACAAUGACAUUUUACUAUCUACAUUGUGGACACUCUGCUGAUUGCGUAUACAUGCUUAUACAUGCUAGUCAUACUCAUGUACAUACUUGUUGUAGUUGUUUUAUUAUUUAUGCAAUUCAUGCUAAGUAGAGAUAUCAUGAUAGAGUAGUACUCAUGGUUACAUACUUGUUCUUUAUUUAGCUUUUGUGUAUACUCGUACUUACCCUCUUUUGUUCAGUUUUGGGCCUAGUGGCGCAUUUCACUGAAGUCAAUAAUUGCCCACUGGAAACUAUUUUUAAUAAUUCUCACGCCCCCGUUUCUGUGGUUUCUUUACAGAGCCUUCGACACCGGCGGAGGCACGGGACCGCGGCAAGGGAGUCGCAUAGCUAGCUAGUGGAGAGCUCGCUUUACACCUAGGUGGUUUACUCUUUCUUUUGCUAUAGGAGAGAGAGAGAGAGAUUUUGUAUCAUGUAUAGAGACCACCUAUGUACUUUGUUUAGCUUAUUGUACUUGGGAUUCCUAUUAUACUACCUUUUUUUUUGUAGUGGAUUUUAGCUUUAUGGUUCUUUUCCUCUAUUGUAGCAUCUAGUUAUACUUUGCUCUGAUACUCCUAGAUGUUCUCUUUCUACUGUUUCAUUUCUCACUUUGUUUGGACGCCUCGUAUGGUUUAGACAUAUAGCGGGUCUGGGCACGUGCCGGGCGGGCUUCCGCCGGGUCUCGGUGCGUGAUAGAUUAAUUUGGUAUCAGAGCCUAGGGUUGAGUCUUAGGGGACCUAGUAAACCUUAGGCCGGUUGGACUAGAGGAAAUAGGCUCGUGAGAGACGAGAUCUAUUUGACUUGUGAGCGAAAGUAUCAUGAUUGGGUACCUUGAUAACUCUAAAAAGUUAGAGUUGAAUCGAAGUGUAUGGCUUCUAACUUCGCGGAGGGUUACGUUGGCGGCCGACAACGUAACUUCAGGAGUUAGUAGUGAAGGACACUUCUUUACUUUCGCAUGAUUUGGGUAUUAUCUUUUGAGCGGGGAUGCGGUAGCGUGAGUUUUACUAACUUGCGCUUUUAUGAUGUUGUAGUGCGAUGCCGAUUACACGUUCUCAAUCUGCCGAAGCGGAUAAUGCGGCAAACCUGGAGGAGGUCGAGACCUCCGCUACCUCCGGAGCGGGUGAGGUCCGUAAGCUGAGGAGCCAGCUUGCGGCUCUUACUGAUUUGGUGACGUAGCAGGCGGGGGUGGCCCGACAGCAAGCCGACACAGCACGCCGACAGGAGGCGCGGAUGAAGCGCCUGGAGGACCUACUGUUGCAGCAGGCGGCGACCAGAGAGGCUCAGGUCCCCACACCACCUGCGCCUGUGGAUGUGGUUGCACCAAGGAUGCCGUCCCCUGCACUCAACACUUCGCGGACGGCACCUGCGGAUGUGCCUCGGGAGGAGGUGAUUCCGGCACCACCAGCUCAGGUGCCUCUAGCGGGAGCGGCUUUUCCCGUGACGACAGUUGGAGAGGAAAAGGACAGACUGAUGGAGCGCCUCAACGAGUUCAGGAGGUGCAGUCCCGGGAUUUUCGAUGGAGAGAAGGUCGACCACUGGAUCGUGGAAAAGUGGUUGAUGCACAUGGAGAAGCUCUUCCGCGACACCUUCGUGGAGGAGAGAGACCAAGUGUGGCUCGCCACUCACCAUCUGGACGGCGAGGCCUAUCGCUGGUGGUUGGAUCUUCAGGAGAACCCUAACAUUGACUUGGCAGCUAUUACUUGGAAGAGGUUCAAGGAGCUUUUAUUGGCGCAUUACUUCCCGACCAGCGUCAAGAGGAAGAUGGAGCAGGACUUGCGCAACUUGCGCCAGGGUGACAGGACAGUAGCCGAGUACGAGCGGGAGUUUUCUCGGCUUCUACACUGCGUGCCGUUCGUCGUGCGGGACGACGAGGACAAGGCCCGCAUCUUCGAGCGAGGGUUGUGACCAUCGAUCUUCCGGUUUGUGCAAUCCUCUAACCUCCAAACCUACCGGGAGGUGGUGGAUUGCGCACUCAUCGUGGAGAGCGGCGCGGCAGAUGUCCAUGAGCGGCGUGAGGCCAUGGACCGGCGGCAAGGGAGUCGCAUAGCUAGCUGGUGGAGAACUCGCUUUACACCUAGGUGGUUUACUCUUUCUUUUGCUAUAGGAGAGAGAGAGAGAGAUUUUGUACCAUGUAUAGAGACCACCUAUGUACUUUGUUUAGCUUAUUGUACUUGGGAUUCCUAUUGUACUACCUUAUAUUUUUUUUUGUAGUGGAUUUUAGCUUUAUGGUUCUUUUCCUCUAUUGUAGCAUCUAGUUAUACUUUGCUCUAAUACUCUUUGAUGUUCUAUUUCUACUGUUUCAUUUCUCACUUUGUUUAGACGCCUCGUAUGUUUUAGACAUACGAUGGGUCUGGGCACGUGCCAGGCGGGCUUUCGCUGGGUCCCGGGGCGUGACAAGUACAGAUUGCCGCAGCUCGCGGCGAAAGCUUCCUAAAAUCACGAGAACGGAACCCUAGCCUCCUGGUAGCAUUAAAAGGUGGGGGGUGUCCAUCCCGAAGCAACUGAGCUUCUUCCUAUGUCCGAGUUAGAAUUGUUGAUCAUGUUCCAUAUAUUUGUUCUUAUGCAUUAUAGGAUAAUUGUUAUAGAAGCAUUCUUUCCUUGCUUUCCUUGCAUGCUUGCUUAGUAGUGUAGCUGGGUGGCUUGACACAUGAUUCUAAGGGGCAUGAGGAUUGGGUUGUUUGACAUGAGAUCCUAUGGUGAUAAGAAUUGGUGAACUUGAAUUUGGUAACGAGAACCAAUGAAUCAUAAAUUAGUGUAUUAGAAACACUUAGAACUUGGACGAGUGGCAUGUAAACAGUGUUGAUAACAUGACAAGUGGCAUCGGAACCUAGUUGUGGCAUAUUGCAUGAGAAUCUAGUGUAGCUGACACUUAUGGCAUGGAACAUAGGGAAUAGGUGCAUUUUCCUAGUUGUGGCAUAUUGCAUGAGAAUUUAGUGUAGUUGACACUUAUGGCAUUGAACAUAGGGAAUAGGUGCAUUUCCCUAGUUUGUGGCAUAUUACAUGAGAUGGCAUAUUGCAUAAAACUUAGUGUAAAGUGACACUUGACAUGUGAACUUAGGGAUAGGCGGAUUCCGUAGUGAUGAGUCAUUGAACAAAAACUUAGUGUAGUUAAACACUUGCAUAUGGACAUUUGGAUAGGUGGAUUCCCGAGUAACUAUUAAUCCUAGUGGUUAGGGUAUCCUCGAGUUGAGAGGAUUGGAUCAUACUCACUGUAAGGAAGUGAAUUCUCGAAAUCCGAGAGUUGUACUUCGUCCAGGAUCGACUGUUUGUCGAGAGAAUACCCUUUGGGGAAGUUAAAGAUGUCCAAAGCACAAAAAGUGCUUUGGAGUUGAGUCCAGGAAAGCAAAUGAUGCAAACUGCAUCAUUGGGCUGAUGUUACUCUCGGGGAUCGGUCUCUGGAGGUGAGAGACCGGUUCCCUUGGUUGGGUGUAGCGGGGUUGCUUGGUGCAACCGGUCCCUGGCAGGGAGGGAUCGGUUCCCAAACGUGGUCCCAGCGAGAAAUGCCAAAAUUUGGUUAAGUCCCGAAAAUCAAGCUCUCGGGGAGCGGUCUCUCAGGCGAGACCGGUUUCCCGAUGACCGGUCUCUCGGGGAGAGACCAGUUCCCGAACGCGUGCGCCCGAGGGAAGCUCUCGGGGACCGGUCCCAAGUCGGGGAAACCGGUCCCUCCGCGCGAAUUCUGCCCAAUAAGGGCAGUGUAUAGGAUUAAAAGUUGAGGGGUUUUUGUACAAAAUGGCAUUAGUUAAGGAGGGAUUAGAGCGGCUGAGCCCUCUUCCUCUCUCUCACCUUCACUCAUACUCUCUCUCACACUCUCUUCCUCUCUUGCUCUCUCUCUCUCUCUAGAAAGGAAAGGAGAAGAAGAUGAACAAGAAGGAGAGGAAGGAAAAGAAGAGGAAGGAAAUGAAGGAGAAGAAGUAGGAGAUCAAGAAAAAAGCCUUGGACACCUUCAUUGUAACAUACCAGAUUUUGGUAUAAAAAUAAAAACUAAAUAAAAAUAGUGUGGAAAACUAUUUUUAUUGGAUUUAUAGAAGUAAAACAUAAGUCAGAAGUGACUUGUGCUGAAAUCGGAAUUAAAACAGAAGAUUUAGAAUUUUCUGUUGGAAACGGGGCAGAUAAAUUAGCAGAAAAUGCACAGUCUCAGAAAAUUAUGAAAAUUGGCAGAGAUGUCAGAAAUAUUUUUAUGAGGCUAGAUUUAAGGUUUCAUAUUUUUCUGACACCCAUAGAGUGAGAAAUAAAAUCCGAAAACUAUCUGAUAAAGAUUGCAGUUCGGUACAGUUUUCAGUGACCAAACGGGGUCGAAACUGAACCAGUGAUCGUCAGCUUGUUAAGUUAAGUAAAACCGAACAUGACUGUCAAGUUUGAGCUCAAACGGACAUUCAGGGAGCUCCGGCGAAAGUUAUCAGAUUUCAAGCUGCCCGGGAGUGAAUAGUGUCGUGGGGUGUGUUAUAAAGAAGCUGAAGCUUCUUCCUCCUCCUUCAGCCGCACACACGCCACACACACACGCACACUCAUGGAGAUAGAGAGAGAAACACCUCUACCUCUCUCUAGAUAUCUCCCUCAUCUCUCUAAAUCUCUCUCUAAAAAUUGGAGGGUUGGUGGAGAAGAUGCUUGCGAACGCGUUGGAGGCGACGGAUCGGGCUUUCGUGCGACCGUUGGAGCGGUGUGUUGUCGUCGCGGCGUUCACAUUGAGGUAAGCUUUUAGGAUUUGGCUUAAUCCUUAGUUUUAAGUGUUCUAAUAGCCUCUAAUGAGCAUUCUAAACAUGUUUGCUCUAUUUAAUUUGGAUUAUUUAGAGGUUAAUUGCAUGUUAGUGCUCCGAAUGAGGUUUUGUAAAAUGUAUGGGUUUGAUCUCAUUUGACCCUCCGUAAACCAAAUUGCUAGGGAAAUGAACGCGUUGACGAAGACGGUUCGGCGAUUCGUUGAGCCGUUGCGAAGUUAUUAAAGAAAUGGACGUUUAGGCUUCGUUUCCGCCUGGAAGGCCGAGGCGACAUCGUAAAAUCAUGAAAACGGAUUUGAAGCAUCGUGGCACAUAACCGAAGACCUUUAAUUUUCGGAUCGUGAAUUGGAGGCCGUUCGGGUGGUCGCGCAAGAGAUCGGGCCAAACCGGGUGCCGGGUGCCGCGGGAGGCCGAUUGCAAGUGUCGACAAGCAAUCGGAAUGCGAAAUGAGGUGGGUUGUGCUUACCGAAGCGACUAGGUCGCCCUUUAUGUCUAAGAAAUGAGAUUUCAUAUUGAUGCAUAUUGACAUAAUAUAAGAAUGUGAAAAGAAUGCAUGUUAACAUACUAUAGAAAUGCUAGAUAAAUGCAUAUGAUUAAUGCUUUGAAUGCAUAAUAUAAAGGGCGUAUGAAUGUUAGCAUUAUAAGAACAUCAUAAAAGGAAUGUAUGAUGACAUGUUGUAGAAUAUGCUAAAUGUAAUGCAUAAUGAAUUAAGUGCUAAAAGAAUGCAUGAGAUGCUAAGUAUGGACUAUUUUGGAUAAUGACUAUAUGUAUGUUGACAAAUCAUGUGAUGCUAGUGGUAUAUGUGCAUGAUGAUAUAUUAUGAAUUUACAUAUUGUGGAUUAUGUUAAAUAGAAAAACAUACUUGAUGACAUAUUGCCAUGUUGUGGAACAUAGUGGACAAUCUAUAUAUAUAUUAGAUCGAGUGGCAUUAAACCUAGCAUCUUGAACCUAGCAAACACUUGUGGUGAUUGAUCAUAUAUAUUCUGGUGUCAUUCAUGUAUGUUAGGACCCUAUUAUUGUGUAAAUGUGAGAGUUGGACUUGAACAUUAGUAAACAAGGGUGACAAUGACAAUAGAGACAUGAUUGGCAUCAAGAAAGUGAUUGUUAAACAUAGUUUAACCAUAUUGACAUUGGUCCAAGUUGACAUAGAGAGUGGCAUGAUUAAAUAGGUAGAGACCUAUCAUGACAUUGGCAUUGUGACGAGUGGCUAUGAAUCCUCAAGUUGAGGAUUGGAUCGAUACUCACGUUACGUCUUGGCUUGAGGGAGGUAGCUCCCCCUCGGGCGGUGCGCUCCGGAGUUGGUCACCACUGGGCGUGGUAAAGUCCCACCAGUUGACGGUCCCUAGGGAGGUUCGAGUCCCCCGUUAUUAAGGGAUUUGGUUGUGAGUUAUUGGGGUUAACAUGGUUAACCGGUAAGAUUGGGUCAUAGCCAAAUGAGUGUACAACAAGUAUGCAUUAUGAGUUAUGGAUUUGGUAUCCUAGUCGAGAGGAUCUAGGGCUGAGGUGUAUGUGAGACGUCCAUCGCCUCGAGCCUGGUUCUAGUGCGGUACUCCGCAGACGAUUGACUCAAGACCGAGUCGGGUGGUUAGCCUUGUAAAGGUAGAUGAAACUUUAUGAUUAAAACGGUGAUUGACAAGAAUCUAAGAUAGAGGAAACCUUAGAUAUCGAAUGGAUGAGCUAUGGUUAGCAGAAUUGAAAGUAGUGUCAAAUGAACUACUAGUUGGUUGCAUAGUUGCAUUAUUGCAUGAUUUGCAUAUAGCAUUGCAUUAUUGCAUUCGUGAGGCAAUGCAUGGUUUUAUUCGUUGCAUAAUCAAGAUAUAUAUCUAUCUGUUUAUUGAACUAACUUGCAGUUGCCUCCCUUGGACCUAUUGGUCGAGCUUUUCCCUUGGGUGGCCGUACCCACUGGGAACCAUGGAGUUGGUUCUCACCCCACGUGGUUUUGGGGUGUUACAGGUUCGCACGUGAGCGGCGCGGCGGCGCGAGGCGAGGGCGUAGCUCCAUAGUUAGCGCCCUACCACCGAGACCAGAGAUAGCGGUACCCUGAGUCGGCCUUACUUAGGGAUGUAAGAAAAUGAAAAGAAUCAAGUUGUAAUAAUAUUGUUAAAGCUAGAUUGUAUUUGGAAGCUAAAAAGAAUGUAUUAAGUACUUGGGAUGUAAAAUGUAUCUAGUGAAUGUGAAUGCAUGUAAUAACAUAGGAUGUGUUAUGUUGUUUGAUACCUUCCUUAUGCAAUCUUUGAUCGAAAUGUGUUCCUGGUUGGAACUUUGUACAUUGUAUUGAUUGCGAUGCCUUGAAUGUACAGGGGAGACUCUGUCCGCGGUAUAGGGGAAACCCUGUCCGUUCGGCGAUCUGUUGGCGGCGCUGCGACCUGGCCAAAUAGGCAAGCGGUCGCGGGGCGUGACAUUCAUCUCCCUCUCCUCUUCCCUUUGGUGUAGUUCAAGAGGUAAGCUACAAACCCUAGCUUGUAGAACUUGGGUUUUUUUGGUUUUAUGCCUUGGAAUGGGUCAAAUGGACCCUAGGCAAGCUUCUAAAUAGAUCAAUCCCAAGAAUCUAGGGAUUUAUUGGGUGGUUUGCUAUAGGUGCAAACCUAGGGCUCCAAAUGGGGUUUUUAGUAAAGUAGGAGAUUGAUUUCAUUUGAGGCCUUGUAAACCUAAUCGAUAGGUGCUCAAACGCGGGGGCGAAGUCGAUUUCGCGAUUCGUCGAGCGGGAUUGGAGCUAUCGGCGAAAUACGGUCGUUUUAGCAUCGUCUUAGACAAGGAAGGCUAAAGCCUUUUCGUAAAGCUUGCCGGGAAGAAUUUCUAAAGCCUCUACAUUGAUAAAAGGUGGGGGUGUCAUCCGAAGCUUUCGAACUCCUUUCUAUGUCUUAGAUUGCAUUUAACCUCAUCUCUUCAUGUUGCAUGGUAGGAUUGCAUGAUAGUACCUUUCCUUAUGCUUUCUAAUUGAUAACCUAGUGUACUUGGAACGCUUGGUAACUUAGAUAGGUGAGGAUUGGGUCGGAGCGUGGAUCCUAUAAUGCGAAAGAAAAAUAGAUGAACCCGAUGGGGGAAUUGAUGACAUAGAAAGUAGUGUUUAGUGUUAAAGAACACACGAGUGGCAUCCAAAUGUUAAAUGAUGACGAGUGGCAUUAAUGUAGUGUAAAUAACACUAGGGAUUUGAGAACCUAGGGAUAGGUGGAUCCUUUAGAAAAUGCCUUGUGAACAAUGAAUUUAGAAAGCUAAAUAGCAUUGCAUGAAUGUCGGGAACAGAUGAUUCCGCGAGAGAUGUUGACCCUAGUGCAUAGGGCAUCCUCACUUGGAGAGGAUUCGAUUGGGUUAUUGACUCUAGUUGUAGAGCAUCCUCACUUGGAGUGGAUUUGAUUGGGUUGUUGACCCUAGUGUAGUGUAUCCUCACUUGGAGAGGAUAGAUCUAGCUCACAGUCUGCUUUUGGGGUGGUAUAGCCAUCCUAUCCCCACAUAGAGGGGAUUGUCGUCGAGUACUCCGGAGUGUCGCGCGACUAGGACCACUUGGAGGUCCGGACCACUUGGAGGUCCGGACCACAUGGAGGUCCGCAGACGGUCCCGGGCUUGGGUGCACUUGGAGCUCCCUCCCCACUUUGGGAUUGAAAGAUGAGUCAUAGGCGAGCCCUAGGGCCUCGCCACAGAUUUGGGUAAAUGAAAGGUUAAAGGUUUAAAAUGUCAUUGAAUAUUAUUAUUCGAACAUAGAUCGAAUUUGUUAGCUGGGUAGCAAACCUUUAUUAUAUGAUGCAUGCAUUCAUAUUCGUGAUUAUGGGCAUAGUAGCAUAGUUUUCCUACUAUCACAUUUACAGUUUUCAGAUACAUAUCUAUCUAUCUAUCUAUCUGUUGUUACUUGUGCCCAUUUGGACCUAGUGGGGAGAUCGGCAGAGUCGGCGGCCGAGCCCACUGGGAACUAUGGAAGAUAGUUCUCACCCCCUCUCUAUUUCCAGUGGUAGGUUCAGGGCUGCCGAGGGAGGACCGCGGCAAAGGCAUCGCGCCUGAUCAGUGAGGCCGUGGUAGUAUAGUAGCUUUCCUUUUUGCAUUAGUACACCUAUGUAUUGAGAGAGAUUCAUUGUAGGUGAGGAUUUAGAGAGCUAUGUAUUUUGGAUGAAAAAGAAUGUAUUCAUUUAAAGAAAAUGAUGUAAUGAAAAGAAUGGUACUAUUGUAAUAGUUAGUAAAGUACUCUCUUUAUUUCAUAUGCUUUAUCUUGUGGAUUACUUGCUCUUAGUAUUGUUGGCACUGUUUGUGCCCUUGUGAGUGUGUAUGUUUAGAAUUUAAUUUUCUGGGUAAAUUCUUGUACACAUUCCUGUUGUUGAGCCUUGGGCGGACAGGGGAAGUGCUGUUCGUUCGGCGGUCCGCCGCCGCGGCCGAAUCGUGCCAAAUUGGUGGUAGUUUCGGGGCGGGGCGUGACACUCACUGUCUGUUCAGAGCUUGUGAUGGUCGCUCCACACAAGCGUGCACUCCAGAGUUUGUCACACGUGGGAUAGCCUUAUGGGGUCCCGGGGAUAGCCUUAUGGGGUCUCGCAGGCGGUCUCAGGUUUGUUGAGCGAGUUGAGUCUCCUUACCUUACGAAAUGCAUGUGAGUCGUGGGCGAACCUCAGAGUUGGCCAAGGAUUGGAUAAUGACAUGAAUAACAUAGUGAAUUUGCAUUCAUGCUGUGAGUGGACAUACUAUUCCUUCACCUAUGAGAUUGAGCGGGGUAGCUCUGUACCUAUUAGAGUGAGAUUUGAGACGGGGCGAAAAGUGGGGUAGCUCUUCACCUAUGUCUUUCGAGAUGUGAGUCGGGCGAGGAGCGGGGUAGGUCUUUGCCUAUGACCUUCGAGAUGUGAGUCGGGCGAGGAGCGGGGUAGCUCUUUGCCUAUGACCUUCGAGAUGUGAGUCGGGCGAGGAGCGGGGUAGCUCGUUAUUGUUGCUUUAUCUUGUACGUAUUUCAAGUUGUUCUCCUGGGAACUUGUUGUACAUGAUCUCGUCGCUUUAGCCUUGGGCAGACAGGGGAGGUGCUGUCUGUCCAGCGUCUGUUCGACGCGCCCGAACCGUCCCAAUUGGCACGAGUCAUUUACUAGGGAAUCCAUCUAUCCCUAAGUUCAUGAACCUCUAGUGUCAAGUACACUACAUUAAUGCCACUCGUUAUGUUCUUUAAACAUUUAGAUGCCACUCUCUAUGUCACUAAAUAACUAUCGAGUUUAUCUCUUUUCUUUAGCACUAUAGGAUUCAUGUUCCGACUCAAUCCUUACCUAUCCAUUUCACGAAGCAUUCUAUGUACACUAAGUUAACAUUUAGAAGCAUAAAGAAAAGGUACUACAAUGCAAUCCUACAAUGCAACAUGCAAGAGAUGAGAUUAUAUGUUAUCCUAAGACAUAAUAGAGAGUUCGGUUGCUUCGGGAUGACACCCCCCACCUUUUGAGGGUACAAAGGUUCUAGAAAUGCUUCCCGACGAACGUUACGACGACGUCUCAGCCUCCUUAGUCCAAAACGGUGCUCAAUCGGCUAUAUUUCGCCGAUAGCUUUUCACCCGCUCGACGAAUCGAAAAUCCGACUUCGCCCCCGCGUUUAGACACCUAUCAAUUAGGUUUACAAGCUAUCAAAUGAGAUCAAUCUCAUAAUUGCCAAAAACCCCUAUUUGGAGCCCUAGGUUUGCACCUAUAGCAAACCACCAAUAAAAACCCUAGAUUCUAGCUCUAAGAAAUCUCUUAAGCAUGCUAGAGGUCCAUUUGACCCAUUUACGAAGCUAGAAAUCCAAAACCCUAAGUUUCAUCAAGCUAGGGUUAAGUAGCUUACCUCUUGAGCUACCCCAAAGGGAUGAAGAGAAAGAGAAGAAGGUGAUGGAGAUGAUCUCCUCCAAGUUCUCCUCAUUCUUCUUCUUCUCCUCCUUCUUCUUCUUCUCUUUUCCUUCCCCUCCUUCUUUGCUUCAAGAGAGGGAGAGAGCUUAGAGAGAGAGAGAGAUAUGUUAGAGGGUGGAAAUGAGAGGGAGAGAGAGCAAUGUCCUCUCUAUACCUCUAACUAAAGCAACAAUUGCAGCCAAGCCCCUCCACUUUCCCUCUCUCAACUUACUCUGCCUGGGCAGAUUUCGCGCGGAGGGACCAAUCUCUCCCUGCUUGGGACCGGUCCCUUGGGACCUUCCCAAGUUUACGCGUUCGGGAACCGGUCCCUCGGGCCCAGGGACCGAUUGCAUCGCGCGCUGCCGCAACCACCAGCCGAUGGGACCGGUCUCUCCCUGCCAAGGACCGGUCCCCGAGAGCAAACCCGCGCAGACCACGUUCAGGAACCGGUCCCUCCCGCCAGGGACCGGUCCCCCAGAGCAGAUCUGCCAAGUGCAGGUCUUUGCACUAUUUGCUCUCGCAGACUCCAUUCCAAUGCACUUUUUGGGUUUCGUGCCACUCCGGCUUUUCCGAAGGCUACUCACUCGACAAAUAGUCGAUCCUGGACGAAGUCCAACUCUCGGAUUUCGAGAAUUCACUUCCUUACAAGUAGGGUCCGGGUCGGGUAUGGUAUAUCGGAUAUUUUGGACAGCUCUACUCCAAACGGGAGGUGUACAAGUAGCAUUUUUCUUAAUUUAUUAUUUGUAAACCAACUCGUUACAAGCUGAAUUUUUCAGCUCGAUGCUUCAACGAGCCAGCUCGUGUUUGGCUCGUUUCAUAAAUGAGCCGAGCACGAUCCGGCCUAGCUCGCUCGUCGUUACACACCUACAGUUGCAGCAACAAAUGCAAAUAUUUUAUAAACUUAUGAAUCGGGACCGGGCGUUUUCUAUCACGCACGUGGCGAGGGGGCGAGGUGUAGGGGCGUGGCGCCAGCGCGGCGGCACGCGAGGGGAGCGAGGAGGAGGGCGCGUGUGGUCGGCGGGGGCUGGGCGCGUCGUGCGCCGGGGGGGGGGCGGGGGCGGGCGAGCCGGCGCGGACUCGAGCCGCGCAGGCUUUUUUUUUUUUGUGGGACCCACUCCUAUCUCUCUCUCUUUUUUUAUUUAUUUUGUUCUUUUCUAACCUUUCUUAUUUAGAGUGUUAUUGGCCACAUACAAAAAUAAAUUUUCUUUAAAUUUAAAAUUAAAAUUAAAAUUUAUUAUUAAUUGUUUUGAAUGUGUUGGCUUAACUUUAUAUUUUAGUUAAUUAAAUAUAUUUUUUAAAAACUUAAUUAUAGUGUUUUUAUAAAAAUAGAUUAUUUAUAUCUAAAUAAUUAUUAAAUUAAAAUUAAUAUUAAUACAUACAAUCUAAAAUAUUUAAAAAGUAGGAUAAAUAAUUAUAUAUUUUAAAAUUUUAUUAUAAUUAAAACACAAACUUAUGAAUUUACAAUCGGAACCCGAACUGGUGUUAAGAUCAGUAUUGUUGUUUAUAAUCAAAAUUUACAUAUCUGAUACAAUUGAUCGCAGGUAAAAAUAUCUCUAAAACUUCUUUAUUUAAUUAACUAAAAUAUAUUAUUAUUUACUUUAUAAAAAUAUAUUUAAUUAUUUAUUAAUGAUUUAUAAAGAAGAUAAAUAAAUCUGUUGCAUAGCACGGUUCCUUAACCGGUUGCAAUUUGUAAAUGAAAGGGAACCAAAAAUAAAAUAAAGGAGGGCUUUUUUUGCAAAUAGUGUAAGGUGCCGAACUUCUGUAGUUACGAAGUUGCGGUGGAAUGUAAUAUACCGGAUUUUAAUAUAAAAAUAAAAAAUAAAUAAAAAUAGUAUAAGAUACUAUUUUUAUUAGAUUUAGAGAAGUGAAAUAUGAGUUAGAAACGACCUGUGCUGAAAUCGGAGCGAAAACAGAAGAUUUAGAAUUUUCUGUGAGAAAUGGGGCAGAUAAAUUAGCAGAAAAUGCACAGUGUCAGAAAAUUAUAAAAACUGGAGAAUAUGUCAGAAUUAUUUUUAUGAGGCUAGAUUUAAAGUUUCAUACCAUUCUGACACCCAUAGAGUGAGAAAUAAAAUCCGACAGUUAUCUGAUAAAGAUUAUAGUUCGGUACAGCUUUCGGUGACCAAAUGGGGUCGAAACUGAAAACUUAAGAUAUAUUCUUACUCAGUACGUUAAACCGAGCCUGCCUAUCAAAUUUGAGCGCAAACGGACGUUCAGAAGGGCUCCAACGACUCCGAACUGCUAAACUGCUGCCCGAGGUGAAUAGUGUAAUUGUUGAAGGGCUGAUUUGUAAAAAGGGAUUUAAUCCCUUUUCUUCUUCCUCCCUCAACCAUGCGACACAACCCGCACAUAUACACACGACACACACGCAUGGAAAGGAGAAAGAGAACUCUCCCUUUCUCUCUCUAAAUCUCUUCCAAAAAGAGAGGGUUUUGGUGGAGAAGGAAGCUUGGAGGAAAGUCAUCUUCUUCAUCUUCCUCAUUGGCCAUUGGAGAGCAAGCUUUGAAGGUAGGCUUCAAAACCCUUUAAUGGUAUCUCCUUGUAGUUUGGGUUUUAAGCUUCAAGAGUGGAUUUAGAGGUAUUCUAGCAUGCUAAGUAAAUGAUUGUUGCUUAAGUUGUAGAUCAAUUUAAUGAUUUCUUGCCUAGUUGUAAACCUAGGGCUUGAAAUGAGCUUUUUGAACCCUCUCAUGGUAGAUCUUUAAAGCUUCAUUUAUAAUCCAUAGAAAUGAUUUAUUUGGAAUCCUAGCAUGCUAAAUAGAGGAUAAAUGCUAGAAUCUAGGAGCAAUUUAGUUAAUUCUUGCAAUAGAUGAAACCUAGGGUUCAAAAUGCUAUUUUUGGAAAUAUGAGGGUUUGAUCUCAAUUGACCCUCUGUAAACCUAAUUGAUAGGUCACUGAACGCGUUGGAAGCGACGGUUCGUCGAUUCGUUGAGCGGGUGCGACGUUCCGGCUAAAACAAGUGUUGUAGGUUCGUGUUGACCCGGAGAGCCGAGGCGGCUUCCAUAAAUUGUGGGAUCGGAUUCCUAGCAUCGUAACGAAGAACCGAAGACCCUUAAUUUUCGGAUCGCGAAUCGGAGGUCGUAAGGUGGUUGUGCGUGGAUUGGGUCGAGUCGUGCGGCGUGCACCGUGGGAGGCCGAUUGCAAGUGACGACGAGCAAUCGGAACGCUGUAACAGGUGGGUGGUGACCAUCUCGAAGCAGUUGAACUGCUCCCUAUGUCUAAGUUAUAUAUUGAUCAAUUUGCAUAUCGAUGUCUUGCAUUAUAGGGUGAUAAUUGAUGGUUGGUUCUAUAUAUGUAUCGCAUGCUUCUUGGUAAAGUAAUGUAUUUGGCUUAGCAAUUGUAUCUAGCAUGCUUGAGGUUUAUAUAUAUGUGAUGUGAAACCCUAUAAUGAGAUGAUAAUUAUAGAUGAGAACUUCGUAAUGCAUUGGGUUAUUGUAUUGGAAACUCUAAUCGUCAUUGAUCAAGUUGCAUAUUGUGAUAUUGCAUUAUAGGGUGCUAGAUGGUAUUGUUGCAUGUUAUGUCAUGCUAGUGGUAGUGUAGUGUUAAUGGUUUAAUACUUGUACCUAGUAUGCAUGGGAUUGAGACAUAGUGUUGUGAAACCCUAUAAUGGCAUGAUCAAUGUGGAUUAAACUCUAGUUGGAUGACAACCUAGUGAACAUGUGCAAGUACAGUGUUGAGAACCUUAAACUGUGACGAGUGGCAUCUAGUUAACAAUAAACACGGAACGAGUGGCAUCUAGUUAACAUUAAACAUGAGAACCUUAGUGUAGUCGAAGCACUAUGAGAUUGAGUACUAGAAUACCUGAUUCUAUGAUGACACCAACCUUAGUUGGUAGGAUGUUCCCAGUUCAAGAGAUUGGAUUAUACUCACAUAGCCUGUCUGCUCUUGUCGGGGUCGCUCCCCACAGGCUGUGCACUCCGGAGUAUUUGUCACUCGAGGGGCAGCCACGCGCGCUGCCAGGACAGUCAGUGAAUCUAUCCGCAGGCGGUCUCGGGGGAUAGUUCAGUGAGGCUACUCCCCUAUGAGACUUACAAACAUGAGAUUGAGAAUGAGUUACUGGUUUAACCGAAUGAUUGGGUGAUCUAAUGAGUAGCUUCAUUGUUAAGGAUAUUAGCAUGAUAACUAGCCUUUCUAUCAGUUUUAUGCAUUCAUUAUAUCGGAUUGAGACAUAGUUAGAUGUUCACAUUCGUACUUGUUAUCAUUACAGUAGAUGCUUUCCAUUACACCUAUCUAUCUAUCUAUCUAUUUGUCUUCCUGUGCCUUCUUAGACCUAGUGGGGAGAUCGGCGGAGUCGGCGGCGGAACCCACUGGGAACUAUGGAAGAUAGUUCGCACCCCCUUUUUAUUAUAGGGCCGAGUUCAAGUGUGCCAGCGGAUGAUUGCGCUAAGGGCUUAGCGCCCUAGAGGUGGUAGUAGUUUACUUUCCUAUCUUGCAUUAGAGUUACCCUAUAUAUGUAUUGAGAGUAGAUGAUGUAUAGGGUGUGAAAUAUUUUGGGAUGAAUGUAAACUAAAUGUAAACUAAAGUUUAUACCUUGGAAAAUGUAAGCUUUAUAUUACAUUUUGGAAGCUUAAUGUAUAAUCAAAAUGUAUAAAGGUUGAAUGAAUGUAAUAGGUAGAAUAUAUCUCUCUUUUAUUCACUUGUAUGUUGGUUACUCGUGAUGCUUGCUCUUGAUUGUUUAGCACUGUUUGUGCUCUCGCUAUCGUUGUAUGAUCAUGUAUGUAAUCAAGUGUAUUUCCUGGGAACUUGUGUACAUGAUCUCGUUGUUUACCCUUGGGCGGACAGAGGAGAUGCUGUCCGUUCGGCGUCCGUUCGCCGCGCCCGAACCUGACCAAAUUGGUAGCUGCCUUCGGGCGGGGGCAUGACAAAUAGCCCCCUGACAAAUUUUAUUUUUAAAAAUAGCCCCGUCCAAAAUAUAUUUGCAAAAAUGGCCCUGGCCCUGCCACGCAAGCGCCACGUCAGCGCCACGCUGGCCAGGCUGGGGCCAGGUGGUUUAAAUGAACACGGUGAACCAUUCACCGUGUUCAAACACGGUGAAUGGUUCACCGUGUCCAAUGUAUUAUAUGCACCGCCCCGCGGUGUGUAGGAAUACAUAGGACACGGUGAACUAUUCACCGUGUCCAGACACGAUUAACUGUUCACCGUGUCUAGACACGGUGAACCAAUCACCGUGUCCAAUGUAACCAUAUAAACCUUAGCCAAAAAUGGUUGUUGCGGAUAUUUGUAUUGGACACGGUGAACUAUUCACCGUGUCUAAACGCGGUGAACAGUUCAGCGUGUCCAAUACAGAUACCAGGGACUUUGCCAUUUUUCGGGCUAGGUCGUGGUAUUUGUAUUGGACACGGUGAACUAUUCACCGUGUCCAAUACAAAUAUAUUGGACACGGUGAAUGGUUCACCGUGUCCAAUGCAAAUUUCCACCCUUAGCCAUAUUUUUGGCGCACAACAAUAAAUACAAGAAUACAAUACAGAUACCUAUCAAUACACAUCACAACAUCACAAAAUUAAUACAUAUCACAACAUCACAACAUCACAACACAACAAUACAAUACAGAUACCUAAACACAACAGUACAAUACAUCAUCACAACAUCACAACACAAGAGUACAAUAUACACAUCACUACUAAUAAAAUCUCAAUAAAAUAUCAAUACCAAAUAAUCAAAACAGAAUAUAUAAAAUAAAAGCAAGUUGUACAAUAAUAUAUAAAUAUAAUAUCAUGCUCUCCUCCUACUCUCUCGACCACGUCGCCUACCACGUCCGCGACCACGAUCGACGCCAUGCUCAUCAAAAGGCUCCAAGAUCUCCAACUGGUCUAGAUGCUCUAUAGCAGCACCCUCAAUAACUGGCUCAAUCACAGCAGUAGUAGGUGUCGGUAGUAUGUCUGGCCGUGGAGGAGCAGAAGAGGAGGGCUGAUCUAUACGGAUAGACCUCAUAUGUCGUCGACGUCUAAAAUAAACAAUAUCACCUGCUCGAGCUGGAUCCUGCGGUACUGGUGCUGGUGCCGGGUCCGUAACAUUAGCAUAAUGUGGCUCCUCUAUAGGUGAUGAUGACCUCGGUGGACUAUAUAUGGGUGCAUGGCCGGACGUCGAUGCUCCACCAUAGUCUGCUGGUCCUGGAGGUACAUAGUCUGGAAGCGUAAGUAAAGACUCUAAAACUGCUUCCAUCUGAUCGGCAACCUGUGAUAGGGUAGCUAAGACUCCACCUACUGAAAUAUCGGGCAGGACACGUCUGAUCGUAUAAUAUGAUCUCUGCACAAUAUCGACCUGAAAUAAAAGCACAAUCAAAACAGAUUAUACGAAACUUUCUUGUAUAUAUAAAAAUUAAUAUAAAAAGAUAUUAUAUAUUAUAAUCGUACUAAUACUCUCUCGACGUGUCCACGUGGCUGAUACGCGAGUGGUUGCCGCUGUACAGGUGUAGAUAUCCACCUCCUGGUGAUCAUCCAAUACCACUGCAUGUAAACAGUGGUAGCUCGUAUCGGAUCUGGAUCUGUCUCUGGGGCCACCUCUGCUAUUUCUAUCAAUUUAUCAUUCCAACGCUGAAUGUAUGAAGCAUGGUAUGCCGCCCAAUCCUCAUCUGCUCUGCCUCGUGAAUUGAUGCGAGAUAUGGCAAGCACUGCUUCAGGUAUAUGCUGUAAUAGCCCAAACUGUCGUAGCACACGAUCGGGAUGAUGGAGCUUAAUAAUGUGGAAGUAGACUAAGAUAGUCCUCGAUCGCCAAACCUGGGACCCCGCCAGACAAAAAGGUGGGAGCGUCUCUAAAACUGUGUCGUCAUAAGGUCUCCAUGUAAUCUAUUGUGAAAAAUACAUAUGAUUAGUUAUCAAAAUUAAACUAUAUUGAUCUCGUGUUUCUAAGAAAAAUGAGUGUUUCGGCGCUAACACUAGUGUUUCGGAGACAAAAUUAAACUAUAUUAAUCUAUAUUGAAGGAUUUCGACGCUAACUUUGAUUAAAUAGAUCAAAAUGAGGCUUGAGGAUAAUGUGUGGUGUCCCCGAGUUAAUUUGGAAGUGUGGGGAUAGUAAACUAUGAGUUUAUAAAAUAUUUAGAGGGUAUUGAACCUAAGCUCGAUAAUGCACUUUUGCAGGAUUGAGACCCUAACUUGAAAUUGAUCGCGUAUAAACCUAAUUGAGGGUAAAGCGAACAUGUUGGCGAAGUCAGUUUGGUAAUCGGUCGAGCCUACCCGAAGAUAUCGCCAAAAGGACGUUUUCGGCUUUGAAAUUCGAUUUCUUUAAAACAAACAAUUAAUUUCUUUUUAUGGUGAACAAAAUUUUCAAACUAAAACAAAAUUUCAAACCCAAAAAUUAUUAGAUUAACAUUGAAUACAAAAUUCGACAGAUUGAGUAACUUUUAUUUACCUGAGACUCUAACUGCUGAUCCAGCUGAUCACGAUAAAACUCAAUGUCAGUAGUCCUGACAUUGUCCCGAAAAGCCAGCCUGGUAUUUCACCUGAUUCAUUUAUAUCAUAUUAGUUAUGAAUAAAUAGUAUAUACAAAACUUAUAAUGAAAAAUUACUUACCGACACCUUAGAAGCAUGUCGACAAACUCAGGCUGCGGUCCUACUACCUCAGGGCGGCCAAUGUGCAGGUGGUCCCAUGCCCAUAUCUAUACAAAAAUAGCAUUCUUGUUAGAAAUGGAAACAAUAACCAUGACUUAAGUACAAGUAUUGUAAAGGUCCGUGUCGCAAAUUAUACCUGAGCUAAUGUCCCAAAACAACAACACUCGACCUUUCCCCUGAGGCAGGCAGUUCCUAGGGUGCGAUAAAGAUGAGCUAGCGCGGCUACACCCCAUGCCAACCCACAACAAAGGUCAAAAUCCACUAGAUGUGGCAACCAUUUCAAAUGCACCAUAUUCCCGCUUAGAUUUGGAAACAAACUACAUCCUAUCUGAAAUAGUAUAUAUGCUCUCGCUGUAGCUCGAACAAUAGCGGGAGGUGCAUCUAAGGGGAUAUCAUGGAACUGCUGAUAUAACCAAUCUAUCUUGAUCUCACCACCCCUAAUAUCCUGUGGAACCACCCCGAGAAGUAACCCGCAGAGCUCUGCCCACUGAUAGGAUCCCCCUCUAGUCACAGCCCCACCAUCGACGGAGAGUCCCGUAAUAACUGCGACGUCCAUCAAUGUAAUACUCAUCUCUCCGUGUCGCAAAUGGAAACUCUGUGUCUCCCGCCGCCACCUCUCGACUAAUGCUCCCAAUAACGACUGAUCGAGCUGUAGGCGGCGCAAUCGUGAAACAUAAUAAAAUCCUGCUCGUCGUAAUAAGUCCAACACGGCAGGAUGCUCGCACUGCCAUCUGUUCAUUUUACAGCCAUGCUCCGUAAAUUCAACAGGAGAAUAUCCCUGCAUGAUUGUGAAAGCAAGCUCAAAAUUAGUACAUAAGUUAAAGAAGAUCUACGUAAAUUUAAAAUGUUUUAAAAAAAUUCACCUCCUCUCUGAUCAAAGUAGAUCUAUGUCAUGGCUGCUCAGUCAGCACGGAUGUAUCAGUAGGUCCCGGCUCGUCAUGAUCGUCCAUUUGAAAUAGGCAAAAAAAUUUGAGUUAGAAACAACAUGAUGUAACAUUAGUGCGUAAGUGUAAAAGAUUUAAGAAGUUAAGUGUCAUUUUCAUAUAGAAAAACCUAUCGACGACGUCUCUCGGUCCUUCUUUGAUGAUUUUCAGGACAAGUACUUUUAUAAUGUCCAGGCUGUUUACACAUACUACACUUGCCCCUCCUACUCCCAGCGGCUUCGUCCAUAAUAUUACGGAUACGCGUAGAUCUGGGUCUUCCUUUUUUCCUUCUCCCGCGUGGUGGCAGUAUAGGGGCAGUAUAGGGGAAUCAUAUGACGCGAUCCAAUAACGACGAUCGAGAACGGGGUGGAACUGCGGUUCAUAAGCCUUACAAUAGGAUAGGACAGUAUACCAAGGAGAACAUAAGGCAUAAUAAUCUAUGUUCAUGUGUGAAGAACUACAACAUGACAAAAUGUGUGAACAAGGGAUUCCUGUGAGUUGCAAACACAAACAUGAACAUGUAGAACUAUUUCCAUUGAUAAUCACUUGGUAUUGAUCAUCACCCCCAGUAAGUAUGUCGAACAUGUGAAAUGCAAAUCGUCGAACUGUAUAUGCUCUAGCAGUUCUCAUCCGGCUAUUGAUGGUGUUUUCAACAGUUGAUACAAAUUGCGUAGACAUUGCAACGCCCUCCCCCCGAUGUUUUAGAAAAAUUCUACCACUCGAUGAAACGUUGCCAUCACAAAAGCUGUAAUUGAUAAGGCGCGAACUCCCCUCAACACCCCAUUUAAACUUUCCGAUCGGUUAGUUGUCAUAAUACCAAAUCGUCGACCACCAUCAAAAGCUUUAGCCCAGUAUAUCCUAUCGUUAUAAAGAUUGUCAACCCAACGCUAAGCUUCUUCAUCCAUAGCCUUCAAUUCUUCCUUUAAUGCGUAAUAUUGCCGUUCUUCUGAAGCACUCCCAAUUCGAUAAAAAAUUUAAGUAAGUGUUUUCCUUUGAAAUGAAUAUUCAUACCGGCCUUCAUAUGUCGCAAACACCAUCGAUGAGCAUGACCUUCAGAUUGUGGGAAUACAAGUGCAACGAGGCUCGCUAGGCCUUUAAAACGAUCUGAAAUUAGUGUAAUAACUCGAGAUCUUGUUAUAUACCUUCUUAGGCAACUUAAAAACCACUCCUAAUGUCACGCCCCGGGACCGACAGAGGCCCUCCCGGUAGCGUGCCCAGACCCGCCAUAUGUCAACACAUAUAAGGCGUCUAAAACAACAGCGAAAAAUAAAACCCGAGAUAAUCUACAUCUAGAGAUAUCAGAGCACAGAUAGAUCUAUCAUCUACAACAAGGUAAAAGAAAUAUACUAAAACAGUAAGAGUGAAACAUAAGGUUAUACAACAUCCGUCCAAAAUGGUACACAAAAGGGUGGUCUCUAGUACACUGGUACAGCUCUCAACCUCUCCAAAAUAAAAACAUCGAGAGGUAGACCACCUAUCAACUCGUCACUCUCCGAAGAGCUAGCUCGAAGCAACGCCCUUCCCUCGGUCCCUAGCCUUUCCUGGCGUGGAAGGCUUUGAAAGAAAACAUAAAACAGAGGACAUGAGAACUAUAAUUUAUAGUUCCCAGUGGGCAAUUACUGACCUCAACUCAAUGCACCACUAGGCCCCAAAAGAAAAGGGUAAGUCAAAAAGGGCAGUAAUAAUGAAUAAAUUGCAUUUAUGAAAGUAUAAAUAAAAUGCUAAGAUACUAUUGCAAUUAAACAUGGAACUAGUAUGAUGCACCUUUCCUUAUCACAGACAAUAUGUCCCUAUAUGGCCACAGGUAAAUGUCACGGUUUACUUUAUGAAGUUAAGAAGAUCAUGCUUUAUCAUGGGAUCAAUGUAUGUAUACUCAAGUGUCCAAAACUAUGCUAGAAGCAAGUCCAAGUAAUCCAACUACUACUCUCUAUCUAGUAGUGAUUCUAACAUACUCGACACCGUGUCGAUUUUCAUUUCCAAAUAAGGACCUACCCAAGGUGGUCCAGCUUGUGCCGCCUAAGUGCCUGUGGUAGCCUAACAUUCCUACGCUUGGAAUGUGUCUGUCCCACUCGACCCCGUAGGCUUCUCAAUACCGCACGAGCGAACAUAGGUCGCGUAGGCUAACUCCGGAGUGCCGGCUUGUAGGGAGCGACCCUCACAAGCAUGUGCGAAUGAGCACAAAUGGCAAGCAAGCGUAGUCAAAACUCAAGUAUCCAACCCUCAUGUCUCAGAUAUGGCAAUAGCUACUAGUAACCCAACGGUCUAACCCUAAGUCACAAAGUGAUAUCCAAACACUCACUUGCGUAGUGCCUCUUUAUGACACUUAAGCAUAACAACUAAUCAAGUCCCAGUCAUGUUCUAAGUUCCAAUUAAGACAUUAAUACCAAUGUUCACUAUAGCCCGAGCCCAAUGCCUCUUUAUGACAUUUGCCCAAAUUCUCAAAUAGUAUAAGUCCCCAAGCCUCUCUAGGCUUCCAACGUCCCCAAUGUCACAAUUGGGCAUAAAAGUUAAAUACAUGGAAGCGAUGUUGUAAGGUACCGGAUUCUAAAUGUAAAAGUGAAAAUAAAUAAAAAUAGUGUGGGAUACUAUUUUUAUUGGACUUAUAGACAUAAAUUAUAAGUCUAGAGUGACCCGUGUUGAAAUGGAAGCGAAAACAGAAGAUUUAGAAUUUUCUGUGAGAGACAGGGCAGACGAAUAAUAUCUGUAGCGUGCUGCUAAACUGAAUGUAAAUAGUGUUCUUGGAUAACUUGGAGGCCAAGUUUCCUAGAUAACUUGGAGGCCAAGUUUCCUAUGAAACUUGGAGGCUAAGUUUCCUAUGACACUUGGAGACCAAGUUUCCUAUGAAACUUGGAGGCCAAGUUUCCUAUAUAUAUAUANNNNNNNNNNNNNNNNNNNNNNNNNGAGACACAUAUGCAAUGGUUUUAAUUUUUACAAUGUCAUUAGGUUCACAUACAUAGCUCACUCAGAUCUAGUCUAUUCUCACAUCAUUCCUACUGCAUAUGUCCGCUAGCAAACUCAAUGCAACAUGCAUUAGAGUACAUCUGAUAUUGGCAAUCUAUAAAGCUUCUCAUGCAUAAUACAUUCCACAUCUACUACACAUGCAAAUUAGAUAUCUCUUACCAGGUAUCGAUGCAAUCAUGGAAUUCAUCAUCCUCACACUAAGCAUGAAAUUACCGCAACCCCAUGGUAUUUUGCUACAUGCCCCAAUCCUCAUGCAGACUAAGUUUUAGGUCAGCCUACAAAUGCUACGACUGACCGUAGGAAACAUGCAAGGAAAUGAAUGUAAUCACUCUAAGUCCUAUAGUGCACAAUAUCAAUAUAUGAUAAUAUGAUCUAAAAUAAAACUUAGACAUAAAAGGACAACCGUGUACUUCGGAUUGACCCCCACUUUUACCCUAUCACGAGGCUAGGUUCUCUUUGACUUCCCUAGUCGCACCGCUUUACUUCGUCGAUCUGCUCCGACGAAUCGACGAAUCGACGCUUCACACGGUUUUAGCGACCUCAAACACAGCUAUUUUCCUCAAACCAAGCUAAUGAAGAGGAUGAAGACUUCACUCGCAAGCAAACCUUUUCUUCUCAAAUGCACCUCCAUAUCUCCUUCUUUGGUGGAGAAAUUGUUGGAAGAGAGAGAGAUAUUCAUCGUUUGUGUUGGAAGUGAGAGGGAGAAAGAAGAAAGCCUCAAGUCCCUAUAUAUAUAUAGCGAAACUUGGCUCCAAGUUAUUAGAAACUUUGGCUCCAAGUUAUUCCGAAGAUACUAUUAUAUUCAGUUUAGCAGCACGCUACAGAUAUUAUUCGUUCUGGCCCGUUCUCUCACAGAAAAUUCUAAAUCUUCUGUUUUCGCUUCCAUUUAACACAGGGUCACUCUUAGAUUUAUAUUAUGUCAAAUAUAAGUCCAAUAAAAAAUAGCAUCCACACUUUGAUUUUAUUUAUUUAUUUUCACUUUUACAUUUAAGAUCCGGGUACUUACAUCCUCCCCUCCUUAAAAGGUUUCGUCUCGUAAACUCAAAUCUCAUUUAUUCGAGUUGUCGUAGCAUCUGAAGGAACAAGUGCACUUUUGCAGCCCCGAGUGCCUUUUUCUCACGCGAACUUAUCACAAGGCCCACUUAAGAGUAUUAUGAGACCAGAAAUUCAUCUCACAUUUGCUAGCAUAACACAAAAGUGCAUUACGGGUUCCGCAAGUCUUGGUGGGGAUACAAGAGCAAUACACAUGAUGAACGAGUAACCACAGUCGACAAUCGACACUCUACACGCUCAACACUACUGCUACCGAAUUUAGGGAAUAUACAUUCGAUUCGCAUCGACUGGCAUUGCCUUGAAGCAAUAUCAUUGUGCGCAUCGAACCAUCGCAAGUGCAUUAUCCACAAUCGAAUUUGCUUUUACGAAAGAUGGGGCACCCUCGGCACAUCUCCAAAUGUUAAUCUCCAGAGAGCAUAAUUCUCCAGAUCUCGUUGUGGCAAUCCAAAAUCCAAAUGUGUCUCCCAAGAGACACUUUACUUCUCUUUCCAUUGCCGCGGCUGAACAAUGUUCUGAUAAUGAAUUCACAUGAACCUUUGUUCGACGCGAAUCCGAGCCAAACUAUCAGAAUCGGUUUCCCUUCCAAACGUUCACCUUGUGCUUCCGAAUGGACUGGACAAAAGGUCACAAACCAUACGUUAGAUCUGCCCGCCCAAACCGUAUCUCAACACGUAGUGUCUCGUCGACUCGCACAGCGUAGACCCCAUAUUCAACACUACUGGGCCGAAAUUAUCACUGGGAAUUCGUCUACACACUCGACUAAGUGAUGAACUAUGACCGCAAAACCACGUCGGUCCUCGCGGUUGGGUUAUUGCACAUCGGGCUUGUGUCAUAACGAUCCUCGUAAUCGACACGUGGAUUCCAGCUCCGUGAGUCUGAUGCUCGGACUACGCCCUGUACCAAAACUUGCCUUACCCGUAGGUGCCGUGCUGCUGCACUCGCGUCCGACUGUGGCCUACGCAACAAUUGGCCAGCUCCACGUCCACAAAUGGUCGUGGGCACGGCGUCGUCCAAGCACUAGCCGCCGUCGGUCGUCCUACACGACAUUGUUCAUACCGGCCACAUAUACUACUAUCGGCUCGCGGUAAGCACCAUACUGCCGAGACCACAGUGCCCAGAAUGACGCCAUGGCUGCUUCACACUUAGCAUGCUACAAGUGCUAAACUGCCAUUCACUCCUCGGCUGAAUAAAAUCCGCCAUCACGAGUAUUUUACACUCGACGCGCUCUACGCCAAUACCAGAGUUCCACGACUGAAAUUAGCAUAGGCAAUCUUGCUAUGCACACGGCGCACGAGCCCAAACCGCCUUACCUCAAUUAAGGUACUACUUAGGCCCACGUGCUCAAAACUUGGCCACUAAUCGACCGUUCUCUCAAACAAUGACUCUACCUUCACGGGUCAGAUCUACCGGAACAAUAUCGCAAUUUUCGGAUUCUCGUGCGCCUUACAAGUAUCAUGGGCUCAACCUUGCGAAUCUACCUGAUCAUGUUGCUUGAGAGUCGCUUCACAUUCAUCUACACGCGACGAGUCUCAUUUCUCGUCCAUAGGCCAUACUAGCAAUAUUGCUAGUUGACGUCUAGCUUUUACCUGCUCAGACAGGCCGUAUACUCUCUCACACAAGCAUGCCCGGGUACCUACCUACCCGUCCAUGCGUUUGUGCCAACUAAACAACCUGCCAAGGCGCAUUUUCAACAGCAGCAGUUCUCGAGUUGAGCGGCAAAUACCUGGUCACUCGGGUCGACUGGGCCACCCAGCGUGACGAUGGGUGCCAUCGCAUUUCCAGCUAACAAACAGUAGGUGGGGUCUCCAUAAUGGUCCGAAACAAUCGCCCAGACGAUGCAACAGACGGACAGGACGAGGUCCUCGUUGCGAACAGUGGCGACUAAUGUGGCCCGCGCUGCACCAACGUGAAGAUCUUCCCUUUUUUGCUUGCAAUGGUUCGGGGUCAUGUUUACUCCAGCAAAUGAGCACUUCGAGGCCCACAACUCGUGGGACGUGCUCGGCGGAUACUUCGGAGGCUUUAGACCAUGACGACCUCUGAUGACCAUCAGAGCUGUUUCUUACGCCGUCCCUCGUGGGACGCCUCUCGCUCCUCCGCGACGUGGCUAUUACUGAUGCUCGCCACAACGCUCGAUCAGCACUUCCGGCAAAUGUGAGUGGCUUCAGAAUGUAAAACGCAUAAUAUAUAUCGGUCGGAUCCCUCAUCAGACGAACCAGUUGGCCCAUCUCUAUGUCUUGCACCACGUCGGGACGCAGUCAACAUAGUGAGAACUCCUGUCGUACUCAUCGACGGCGGUUUCCUGCUUUACAUUUCCGGAAUUUAUCCUGGAGCAUCCUCUUCUCACUAUCGGGGAAAUAGUUGACAUAUAACAUUAGCUCCGACACCUUUCCACAUCACGGCGCGAAAGGUCGGUGAGACGGAUCGAUUAUCGCCUUCCACCACACUUCGCCGCCGCUCCAAGCAAUGGGUGCGAGGGGAACUUUAAUCCUUCUCUAUAUAUAGAGAUCUUCGGAAAAGAGUCUCCAUCGAGUCCACCCACGACUCCGACCAUCCAAGGCUAACUCUCUCCCGUUAGAACAUCGGUGACUAAUCCGAAAUUUCAGAAGAGUCGCAGCGCGCGCUCCUCUCCGCUUCGUAGUACUCUUCUGGGAUUUGAGUCCCCAACAUAGCCACCUCGUCAGUGCGGAUGUGCGCCGCAACGGCACAGUCCGUCGGCCACCCUUUGUCACGCGGGCAGACCACCGAAGGGCUGCGGCCGCUCAACAUUUCGCUUUGUAGCUAGCGCCAGUGCGCUACAAUAUUGUAGCCUCGCAAUCUUGGUCCUCUUGGCGCUGUCAUCGCGCCGACCAUCGAAUGCGAUAUGCGUCGCAAUUCCUGCACUCUCUCAGAUCCGACUGCUCGGGCACCUCGGGAGGUGGUGCCAGAGUGGUGUAGUCACGGUGGCGUCUCUUUGGUGCCAUAGCCACUCUGAACAACAACUUGUUAAUCACUGUAACCGUGUAAUUUCGUCGUACACUACUAGGACAACGUGACUAAACGUCCCUCAUAAGCGCCAGAUCCUAUGUAUUAGUCUAACUUCUUAGGUCGUGUGUCGGCCGCCACACAAACUCCUCGAGCUCGGAAACUAACAACCGUCGGAUCUUAUCUCUAGUCACCUAGAGAGAUUAUACUCGAGUCCGACCAAUCGGAAUUCUUCCUAACCUGAUAUAGUUUACAGUUUCUCUCACCGUACUUAUCACCAUUAGCUUUGCAACUAGGUCUCUAGGUCCAUCCUAGACUCUCUCUUUACUUGCUCUUAAUGCGCUUGAUACAUACGGUCACGCCCGCCCCCGAAUCACUCCAAUUUUGCAGCGUUCCUGGGCACAUCAGGACGGACCGCCGAACGGAACAGUGACCGCUCUGUCCGCAAGCGCCAGCAACCAGCAUCAGUAUCAGUUAGGCGCACCUAGGAAUUUGCCCUAAAUAACAUACAAUGAUCAAAUACGAUGGACAACAAGUGGCAAUACAUCUAAAGAGCGAAGAACACAGAUUGAUAUACAAGGCUAUAAACGAGAGAUAGUCUAACUAUCACAAUCAUUUCAACAUUUACAUUAUUUGAAUAUAUUAUAUUUUCAUCUUCAAAAUGUAAGUACAUGUUUUUUCAAAAUACAAGUAGAUCCUCAUGAUAUCUAUCCAAAAUAUACGAUAGAUAGACACGAGCUGUACUCUAAUGCAUGCGAAAAGCUAUUAACUAGGCUCAUUAUGGGCGCGCUAUCCUUGCCGCAGCGGUCGCGUCGGCCGCCUCUAUGUGUACUGCUACCCAAAAACCACCGGGUGAGAACUCAUUAAAUAUAGUUCCCAGUGGGUCGGGCCGCCGACGCCGCCGGUUUUCCAUUGAGGUCCUAAAGAAAGAGGCCAUAGAACAAUACAGAGGUCAACAGUUCAAAGGAUUAAUAGAUAUAACACAGAGCCUACUCUGCCUCAUCUACAUCGUAUAUCAUGUCAAAUGUGUGUAGCUAUGCCGUACUAAUACUGUCAACAAGUAUAAUACUCUACCAUGUAUGCACCUUAUGUAAUGCCGAUGAACAUGGCUGGAUUCAAUCCAAUCGGUUCGCCAAGGUCGAACCACGACUCGGUCACACCGUCACGCCACCGUUGACGUCUUGCGGGGGCCACACCGCCUGUGACCACCUCCCGCCGUUCAAUCUCACUUGAUACAACUCCGAGAGCUCACAGAUAAUGGGAGGCCGACUCCUCAAUACAACUAGAGAACUGAGUUAUGAUCAGUCCUCCCGCACGAGGACAUCAGGGGGAAUCCCACACCCAAAUAAUUCACAAGGCAUGCUAUGUCAAAGUCGCCCACAUAUUGCAAUGGUUUAAUUUUACAAUGUCAUUGGUUCACAUACUAGCUCCUCAUAUCUAGUCUUUUUUUUCUAUUCUCACAUCAUAUCCUCAUAUGCAAUAUAGUCCGGCUAGCAAUUCAAUGCAACAUGCAAAGUACAUCUAUAUUGCAUCUAUAUAAAAGUUCUCAUGCCAACGUUACAUUCACACUUACCUCAACAUUCAUGCACAAUAGAUCUUGCCUACUAGUAUCAUGCAAUCAUGACGAUCAUCUAGCCUCACACUAAAGAUGAAAUUACCGCAACUCAUAGGAGUUUUGCAGCAUCCCUACAUCCUCAUGCAACCUAGAGUUUCUGAGUGUCAAGCCACAAUGCUACACUACCAUAGGAAACAUGCAACGCGAUAUGCGAAUUAUCACCUACUAAUCCUAUAGUGCCAAGAUAUCAAUAUAUGAAUAUGAUCAAAAAUUAAAACUAGACAUAAAGGAAACGUGGAUACUUCGGGAUGAGCACACCCACCUUUUACCGCGUAUCACGAGCCUAGGUUCUCAAUUGCACGUUUCCCUAGUCGCGCUUUACUCUGUCCGGUCGAUCUGUCUCGACGAAUCGACGACGACGCUUCACACCGUUUAGCACCUCAUAACACAAGCUUUUCUCAACCAAGUAAUGAAGAGGAGGAAGACUUUCACCUCCAAGAACAUUUCUUCUCCAAAGCACUCCAAUUCAUCUCUUUGGUGAGAGCAAAGUUGUUGGAGAGAGAGAGAUAUUUCUCUGUUGGUUGCAAGUGUGCAGGAGAAAAGAAGAAAAGGCUCCAAGUCCCCCAGGGUGAGGCCAGGGAUCGCGGGAAGGGAGUUGCUUCGAGCUAGCUUCCUUCGAGGACGAGUUGCUAGGUGGUCUACCUCUCGAUUUUUGUUCCCUUUUGCGAGAGGUUGAGAGUUCUACCAGUGUACUAGAGACCACCACUUUUGUACUUUUGAGACAGAUAUUGUACUACUUAUGACUACUUUACCUUGGUGUAGAUGUUAGAACUUUACUCGCUCUGAUAUCAUUAGCUGCUCAUUAUUUCUCUUCUUCUAUUUGUUUUAUUACUUGCUUUUACUUCCGCUUUUAUUGUAGACGCCUUAUAUGUGUAGACAUAUGGCGGGUCUGGGCACGCUACCGGGAGGGCCUCCGCCGGUCCCGGGGCGUGACACCCGAGGCUCGGGUUGCGGGGUCUGCGGCUCUGUACCGGUACAAGCCUGAUGGCUGUAUCGGUACAACCAUCAACCUUGUACCGGUACAAGACAAGUCUUGUUCCGGUACAAGCUCUGCUGCAGGCUACCCGAGAGCUGACCAAGGUCCAAUCUUUUUGGGUUUUUGGCACCAGCUUAAAACCACAAUUCUCGGGAUGCGAGCCAUAGGUCGGAACACUGUCUACGACAUUCCAGAAAGUCUGAAAAAGCUCGACACACAGAUCAAACACUCGAACCUCGCAAUUUGCAAAGGUCGAGUGUGUUACAUUAGGGUUGAAGCUUACCUCAAAGCUUUCCCUUUCUUGCACUAGAGAGGAAGAAGAUGAAGUUGCUUCACUUCAAUGGCUUUUUCAUCACCUUCUCCUUCUUUUCCUUUCCUUUCUUUACCUUCUUCUUCUCCUCUUUUGUCUUCUAGAGAGAAAGAGGGAGAGAAGAGAGCGUGAGAGGAUGAGGAAUGAGAGAAAUUUCUCAUUUACUCCCAUACAUAGCUCUAUGGGUUGCAAAAAUACAAAUAAACCCCUCAACUUUCACUUUAAUACACUGCCUGGACUGGGCAGAUUUCGUGCUCGGGGACCGGUCUCCCCGACUUGGGACCGGUCCCAGAGAGCUCUCCCCGCGAGUAGCAGGGCGCACGCGCAACGCAACCGAUCUCUCACUGGGGGACCGGUCUCUCGGGGACCGGUCUCUCCCCGCAGGGACUGGUUCCCAAGAGCUACUUUCUGGGACUUAGCCGAUUUUUCGGCUGUCUCAUUUCUCACGCGUUCGGGGACCGGUCUCUCCCCGCAGGGACCGGUCCCCGAGAGCUGAAAAUAUGCAGUUUGCAGAAUUUAAUUCUUUAGCUCUCUAAAACCUCCUACAACACACUUUUGAUCAUUUUAACACCUCCGGACUUUCCGAAGUGUUCCAACCUCGCACUUUGGUCAAUUUAACUAAAGUUCGAUAUUUAUUUUUCGAAUUCUCGGUAUAUUAUAGGGGGGUGGGGAUUCUCACAGUGAGAAGCCUCACAGUGGCUUCUCACUGUGAGAAGCCACUGUGAGAGUGCUGNAAUGCACGAGAGAAAUCUAAAACUAUGUUUGCUGCAAAGGGAAAUGAUUUCCUGCACCUGGUCCAUCUAUACCCUUGCGCACCACUCGUCUAUUACUCUCUCGCUUUAUCAAUUUUCCUUCUAUCCAUUCGACACUGAUGGCUAAUAGAUAGGCGGUGCAGAGUUACACUAAUGCACCGGAUGCAUGCAGUAAUUUUGAAGAGGGGAAAGAGAGAGAGAGAGAGAGAGAGAGAGAUGCUUCUAGGGCUAGAGAGAGAACGAGUGAAGCGACCAACAUCGGAAAACAAAGCCCGCGCAGGCCGCCGCUGACAGAGGAUCGGGCGGAGGCCAGAGAGAGAGAGCAAGAGCACGAAGAGAGCCACAGAAGGGGGAAAGAGAGAGAGAGAGAGAGAGAGAGAGAUGCUUCUAGGGCUAGAGAGAGAACGAGGAAGCGAGCUACCUCGGGCAACAAAGGGCGGCGGCGGCGACGGCGGCGGCGGCGGCCAGAGAGAGAGAGCAAGAGGAAGAGAGCGAGAGAAAGAGAGAUCGAGAGAGAGAGAGAGAGAGAGAUCGAGAGAGACAGAGUUCGGGAGGGGGGGAUGUUCGAAGAGAACACGGUGAAUGGUUCACCAUGUCUUGACUGGUUAUACUGGACACGGUGAACCAUUCACCGUGUCCAAUAGAAAUACCCUACUCGCAAGGUGGCAGUAUUUAUAUUAGACAUGGCGAACAGCUCACCGCGUUUAGACACAGUGAACAGUUCACCGUGUCCAAUAGAAAUGCCCACGACUUAGCAGUAUAGCGGCUAAGUCCCUGGUAGUUAGCCGUAUAGCGGCUAUUCCACAGCCUUUAUUUGUAUUGAACACGGUGACUAGUUCACCGUGUCCAGACACGGUAAACCAAUCACCGUGUUUAGACACGGUAAUUGGUUCACCGUGUCUAGUAGAAAUAACAUUCUGGCUAUUUCUAUUGAACACGGUGAUUAGUUCACCGUGUCUUCUACUAACAUUCUGGCUAUUUCUAUUGAACACGGUGAAUGGUUCACCGUGUCUAAACACGGUGAACCAACUUAAACACCUGGCCGGCCCUGCCUGCGUGGCGCUGACGUGGCGCUGGCAUGGCAGGGGCAGGGCUGUUUUUGCAAAUAAUUUUUUGACAGGAUUAUUUUUGUAAAUAAAUUUGUCAGGGGCUAUUUGCAAAAAACCCCAAUAAGGGAAAUAAGGGAUACGGUCUCUCUCUCCUUCCUUAGGUUGCCAACCAAACCCACCUCAACGCAGGGCCGGCCUUCUUGUGACCGUACGGCUCCGGCGACCCACCCCUCCGGCCGACGACGCAGCCACAGACCCUCCUCUCUUCUCUUUCUUCUCCCUCAGACGCACGCAGUCGCCGCCUUCUCCUUGGCCGAGCUCCAUCCCCAGCAGGCCGCCGUCGCCUCCUCAUCUCCUGCUAGCAAUCCUGCGAGCCGCGGGAUCUCCUCUGCGUCGAGGUCUCUCUUUCUUUCCCAUCCGCUCGUCAUUAUCACCAAGCCGCCGCUGCCUUCUCGGUGCCCGCACGUGACCGGCGACUUCCCCUCCGGCUGGCGACGCGCUCGUUCAACCCGUGCGGUUGUCCUCCUGCCCCCCUGGCCGAACAACAUCCCCCUGGGCCGGGCUCCUCUUCCCUGGGCCGAGCUCUCCAUCGUCUCCUUCUCCGGCCACCUCCUCCCUUCCCCUGCGGCCAGCGAGUGUCGCCGGAACCCUUGGAUUGGUGAAAGAAAGGCCGGGCUUCGUUGUCAUCCUCCUUGGGCGGCGCCUCGGAUCGGAUGCGAGGUAUAGCUUUGGGUAAAAUAAUCUAAACCACCUCGUUUGUGUUCGUUAAUGCGUGCUGGUAGGUUUAAGGGUUACGUUUUGAUGUUGUAUUGUGUUGAGAGCCUUGCGGACAGCGCAAGGUGGUUGGGCACAGCACUUGCUGGCGGAAUCCUCCCUCCUGUCCUUUCUUAACCCGUUGUGUGCUGAGUGUGACUCGACUGGUGAUUUAGAUGCCGAAAAGGGUAUCCGAGAGUUUCAUUUGUGGCCGAGCCUCAUGGUCGUGUGGCCCAUUGCCAUGCACUAUUCUCGCAGUUGUCCCGACGCCGAAGAUGGUGCGUGUUGGGACCCCUUGGGGCUGAAGCGACGCUCCGGUCACAUGGAUCAAUGAUUAGUGUCGUUUCAAAGGCUGGUUAGCAGAAACAAUGUCCUGAGCAUGAGUAAUUGGUCUUUGUGCAUCCUAAACUUGUUGUUUAGCGUUGUACAUAUGUUUGAGGGCGAAGCUAUGAUUUGGAAGUUCUUCUACUAUCAGUAUUGAUCCGGAAGCUUUUACUGGCUGGAAUUGAUGGUAGACAAGCGCAAUUCGGCAUGCUGGUUCUGACACCAAAGUUGGUGUUUGGAGAACCCGUAACCCGUUUGAGGCUAAGUUUCGUGGCCAAGAACCCUAUAAUGAGCCACCUUAUGUGCUGCUGUUUCAACACCUAAAAUGAUGCAUUUUAGGACUAUUUAGGGGCUGAAGUGAUGUUCGAAGUAUUAGGCAAAGUUCGGAGUUGAUUUCGGAGUCGGUUGGCGGAAUUGAUGCUCUGUAAACCCCAUAGCUUAUUGUUGAGUGACCUAGUUGUGUUGCAGCAGGUUGCUAUGUGAUCUUAGUCGCCAAUAGUGUUUUGGAUGCGCUAUUUAGCGUCAUGGCAUAUAAUUGGGGCCGUGUGCGACAAGUGUGGUCGGUUCGGACGCCAAAACUCGAAACAUCGAAACCUAGGCCUUGCCGACAAGUUGAGUGAUUGGGAGUUUGUGGCUAUGCUUGUUUCUGGCCAAGGCUUCGUUGUAGAUGGGUUUCAUGCGGAAUUAACCCUCGGGGCUGAUUGUGAUGUGCGCUGCUGUCCUGAAACCGAAAAGUGUAGUUUCGGGACUUUUCAUGGCCGAAUUCUGUUCUCGCAAUGCAAUGCUCAUGCAUCCGGCCUUCGGGACUUGUGGGUUGCAAGUCGGAGGCUCGUUGCUGGUCAAAACUAGCUAUGAUCGAGUGUUAAGCCUUUAGCUGGUUCCAACACCAAAGAUGAUGCAAUUUGGAACCCAUUAUUGCGUAGUUUUGUAGCCGUAGUCCCUGUUGUCACGCCCCGCUCCCACAACGGAAGUAUUCAUCGGGCAUGUGCACCAGACCCGUCGAACAGACAGAGUUUUCUUUAUUUGUCUAAGGCGUGACAAGCAUAUAUACACAAGAUAUUUCAAACAGCAAUUGAAUACAUGGAUUGUACAAAGAAGCAUCACAAGACAUAAUGUAAAUACUAUAUCUAUUACAUCAUUUUUUUUCCAUUCAGUUACAUACAAGUUUCAUGCCAAAAUACAAUCCAAAAUGGACUUUACAUUUGAUUAACCUUGUCCUUACAUUAUCCAAAAUGAGGUGCAACUAUAAAAGCAACAAAAAGUGGAAAAUGCCGUUAUCUAUUGUGUUACGCCCUUUCCUCUCCGCGUCUAGCUUAGAUGGACCUGAAAAACAUGGGGUGAGAAUUAUAAAUAUAGUUUCCAGUGGAUACGACCACCCAAAGGAAAAAGCUUGACCCACCAGAUCCAAAGGAAAACAACAUAAGCAUGGGUUAGUUCACAUAUACAUGCAUAUAAGGAAUAACAUGCUUAUGCCACAACGCAUAACAAUGAAACCUACUUGUGUGAUGUAACUACAUUUAAUCACUAGGUUCAUUAUUCUAGCCACGUUGCCUGACUCAACCUUGAGUCAAUCGAAUGCGGAAUCGCAGCUCUCAUUUGGCAUUGGUAGUGGAAUCAUCGCACCAUUCUGCUACAAUUCAUAAGUUGCAGAAUCGCCGUGCUCGUUGGGUACCGGGGCAUAGAAUCGCUAUCCCCUUUAUUUGCCCAACAUCAAUGGUAGCGGAAUCGCCGCAUCCAUGGCCUCACUAAGGGUCCACGUAUUCCACCCUAUAUGUUAACCUUUCUAGGUUUAAUGUUGUUCAUGUCCAAGUGGUAUUCUACCCAUUAUGUUCUCAAACCUAUGUUCCAAUGGCACUAUGUCCUCUACAUUCAUGUGUUGAGUUCUCUAAUGACCCUAGAGAAAUCAAUCAUCUAUCUAGUCCAUAACAUAGGUGUACCAAACCAUCAUGCAUGCAUUCAUCCAUCCAUGAGUCAUAAUAUACAUAUGCAAGGAGUCAUGCAUGAUGUCAUUUAUUCAUGAGCUAUAUCAUAAAUAUGAAGAAUAGUCAAAUAUGCAUACAUUCUUUCAUGAAAGGUAGUGAUCCUAAACUCAUAUAUAUCUCUCGCAUGGACUUUCUCUUAUACAAGACAACAACAUUAACAAGUCCAACUAACAUAUGCUUCUAUCAUGCAUACCUAGUAGGCUAGUAUUUUAAUUAACAUUCAACCAUAAAUAACAUAAUUUAGUUGUUUCACCCUAGACAUGAAAGUGACCAAAUCACUUUGGUACAACACAACCCACCUUAGCACACCCCUAAUUGCUUGUAGUCACUUGCAAUUAGGCUCUUCUCUCUUGUGCUACAAGCUUAGCCCCAAGCUUCUUGCCCUAACACAAGACAAAUGGUUUGUUACCAUUUUCGAACCCUAAUAUGAUUUUAUCUCUUGAAAUCAUGUUGUCCCCUAUGAUUUCCAAUCCCUUAGUUAGGGUUUUAAAGGGUUAAACAUUUUUUAAACCCUUCAAAUCCAAAAACCCUCUUUUGACCUAGGGUUUCCCAAAAUUCAUUGCAAAAUCCAAAUCCAUUUGCUAAUCUCUAUAAUUUGUAAAUUAGAUUAGCCUAGGGUUUGAUAAAAAUCCAUUUAGAAGGUUUAAAUCCAAACCCUAAUCUUAAACUCCAAGAAACCUCACUUUAGCCACAAGUUUCUCACUUUUUCUUGCUCAAGAAAAAGGCUCUCCACCUCCAAAAAAUCCCUCCUCCAAGCGUAAUUGUCACGCCCCGGGACCGGCAGAGGCCCUCCCGGUAGAGCGCCCAGACCCGCCAUAUGUUUACACAUAUAAGGCGUCUACAACAACAGCGGAAAUAAAACAAGAGAUGAUCUACAACUAGAGAUAUCAGAGCAAGUACACAUCUAUAAUCUACGAUAAGAGAAGUUGGAACAAACUAAAUAAUAAAGAGGAAAUAUAAAGUUAUACAAUAACUAUCACAAAAAGUACACAAAAUGGGUGGUCUCUAAUACGCUGGUACAACUCUCAACCUCUCCAAAAGAAAACAAAGAGAGGUAGACCACCUAUCGACCUGUCCCUCAAGGCAAGCUAGCUCGAGGCGAUACCCUUUCCGCGGUCCCUAGCCUCUCCCGGCGUGGAAGGCUCUGAAAUAAGACAUAAAACAUAGGUGUGAGAACUAUAAUUUAUAGUUCCUAGUGGGCAAUUACUGACCUCAAUUCAAUGCACCACUAGGCCCCAGAAGAAAAGGGUAAGUACGGUAAGCAACAAUAAUAAUAAUAAUAACUGUAAUAUGAAAGCAUGUAUGUUUACUAUACCAUAAGCAUUACGAUGUCAAUGUGUUGUACAUUUACUCUUUCAUGAUGAAGAAUGUCCAAUGCAUAAGAAAUAUGUCCAAACAUGGCAACAAGUAAGUAUCAUGACCCGUUUUAUCAAUAUAUGAUGAUUAUGCUCUAUUAUGGCAACCAAGUAUACAAUAAUGCAAUAAGUAAAAUAUCAAGUAUACUACAUGUCUCAACACUAUGUGUCACGCCCCGGGACCGAGCGGAAGCCCGCCCGGCACGUGCCCAGACCCGCCAUACGUCUAAAACGUAUAAGGCGUCUAGAAACAACAAUAAUAAAAGCAAUAUUAAAGGACAUCUAGGAGUAUCAGAGCAUAAUAAAUGUCUAAAUGCUACAACAAAGGAUAAGGUAAAACUGUAAAUCUACUAAAGAAGACAUAAAGUAAAUACAAUAGGAAAUCCUAAAUACAAGUGCUAUAGGUAGGUACAUAGGUGGUCUCUAUACAUGGAUACAAAACCUCUCACUCUCUCAACUACAAAAGAAAGAGUAAACCACCUAGGCAAGUACCGCUCCUCGCUAGCUAGCUAAGCGAUUCCUUUGCCGCGAUCCCGUGCCUCCGCCGGUGCCGAAGGCUCUGAAAAGGAAACCAUAAAACAGGGGCGUGAGAACUAUUAAAAAUAGUUCCCAGUGGGCAAUUACUGACUUCAGUGAAUACACCACAAGGCCCAAAGCUACAAAAGAUGUCAGUGACAGUAACAGUAGAAAGGCGAAAGGUAAGUAAAAAUAAUGUAACCUACUACAACAUGAUAUCUCUACUUAGCGUAAUUAGCAUAAAUAUGAAGCAAUUAUGCAUGAAGUAAAAGUCUCCAACUAUCAUAAUGUUCACAAUGCGAAAUAGUAAAGUUCCGUUGUUUACUAUUCUAGUCAAAGUCCACGUAAUACUCUAAGUCAGUAUCUGUCCACAUGUCAUGAUGAAUGCUCAAGUCAAAUCUGAAGAGACCCACCCGAAGGCUGUCUAUGGCCCUGAGACCCACCCGAAGGCUGUCUGGCCGGUGCCGAGCCUAAUGGCCCCGUGGUAGUCANGGUCCCCGAGAGUAAAAACUCUCAGGCCUCAGCCAAAACUCUCGAGUUCGAACUUUUAGGCCGGUAUACCAUCGACGGCCCUCCACCGAGUGUGGAAAAGUUCGGAAUACACAUCGAACACUCGAACCUCGCAAUUUGCAAAGGUCCAGUGUGCUACACUAUGCUAUAAGCAUGUCAUAGUAAUCCAACUACUAAUCCUAUCUAGUAGUGAUUGUCAUUUUCCGGUUCAAUGUCAGUGUUCCCAUCAUGUUCUAGGACCUACAUAAAUGUAGUAGUCCAGCUUGUGCCACCUAAGUGUCGGUGGUAGCUCCAGCAUUCCCACUCUAGGAAUGAGUCUAUCCCUCCCGACCCCGUAGGUUUUUCGAUACCGCACGAGCGAACAUAAGUCGCGUAGGCCAACUCCGGAGUGCCGGCUUGUAGGGAGCAACCCUCACAAGCAUGUGCGAAUGAGCACAAAUGGCAAACAAGCGUAGUCAUCGUCUCAAGUACCCAAUCAUCAUGUCUCUAACAUAGCACUAGUCACUAGCAUCACAAUGAUCUAGUUUUAUGUCACAAUGUGAAAUUCCAACAUUUACCAAGUCUAGUGCCCCUUUAUGACACUUAGACAAUUCUAUAUUCAAGCAUGUUCUACUUUCCAAAUCUCUCAAUGGCCCUAUCCACUAGGUUCACAUAUAAUCCGAGCUCAAUGCCGCUUUAUGACUUUAGCUCACAAUUUCACAUGUCAAUCUUGUCUAAUGCCUCUUUAUGGCAUUGUAGUAGUUUCUAUGUCCAAUGAAAAUUUAGGUUCAAGGGCGCUUACGCAUGCUAUUUCUACUAUAGGAAACAUGGCCCCAAGUCUCCUAUAAGAAUGCUAAUGCACACAUAAACCUCAAAGGUCUCUACUUCAUAGAGGUCCGAAAAUACUAUGUAUAUAACAUAGGCAUUUUAAGCAUUCUAAAAUUCAUAAUAAAUAUAUUUAACAUGAAUAUGCAUGAAUUUCUACUUUACGAAGCACAAAAUAUAGGAUAUGAGAAUUUCUCAUAUGCUAGGCUAGGUCAAACCCACCGAACCGUCUCGGAACCCUUCGUAAGCUCAAACGAUGUUGUCCCCAAGUCCUCUAGCACCCUAAAGGUAAGGAAAGAAGAGAGAAACGAACGUUACGAACAAUCCCUAGCUCGAUAUUUAACCGGCUCAAGAAUAGGGCCAAAACUCACCUUCAAUGAAGAAAUCUCUUCUCAAGCUCCAAAAGAGAGCUAGAAUCCUUCCAUUCCAACCUAAAGGAAGGUUCUAAUCCCAGUGGAUUAGCCCUAAAAGCCUCUAAUCAAAAAGCCCCAAAAUCACCCCUAGGUUUCCAAUCUAGGGUUUCAUCUACCAUAUAGCAACAAAACUCAAAUCUAGAGGGAGAGAAUGGGCUACCAACCUCUUAGAAGCUUCAAUCCAGGCUCAAAGUCCUCAAACUUCAAAGAUCUUCCCUCAACCAAGCUUCAAAUCCCAAGUCCAAGCUUCAUUCAUGGUGGAUAGUUCACCAAAGCACCAAAAGAAGCAAAAAAAUGUGAUUAUUCCUCUAAUAAUCCAAGGAAUAGGGAAGGAAAUCAAAGGGAGAAGUCUCCUACCUCUUCCUCUGCUGGUGGAGGGCUCAGGGAGAGCCCUAGGGGCGUGGGGUGCUAUAUAGAAUAGCCACAAUUGCAAAAACACCCCUGCAGUUCAAACUGCUCAAAAUCUGCCAAAGUGUACCGGUACACGUUCCCGUGUACCGGUACAAAUCCGGUGAAAAUGCAAACCCGAGCCUCGGGUUUGAAAUUCGGCACAAGUGUACCGAUACAACCAUCAAAAUAUACCGGUACAAAUGUGUACCGGUACAGCCAUCGACCUGUCACUGGUUUCACCAUAUGCAGAGAGCAAACCGAGGGUAGUCUAAGUCCAUCUCUUUGGUGACCUUAGCGCUACAUAAAAUACUACAAAUCUCGGGAUACGAGCCAUAGGUCGGAACACUGUCAACGACCCACCAGAAAAAUCUGGAAAAAACUCAGAACACAGCUCAAACACUCGAACCUUGCAAUUUGCAAAGGUCCAGUGUGUUACAGUAAUCUCCCAAGCUCCUAGGGUUGGAGAUGCUCCAAUAGAGAGAGAGAGUGAAGAGAGUAGGAGAGGAGAGAAGAGGUAAAAGUUCUCUUGUGUACCAAAUGGGGAGAGAAUGGCUGAGGUCCCACUUUUAUAAGGUGUUGCAACAAUUGCAAAUAACUCUCCCACAUUUUGCUCAUUACAACUAGUCAAAACUGGCAUUUUGGAGCACUGCGUACCGGUACUCGAACUCGCGUACUGGUAGGUCCGGUACAUGGGCAUUUAGUUUCGGUACCUAGUUUUCCAGUUCCGCAAAACCCGAGUGUUGAAUUUUCAGGUUUUCUAUUGCGUUCUGGUACUCAGUUUUUCUGUACCGGUACACAAUAUUUUCAGUACCAUAACUAGGGUUUAGUUCCUCAAAAUUCGAGAACUAGCUCCUUACCAUUUUGUAUUGCGUACAGGUACCCAGAUUCCAGUACUUGUACUCAACACAAAAUCUGCAGCUUUGGUAGAUUUGACAUUUCGGAGUCCGUUUUUGCGCACGGUUUGUGCCGAAAAAAGCACUCGAAUAUUCCCCAAGCCUCGUUGGAACUAUUCGAAUAGCCUUUUAAGCCACUUUUCACUAGAACUGCACAAUUUGUAGAAGUUCAGUGCACUACACCUGUAGCUGAGGACGUUGAGUGAGGCUGUCCUGACAUCUAUGAUAGUACAUUUCGGGAUAGCAUAGGGACCGUAAUGAUGCUUGACUUGUUCGUUUGUGACUGCUUGAAUUUCGGGAAUCGAUUCAUAGAAUUAAUGUUCCGAACGCGUCGUAGUACACUUCGGUGCAGUUUGACCAUAUCGGUUAGUAUCGUUGAUGCGUAGAGGGCUGAUUAUGACCCAUGUUUGAUUUGUUUAGGCCUUAGUGAUACCUAUAGACAUGCAGAUGAGUCGAGGGCCCAUGAACACAGAUUAUAGGUCGGUGCUUGGAUCCGGUUGUUGGUACAACUUUAUUACUUGGUUAUUCCCUUUCCAUUUGAUACAUAUAUACAUGCAUAAUGUAGUUUUUUAUGGUUUUACCUACUUUACUACCUAUUACUCAGAUACUGCAUACCUGUGGUUAUUUCUAUGAUGAUUAUUACUCUCGAUUGAUAUUAUCGCAUGUCACUUGACUCUUUAGAUUGUAUUACAUGCUAUGAACAUGAGUAGUAGGCAGGAUGAUUGGUUUAUAACCUUUGGACAUAUUUGUGAGUUAGACCCCGUUUGGGUUCAUUGUUGCUCUAUGGGAGUAUUUUUGGCUUUUGCUGACACCUGGACAAUUAUAGCUGCUUGAGCAUGAUUGCACGAUGAUUGCCACUGUUCUCUAUGCAUUCACGUACAUUAGCGGUUUGGCCACCGCAAUGAUUUUUUUCCCCCUAAAAAAGUGGUCGAGAUCUGACCUGUGAAUCUUUCGGCGUACUUAUGAGGCAAGGGUUAUAUGCUAGUUUCGUCGAGCAUUGUUGCAGUAUGAGCCUGCGGUCCUCAAGAUCAACAAUGGCGUAGAUUGUGUAUAUAGGAAUUUUUUUUAUAUAUAAUCCUAUCAAUAUAUAUAAUUACAAAAAUAGUCUUCUAAAAAAAAUAAUUAUAAAAAUAGAUUUAUAAAUGCGGUGAAUCAUUCACCGCUUUCAUAACUCUACUUAAAAUUAAUAUUUUAAAUGCGGUGAAUCAUUUACCGCUUUUAUUAUUUUUUCCUUUCAUUCUCUCUCAUUCUUUUUUUAUAUAUCCUUUUUAAAAGCGGUGAAUCAUUCACCGCUUUCUCUCUCCAUAAAAAAAUUUGACGAAUGUGGUGAACCAUUCACCGCUUUUACCACUUACAAACACAACGGAGACUAUAUUAUAAAUAAAAUUUUAACGGAUCUAAUCUUAAAAUAAAGUUUUUGAAGAAGACUAGGUUACUAAAAUCCCCCAUACAAGGAGUUGUUGUUUGCUUGGCGCAUGACAUAGUACACUUGAGAAAUGUACUGAUGAUUGGCUUUCCAUUACAGUAGUGUUCGACAUUCUAUUCUUUAUGUUCCCUUACUAGGACUUACUGUCGGUUAUGCUACUAUCACUUACCAUACAAUUUAUUAUGCUUUCUGUCAUUACUUGAUCUUAUUACAGUAGCACUAUCAUUCCGUAUUGGAAUAUGACUUAGCUUACCAUGUAUUUUGCCUCUAUAUUUUGUUAUGCUACUGUUCAUUCGCCUUCUGCGAUUCUGUACCCACUAGAAAACAGAAAACAUUUUACAUGUUUUUCACCCUCUGUUUUUACAUGUGACUUUGAUGGUGGGAAUUGGUGCUGUGUACGGUCCGAGUUAGAUAGAGCUACUUGAGUACCCACCCUGGUCGUAAAUCAAUUGUGGAAUUGGAAUUGUAAUAACUUACUCUUGUUACUACUUAUGUUGACGUUUGUGGUUUGGACUCGUGGAUAUUUUGUGGUUUAGUUUAGUUAGAUAGUUGUCGGCCAUAAUUAUGUUGAGAUCUUUGCGGAGUUUUGAUUUUUUUGGUUCAGUUCGUACUAUUCUACUUUCUCCACUGUCAUGAUUAUUUGGUACACAUUUGUUGUUUUGUGUUGCAAUUGUGUUGCUUUGUAUCACGUCGCUGUGCACGAACAUGGGGGAUGUUGUCUGUUGGGGGGUCUGUUCGCGUCCCAGGCAAGUUUUUAAAAAGUUUUAAAUUGGCCUUUCGCAAACUCUAGUUUUUCAAAUCAAAUUAGCUCUCGAAAACAAUUACAAAACGAGGCCGGAGGCGUGACACAAACAGAAUACACUUUUUGCGCUGUCAGUUUCAUUCAUCAAGCUUUAUCAUUGUUAUCAUGUGACCCCUGGUAAGUUGUUGCGUAUUAAAUGCCUCUCUAUGAUGCACAAAUACCUUCAUUUUACUGGCCGUAUUAUAGUAGAUACGUAUUGGAAACCAAUAUGUGCGUGAUACAUGCCUGAUUCGUGUUGCAUACUUCAUAAGAGUAUCCAACAUUUUUUAAAAUUUAGAAAAAUACCGGAUACUUGAUGGAUACUCGUGUACUUGCGAGAUAGGGGUAGAGUUUUUUUGCAUAGGGAUGAUACUUGCACCAUGUAUUCGUUGUUUUGAUUAAUUUUGUUUCUUUAUUAAUAAGAGUUGACUAUGUUUGUAUCUUUACACAUAUUAAUUAAUUUAUUGCUCUACAUUAACUAAUUAUCUGAAGUUCUAGACAUUUUUUUUUUAAGGGUCAAUUGCAUACAGGUCCUUACAAAUAUAGUGAAUUGCAGAUAUAUUUCUAUAAAGUUCAACUUUCAUAAGUUAUCCCUACAAAAGUUCUAAUGUUUUCAGAUAUGUCCCUGCCGUUAGAAUCCGCUAGAAAAGUUUAGUUAACCAUAGGUUAAAUACUUUACCCGGGUUAAUUUUUGACAUUUUUACCUCUCUUAUAUUAUACUAUUAUAACUUUUGGAGAGACAUAUUUGUGAUCGCAAAAUUGAAAAUAUGAACAGUUUUCUAACGGUUCUCUAACGGUAACAAAUCAAAGGGACAUCUGAAAAUAUUAAGACUUUUGUAGGGAUAACUUAUAAAAGUUGAACUUUAUAGGGAUAUAUUUGCAAUUCAUUAUGCUUGCGGGGACCUAUAUGCAAUUAACCCUUUUUUUAAUGUAUAUUCAUUGUCAUAUGUAAUAAUAAUGUAUGCAUUAAAAAUAAAUUUAAUUACUGUAUCCCCUAUGUUAGGUGUCGUAUCACUAUAUCAAUUGUUGUGUCGUAUUCCGUAUCUCGUAACCCUCUCUAUCCAAUGUAAAUGGUUUUCUUUCUUCUGUUCAUCAUCUCUUUGCCUGCAAAACUUUUGCUUGUUUGUGCUUUUUUUUUUUCUUUGUAUAUAUUUGUAUUGGAUAUUUCAGUGCAAAUUGGAUAGAGCUUUUUGAUCUUUUAGAGUUGAAGGCUCAUGAAAGCACCCAACCUAUAAGCAAAAGCCAUUGGAAUUGAUAUUUUAUACAUCGGAAUAAACCAAUUUGUAUAUGGGAAACCCUUUUUCUCUUUAUCAAGAAAUAUCGGUUCUCUCUGUUUAUAUUGGUAAAGUAGGCAUAGAAUUUCCUUUCUCAACUUAUUCUAUGCUAGUAGCACAGCUCACCUUAAGAGGCUGAUUUCUGAUAUCUCAUAUCGUAAAUGAAAUACUAUGGUAAUUAUUUGAAUUUCUUCCUUUGCAACAAUAUAAUAGUUUCUACAUUACAGUGUCAGUGGAUGGAUGAGGGGGGAGAUGAAGCAUCGCUUGCCUUUUAAGGUUGGACAAGAGGCUGAAGCAAGGUCCUUUAUUACUGGCUUUCGUGGUGCAUGGUUUCGCUGCAAGGUAGGUGGCGAAAAUUUAUAUUACUGUUACUUACACUUGAAAGAUAUGUGUGCAUUGAAAUACACGAUGAAAUUUAUUUGUGUAUGCGCACUUUUAUUCAUGCGUAAUGUGGGAUUACAUUCUAAAGUAAACAUUUGUAUGCUUGUGAUAUUAGCAAUUUUUAUUAAUUGAGAAUAGUUUCAUAGUUGUAAUGCGAUAGAAAGUCUAGUAUUAUUUAUUUUUAUACAUUAUAAUAAUUAUGUUGCGGACUAAAAUAGGAUUUUCAUGUGGAAGUAGUUAAUUCCCCAAAUUAGUUAGAUGUAGUUUUUUAUCUGAUUGUAGUGUUGAUUGAAAUUGUAAAUUAAAAAAUCGCGUUAACUGGUCUAUGCAGUUAAUUGUCCAAGUUAAUCAGCUAAAUUGGUCUUUUAUUUGAUUGGGCAGUUGAUUAAAAUUGUAAAUCAGAAAAUCACAUUAAUUGAUCUUUGCAGUUAUGUGUAUUUUUUUUUUUAAUUUUAAUAUGUAUUGUAAUCGAUCGGAAAGUCCAAACUGGAUGUAAGAAGCAUAUUAUUAGAAACCUUGGUUAUUCUGUCACAUCUCCUUUCAUUAGUCGUGGUUACUUGACAUUGUGGUACAAAAGAAUAGCUUAAUGUUGCUUGGAACGGGAUACGCUGUGGUGUGUGGUACGGGUAUGGAAAUAUGGUUCUCUAAUUUCCUAGGAACGCGGUAUGAGGGGGUAGGAUUAGUUAGAAGUUGGAACACUUCCAAAAUGUAGUUUGUUUAGAACGUCACUAUAGAUCGUCAAUAACUUAUCUUUGUUACCGGUUAAUUCUUUCCUUUCAUUAAGGUCAGAUUGAGUAUUCUCUCUUCUAACCAAAACCGUCUCAACUUUUUUUUCAUACGAGUAUGACUUUUUUGUAUUAUUCUAUCUAGUGAAAAAUAUUUUUUUAGGCAACUAAACAAAUUAGAUCUAGAAAAAUUGAAGAAAAUCUUUACUAUUCCGGUUCACAACUUUUUGUGAAUCGAAUCGAGAACCCACCACGAAUCAAUAUGUGCAAUCCAGAUCACAGUUCGGAUUUGGGGGGUGGGGGGGGGGGGNGGGUCUGCGAUGUCACGCCCCGAGACCGCUACCCAUUUGGUCCGGUUCGGGCACGUCGAACAGACGCCGAACGGAUAGCACCUCCUCUGUCCGCCCAAGGCUCAAACACGGGAUCAUGUACAAGAAUUCGCCCAGGAACAAUUCAAUACAUACGUGAUCCAUACAAUGACAAUAGAAGCACCACCAGUGCAUAACAACAAGAGCAAGUAACACAAGUAUACAUACAAGUGCAAAAAGAGAGAAUUCUAUCUAUUACAUCACAUUCAUCCAUUGAUUACACUUGUUUCAUCCCAAAAUACAGAUACAAGUUUGUUCACAUCUCUCCAAAAUGCAACUCACAACCUAUACAUCAUCUACUCUCAUAUAUAUAUAGGUACCUCUAAUGCAGUAGGAGAGCUACUAAUGCUAGGGCGCCAAGCCCUUACCGCGAUCCUCGCCCGAAGUGUUUGUACUCGGCCCUGCAACAAAGUGGGGUGAGAACUAUUGUCCAUAGUUCCCAGUGGGUUCGGCCGCCGACUCCGCCGAUCUCCCCACUAGGUCUAAGUGGGCACAAGCAGAUAAAUAGGUAGAUAGGUAUGUGAAAGCAGUAACGACAUAAUAAGAAAGCUCCGCUACUAUGCCCAAAUCAUAUCCAAUGUAUGUAUGCAUAAUGUGAUAAGUAAUCAACUAACAUGCCACUAUGUCCAAGAAGUAAUGUUAUUUACUUGUUCAUUAAAUUCUCUUGACUUACUCAAUCCUUGGCCAACCCUGAGGUUCGCCUGCGACUCACAUGCAUCUCAUGGUAAGGAGACUCAACUUGCUCAGCAAACCCGAGACCGUCUGCGGGACCCCAUAAGGCUAUCCCAGGGACCCCAUAAGGCUAUCCCUUAUGUGACAAAACUCCGGAGCUCACCCUUGUGAGAAGCGACCAACACAAGUUCUGAACAGACAACGAAUAUGAUCCAAUCCUCUCAACUCGAGGAUACCCUAUCCACUAGGGCUAAUAGUCACUCACUCGGGAAUCCACCUAUCCCAAAGUCCAUAUGCAAGUGUUUAACUAUACUAAGUAAGUUCUUGUUCAAUGACUCAUCUCUAGGGAAUCCACCUAUCCUUAAGUUCACAUGUCAAGUGUCAUUUAUACACUAAGUUACAUGCCACUCGUUCUGUUGUCAUUGUUAUUUAUAUGCCACUCGUUAUGUCUUUAUCAACCAUCGAGUCCAUCUCUUAUCUCAGCAUUAUAGGAUUCAAUGUCUCGACCCAAUCUUUAUCUAUCCACUAUAUCAAGCAUUCAACUCACACUAUGAUAUCAUUUAAGAAAGCAUAAGGAAAUGGCAAUGCACAUUUAUCCUACAAUGCAUAUAUACAAGAGAUGCUAGAUUAUAAUGCACUAAGACAUAAAGAGGAGCCCGGUUGCUUCGGGAUGACACCACCAACAUUCUGGUGUUGUCGCGACUCUAGGAAUGAAGUUCGGCGAUUUUACGAUGUCGUCUCAGCCUCCCAGGCGGAAACGAAGCUCGGAAGGUUCUUUUUGCCAAUAACUUUACACCCGCCUGACGAAUUGUCGAACUGUCUUCGCCAACGCGUUCAAACACCUAGCAAUUAGGUUUACGCUUGAUCAAUUUAGAUCAAUACCCAACAAAUCACAAAACCCCCAUUUUGGAGCCCUGACUUGCAAUCAUGCAAGAAUCCAUCGCUAAAUCUCCAACUCAUGCAUUAAAGCAUCUAUUUAGCAUGCUAGAGUUCCAUUUAAACCAUUCUAGAGUUUAAAGAUCUAAACCCUAGAAAUCUACCAUGGUUGAGCCUAGAAGCUUACCUCCAAAAGCUUGCUCCAAGCGUGAGAGGAAGAAGAAGAUGACGAAGAUCCUUCUCUUUGCUUGCUUCUCCACCAAAACCCUUCUCUUCUUCACCUUCUAGAGAGAGAGGAAGAGCGUUUAGAGAGAGAGAGGCUAGGGUGAGUUUGGGAGAGAAAUGAGAAAGAGAGAGGGUUCACCCUCUCAUAUACCCCCAACUCAUGCUACAAAUGCAUAAAAGCCCCUCAACUUUGUCAACAUGACACAACCCAUCUUGGGCAAAUUCCGGCUACGGGGACCGGUCUCUCUAAGAGGGACCGGUCCCCGAGAGUGGCUUAUUUACAGAAAAGGGCCAUUGACCCCUUUUCCACGCUUACGGGGACCGGUCUUUCCAACGAGGGACCGGUCCCCGAGAGCUCACUCUCGCAGGACAGCCCCUUGCUCAAUUUGCAUUCCUACGGGGACCGGUCGCUCCCGCCAGGGACCGGUCCCCGAGAGCAAGUUUUAUGCACAGAGUCCUUUGCCACAUUUUCCAAGCUACGGGGACCGGUCUCUCCCACCAGGGACCGAUUCCCGAGAGCAAAAAUCCUGCACUUGCAGAAUCUUCACAACUCGCUCGGAGGCCUUCUCCAAUGUACUUUUGGCCUUUCCGAUGCCUUCGGACUUUCCGAAGCACCCCAAGUCGACAAUUAGUCGAUUCUAACUGAAGUUCAACUCUCGUAUUUCGAGAAUUCACUUCCUUACAUGCGACCUCAGUAAGCGUGAGCUUAACUAGAAGUUACUAGUAAAACAUGUAGUGAUAUUAGUGCUUUAUAAGUUUCAUCAAUCAUGUAGAGUCCUACUCUGUAAACAAAUUUUCUUAUCGUGCCAAGAUUUUCUUUUUGAGAUUUGAACAGAGCUAUAUUUCUAUGUUAGGUUGGAGAAGAGAGUUUGAAUUGUGAAUUGUGGAUAUGGAAGUUUGGUUUCAAAAAUUAAGCAGGGAGAGAUGGCAUCACCAUGAAGUGGAAAGCUAGUAGAAGCAAAAAACCUAAAAUAUCUUUUAUUUUGUCCCUAAAAAAGUCAACAUAAGGAAUGAUAAAUUGUUAGGACUAACACUAUAAGUUAGGAGAAUUAGCAUGGAGGCAAUGUUUAAAAAGGUGCGAGGCGCAAAGGCCUUCUGUAGCAAGGAUUAAAGUGCCGUGGCACAAGAGUGCAUACCGGUUGUUGCUUAGCACGGUAUGGCACAGGUACGCCUCUGUGCCGACACGUGGCACGCUUGUGUGCCGAUGGAUAUGCAUGACCUCCCAGUGGUGCACUUUGAUACGUUUUUUUAGUUUUUUUAUUCCCAAGUAACUCUUAUAAUGCUAUUUUGAAAGAUAUAGAAAAAUAAUUAUAAAUAUUGGCUAUAUAUAUAUAGUUUACUGUACUCAGCAAUUAAUAUAGUAGGAAGCUUUUUAUAUAUGUAAAGUGAAAAUAUGACUAUAGCUCAUAGAGAAUAAAAAUUAAAAAUCGAUGAACUUUGAAAAUUCUUUUGAUUUUACCUUUUCUUUCAUACUGAAAAAAAUUAUAAAAUACAAAAUUAGAGAAAUUAUUUUUUUUUCAAAACUUUUAUAGAAUUUGCAAGAUUCAUCCAUAUUGAUUAGACGAGAGACCGCAUGAUGACUAGAUUAACCAGAAUAGCACUACAAUUGCUUCAAUAAUUUCUUUUAUUUUUGAAUCUUUUAAAAAUAUUUAUUAUAAAUUUGAAGAGAAAAUUAUUUUUUAUUAAAAUUUUUAAGAAAAAUUGUGAGAUCUAUUGAUAAAAAUUUAACAAUAAAUCAUAUGACGAAUAAUUAAGCAAAUUUAAAUAUUAGUUGCUUCAAUUUAGUUUUUUUUUAUGUUUUAUUAGUAUUUUUCAUUUUCUAAAUCCAAAAAUAGAAUUUUCAAAGUUAAAAAAUUUUUGUCAUAAAUCUCAUACCCAAUGUUAGAUUUAUCCAAAAGAAUGACUUAAUCAAGUAGAUCUAUUUUUAAAUUUUUGUAAACUAUAAAUAAAAAUUGUAUAAUGACAAAUUUCUUCAAUAUAGGAACUUUGCAAGUUAGAAAUAUUCAAAAUGUAUGAAAAAAAUUAAAAUUGUGAAUUUUUUACUUACCUAAUAAGUACAUUUUUGAUUUGCUAUUUCUUUGACUUUUCUCUUAAGAUUGAAGUGAUCAAAGUAAAAAUGAAGUAGAAAUAGAAGGGAUUGAAAGGAGAAAUUACAGAAAAUAUAAUAAGAAAAGGGAGAAAAAAAAAUAGAGAUAAAACAAAGACAGGAAGAGAUAGUGAGAAGAAAAGGAAAUAUUGAAAGAGCGAGUUGAGGAGAAGAAAAGGUAGAAGAGAAUGAGCGAGAAGGAUGUGUUUUAUCUCUAUUUUUUUUUCUCCCUUUUCUUAUUAUAUUUUAAGGUUGGCCGGCCGGGGGGGGGGGUUAAAUGUUAAAAUGGUCGGUGCCCUUAUAGGCACUCAGUGGCACUGUGCCGCAUACCUUUGGGUAUUGCGAUGUCUCGUGCGAUACCCAAACGCGGCACGGGGGGUCCAAGAGAGAAACCCCCUGUAUUGUGCCCCAUUGGUGGUACGAUAUGUAUUGCCCCGUGCCGGUCCGCUCGGGGCGACAUUUUAAACCUUGUUUUGGAGCCUAGGUGCGAGGCCCACUGCGAAGCGCGCGCCUCAAGAAGGUGAGGCGCACAUCUAAUAAUAUAUUCUUAAGAAGCUUAGUUUGAAUGGAUGUUUUAUGUUUAAAAAUCCCAAAAUAGCCAACUACAAACUAUGAAAAAGCAAAGAAAUCACACGUUCAAACGUUCUCAAACUAGAAAGAAAAAAAAUUAUGUUUCAACUUUCAACUUAGAAGUGCUUGUAUUCGGAAUUACAAAUGGUUAAUUAGGCAUGAAGAGAUUGUAGGUACUUGAUCUGUCAUCCAUCGGAUUAGGUUCAAAUGCUUUAAUUUAUUGUACUACACCGAAAAUACGUAUUGCAAAAUAGACAAUGAUACAAUAUUGAAAUAGGGACAAGAUUUAAAGAGAGUGGGCAUCUUUUGGGGGCAAAAAUUCCAGGAAAUUCUCUCUUGUACUAUUAGUAUGGACUAGAUCUUUGAAUGAAGAACAUGUGGAUUAUUCUAAUUUCUGCGAUAUUUUUGUUAGCACAAGAGGCCUACGGAGUAGCACUAUAUAAGAUAAACUGUUAGAUCUGUAAUCAUUGAUUGUUACCAGAAGAACCAGCAAUAAGUAAAGGGGCUGGCAAUUGACAUCCUUUUGGCUCCUUUGGCACCCUUUGGCACCUGGAGGCUUUUGAUCAGCACCUCUGUUUCUUUAAUACCUCGUUGGCGUUAUUAUUGCUUUUCCUUGUCUCUUUGGAUUGCCGACAUGACAAUCCAGCUUUGCAUUUGUUUUAUAUGCUUUCUGGGUUAAUAUUACACUUUUAAAUUUUAGGCAUCGUUAAUUGUUGGCGGCCUUUUUUAACUUAUUUCUUGAGCUAAUAUUUUUUAUUUUACCUUCAGAUAAAGAAUAUUGGCUUCAAGAAAGGAAAACUUGGCUACUACUUGGAAUUCUUUGAUUUUCUAGAUGAAAGUAAGUGAUCCUUCAUUACGAAAAGUUCUUGUACUAAUUGUUUGCUUUCGAAGCAUAUGGAUCCUCGAUGACUGAAUUUCUUUAUUUGAGGCUGGAUGGUUGCCAUAUUGCGGUUAUUGGAGAGUUUCUAAUUGUUCUGACAACUCAUUUGUUGUAAAAUUUUCUUUUACAUGGCAUCUUUCUUAGGUUUAGAGGUGUGGAAUUUGAUUUAUGAAGUGAUACUUAUUAUGUUUGUUUUUAUUCAAACCUCAGGUUCUAACCUGCAUAAUGAUGUUUUGUGUUCUGCAUUUUUAUCGAAUACUGUUCAUGAGUAGUCAUAAUAGGAAUGAUGCAUAACAGAGUCUGUUCGCUAUUUUAUAUUGCCUUGGAAAUUUCUAUGAUUAUCUCACUUGCAAGUGCUUGGUGCUGGAUCGAUAAACUAAAUUCUGGCUUUGUAUUCCUUUGAUGGUGGAUCUUCUUCUUGGUUGCAACAAACAUUUUCAGAGAUAACAUGGACGAAAGUCUAUCAAAAGCCCCCCAAGCACACUAAUAAGCCACGUGGAGUGAUGAAAAUGGAUCUUAUGGUCCGCCCUUCCUUUCCCCCUUGGUAUAAGGAGAGCGAACUACUGGAUCAUCAUUCCACAUCUGGAAUAGUAGCAAUUGUUGAUGAUACUUGGAAAGUUGGUGAUCUGGUUGACUGGUGGUAUGACAACUGUUACUGGACUGGUAGAGUAACCCAAUUACUUGGAGAGGAAAAAGUUUUGGUAAGGCAUUUCUAAUUUGAUUCCCUCUAUUUAUUUUUUUUGUAUCUUAUUCUUUUAAGCAAGGAUUUAAGUGUCGUGGCAUGGGGUCGUGCUGGAAACUUGCCGGCACGGUACAGUAAGGUGUGUGCCAAGCCAUGCCGAUGGUUGAUUAUCAACCAAACUUUUUGUUCACACUCAUUUUUUGGUUAGAAGUACAGGGGGAUUUUGUCGAAACUUGAUUAUCAACCAAAAUUUUUAGCUGUGCUAUUGAGAAUUGAGCCAAUCUUUGCAGAAUUCUCCUAUCCUUUCCAAUAGAGCUGGACCUGUUAGCUCUUUCCUCUGCUGCUAGUCUCUAUGUUGUUCUACAUUCUUGUUCUUUGGGAUGACAACAUGAACUGAAUAGGAUUGGUACCCUGGGUGUGUUCACCCUAUAAAACUCUUUACCAAGGAUUUAAGCGACGUGGCACGGGGUCGUGUCAAAAACUUGCCAGUGUGGUACGGCAUGGUGCGUGCCGGGUUGUGCCGAUGCGUGCCGGUCACAAAGAAUAUAUGUGUGCCAACACAUAAUAGCAUGAAAUAUUUAUUUUCUUUAGCAACAAAAUAUGCCAAUUAUUUAUUAUGUAUUUUUAUCAAAUCUUUUGAACUUUAUUGAGAAAAUUACUUACUAAUUUCAAGAAUAGAGGGUUUUGAGUUGUGUCAUCAAUGCAGGGGCUGUAUCGUGUCGAUAUCUUGUCGGCACGAUACGGCAUGGUGGAUACGGCCCAUGUCGAUGGGCACUUUAAUCCUUACUCUUUACGACUCCUAAAGUGAAACUGCUUGAGCUCAAAGUUACCUUAAACCUCAAAUUAUACAAAUGUAAAGUUAUCUAUAUUUAAGGCAAGUAGCUUAAAAUUGAGGUAGCCUGAAACGUGAAGAAAGGCACAACUGAACACAAAACAUGAACAGUAAAGUCAAAAAAGUCUGAAACUUGAUCUAGCAGGUUUCUUUAUUUUGCGAUGCAUGCUUCUAUUUAUAAGGUCUUAUGUACAUUUGCUUCUUUGACCACCUAGGCACCUAGCGUAGGCUUGGCGCCACACAAUGAGUACACGUCUAACCCUGCAGGCUCACAUUUUCUGUACAUGUGAGGAUUAAACAUGAUAUUUGGAAAUGAUUAGCUAUUUGAACACUUGGAUAUCUAUUUCUAUAUAGAUAUUGUGAUUCUUAUUUUGAUUUUAUUUUGAUUAUUAUUUUUUUCUUAUCUAUUUUAAUAUAAUGAAAGGUAUGUUAAACCGAAGCCUCCCUGCGUUUGGGGGGCUUCGGUGGUGUCACGCCCCGCUCCCCGCCAAUUUGGUCGGGUUCGGGCCACGUCAACAGACGCCGAACCGACAGCACCUCCCCUGUCCGCCCAAGGCUCCAACAACAAGUAUAAUUAAGCAAUUCAAACAACGAGAUUGCAAUUAUACAAGGCUUGCAUGAGGGCAAGCAACAACUACAUAAGUGAAAGUAAACUAUCUAUUACAUUCAUUCAUUGUAACUUGAUCACUUUUAAUCAAAUACAAAGCUUGUACCUUUACUUUACAUUCAUUCAUCCAAUUUACAUAACCAUCUCUCAAAUGGAUUAAUUACAUUUCAUAUACACUUUACAUUCAUCGACAUAAUAGAGGAAAUAUACAAAGGGUGGCUCUAUACACAUCGGUAGUCCGCUACCUAGAGCACGAUAACCAUGCCACGAGCCACGAUCGCCCCGCUCGCGCUAGAACCUGCAUGGUUAGUGGGAUGAGAACUAACAACAAAGUUCCCAGUGGGUUCGGCAACCGACCUCGCCGACUUACCCACUAGGUCUAUUUAGGCAUAUGUAUUUCAAGAAAGGAAGAUAGCAAUCCUACUAAUGCUACUACUAAUACAAUGCCUGCAAGAAAACUGAUCAAUAAACAGAUAAUCAUAUGUAUGAUAAAUGCAUGCAUGCUCUUUCCAUAAUCUCUACUUUGGUUUUUACCCAAUCUUACAGGUUAAUCUUGUUAACCCUAAUAACUCACAACCCAAAAUCCCUUAAUAGCGGGGGACUCGAACCUCCCUAGGGACCGUCCUUUGGGGGGACUUUACCACGCCCAGUGGUGACCAACUCCGGAGUGCACCGCCCGAAGGGGAGCUACCUCCCUCAAGCCAAGACUUAUCGUGAGUAUCGAUCCAAUCCUCAACUUUAGGACAUAUAGCCACUAGCCACAAUGCCACUAUAUCAAUGAUAGGUCUCUACCUUGUCAUUUAUGCCACUCUUUAGGCUACACUUGCCAUAAUGCCACAAUGCCACUAUGUACUAACAGGUUUCUACCUUGUCAUAUAUGCCACUCUCUAGGCUACACUUGCCAUAAUGCCACAACUAGUUAAACCUUGUUUAGCAAUUCAUAUCAUAAUGCCAAUUUUGUCUCUAUUGUCAAUGUCACCUUUGUUUACUAUUAUCAUAGUUCAUAAAGGGUUCCAACAUACAUGUCCUCUAUGGUUCUAUAUCAAUCACUAUGUUCAUCUACAUUAGAAGCAUAAUAUUGAAUUUCAACCAUUAUUCACAUGCCAACUAUCCUAUAUGCAUGAAUGACACUAUUCACAUAUAUGCUCAAUAAAAGGCAACAUAGACAUAGAAGGGAAUCCAACGAUUCCGGAAAGCACCCCCCACCUUAUAGGAAUGCCAAGAAGCUACGGUUCAAUUUUCGUGAUUUUUGGGUGCCUAUUCUGCGUGCUGCGGCCAUCUGUAUGAAAAAUGGUAUUUCGUCAAUGUCUUCGCGUACACUCGUCGGAUUGACGAACCGAGCGCACCAACGCGUUCGUUAUACCCCUAAUUAGGUUUCCAUGAGGCCAAUUUAUCUCGGAAACGAUCGGAGGCAAAAGCCCCAAAUAUGGUGCCCUAAUAAUGUCAUAUUGCAAUUUUUCCGUAGAUUGAUCUUAGAGCUAAAUAAAACUAGGUUAGAAUCAUCUAGGAAGCUCUCUAAUACCAUUUCUAGAUCAUUUAAACCAUUCUUAGGGCAUCUAACAUGAACCCUAGCAAACCACCAUGUGAGCACUUGAGCAAAACAUGGAUUUCCACAUGUUCUAUAGUCUCUACUAGGUUUCUAACCAUGUGAAAGGAUCAAAUCUCUGAGAUUUGGGUGCAAGAUCAAACCCUAGCAUCAUCCUUUCAUAAGAACUCACCUUAGCCCAUUAGCUCUCCAAUAUCCACCUUGUUGGAGAGACCAACACCUUGAAAAGCUCCAAAUCUCCCCCCAAUCCUCCUUUAAUCCAAUUUGUAGAGAGCUUUUAGAGAGAGAGAGGGAGAGAAAAUGAGAGAAGAGUGUAAUCUCAGCUUGCUGUGAAGAGAAGAGAAGGUUUGGGUCUUAUUUGGGCUGCUACAAUUGCAGUUAGGCCCUCCAACUCUCCAAUUCUGCAGCCGGCUGCGCCUGCGGUCCACCGUGCACUGUACCAGUAUACGAAAUCCUGUCACCGGUACAACAACCUUUUUUUGUGGUCCACGGUGCACUGUACCGGUACACAAAAUCUUGUCACCGGUACACAGCCUUUUUCUACUCAACCCGAGAGCUACUUCUUUCGAUUUUACACUAUAUACCGGUACACUUUUUGUCACGUCCCCCGCCCCGAGCCAGCUACCAAUUUGGUUCGGUUCGAGCGUGGCGAACGGACGCCGAACGGACAGAGUCUCCCCUGUCCGCCCAAGGCUCAACGACGAGAUCAUGUACACAAGUUCCCAGGAAAUACACUCGUUUACAUACAUGAUCAUACAACGAUAGCGAGAGCACAAACAGUGCUAAACAAACAAGAGCAAGCAUCACGAGUAACCAACAUACAAGUGAAUAAAAGAGAGAUACUAAUCUAUUACAUCCAUACCACAUAAUACAUUUGAUUAACUUUACAUUUAAACUUCAAAAAUAUUAAACAUUGAGUUUACAUCAUCCAAAAUACCUCACACCCUAUACAUCAUCUACUCUCAAAAUAGAAAUAGGGUACUACUAAUGCAUAGAAAAGUAAGCUACCAAAUGUCUAGGGCGCCAAGCCCUUACCGCGAUCCUCGACCGGCGCACUAGUACUUGGACCUGCAACAACGUGGAGUGAGAACUACGAAUAGUUCCCAGUGGGUUCGGCCGCCGACUCCGCCGAUCUCCCCACUAGGUCUAAGCAGGCAUAGAGAGAUAAUGCAACAGAUAGAUAGUUGUGCUGAAUUGAAAGGAUUUAUAAUAAAUAGGCAGGAGUAUAUAAUGAACAUCUAACUAUGCCUCAAUCUGCAAUAAUGCAUACAUAAACUUUAAUCAUAGUAAAUAACUACAAGUCUACUACAUGAUGCUUCAACAAUAAUGAUAUGCCAUACUUAAUCACACAGGUGAGGAUCCGCUCACUCACCCAACUCACAAUCUAACAUACCGGGGAGGAUUCGCUCACUCGCCCGACUCACUAUCUAAACACUUCGGGGAGGAUCCGCUCACUCGCCCGACUCGCACAAAUACCACAACCCAAUCUGAAUCUCACAGGUGAGGAUCAGCUCACUCACCUGACUCACAUGGGGAGGAUCAGCUCACUCGCCCAAGAUUGUCUGCGGGGCCCAAAAAGGCUAACCCCUCGGGACCCAAAAAGGCUAUCCCUAUCGUGUGACAACUCCGGAGUACACUGCUUGUGUGGGGCGACCACUCCAAGCUUCGAACAGACAUAUGAGUAUGAUCAUAUCCCCAUCAUUGAGGAUACCCUACACUCUAGACAACCACACUUGGGUACUAGUUCACUUCUAAGUUCAACAUGCAAUGAGAGUUUUCAUCUAUACUCUAAGUUCAUCAAUGCUACUCGUUCUUAUAUUCAAUGUUUACUAGAUGCCACUCAUUAUCAUCUAAGUGUUCUUUAUACACUCUUAGCACUAACUCCCUAGGUUGUCAUUGUCCUAGGUUCAUAUCCACAUUCAUACAUACGUUAUGUCAUAUAGGGUGAAACUAUAUUAUUCCAACUCAUGCACACUAGGUUCAAGUGUUAAAUCCACAACUACACUACCAUAGCAUGCAAUGAUAUGUACAAUCGCAUUUAACACCCUAUAAGGCUAUAUUACAAUAUGAAAUUGAUCGACAAUAGAACUCAGACAUAAAGAGCAGUUCGACCGCUUCGGGAUGGCACUCCCCCACCUUUAGGUGAUGCCACGAGCCUACGAUUCCGAUUUCGCGAUUUUAGGAAGCUUUCGCCGCGAGCUGCGGCAAUCUGUACCUCAACAAGCUUUUUUCUUCAAUAUCUUCGCAACCGCUCGAUGAAUCAACGAACCGUCUUCGCCAACACGUCAGAAUACCUAGCAAUUAGGUUUGCGACCCAUCAAAUUAGAUCAAAACCCUAGAUUUCCCAAAACCCCAUUUUGGAGCCCUAGGUUUCAGCUAGGUAAAAAUCCACCACUCUAGCCUUGGAUUUAAGCAUAAUCCAUCUAAUUAGCAUCCUAGGAUUCCAAAAAUACCAUUUAUAAGAUAUUUAGACCAACCAUUAAAGAUCUACCAUUAAAGGGGUAGCAAGCUUACCUCCAAAGCAAGCUCCAAUGGUGGAGAGGAAGAAGAAGAUGCUAACCCCUCUCUUGAUCUUGUUCUCCACCAAAUCCACCUCCAAGAUCCACCCUUGUAGAGAGAGAGAGGUCUACUUGGUUGCAAAUGUGAGGGAGAAGGAGAGAAAUGAGCUCAAACACACCUCUAUACCCUUUGCACAAUUGCACAAAGGUCCCUCAACAAUAUAAGUCACACACAGCCCAAACUGGGCCAUUUUCGGGUGCUGGGACCGGUCUCUGGACUUGAGGGACCGGUCCCCGAAUGUCCAGAAAAACAGUAUUCCAGACUUAGCCAAAUUUUCAGCUUUUUCAGCUUUCGGGGUCCGUUUUCGCUCCGUUUUCGCCCGUUUGACCUCCGAUUCGUUUCAAAUCGAACCGAGACUCUCCAAACAUGUUUUCGAGCAUGUUUUCAUCAUUUUGUCAUCCACGCUAAUGCCGGAUUUAACUCAUGGCCCAACAUAGCCUUUCGGGUUCCGUUUCCGCGCCUACGCGCACCGAAUCGCCCGAAUGCUCCCGAACUUCACCGAACUUCACCGGAACCAUUCUAAUGGCUCACUAACCAAAUGUACACCGUAACUUCAUGAUUUUAGAAGUCCGGUACCUUACACUUUUGAUGUUAAAUUGGUAACACAACUCCAGAUUUCAGAUAUUCGCAUCUUUUCGAUUCUAUUUCGCUCCGAUAAAUGCUAAAACCUUUCUAACUUUUUUAAACUCAUUUUAAACUCUUCCAACCUUGUUGGAACGCUAAAUGGAACUUGUUCAACCAGUUUUCUCGGCACUUUAACCCAAUUUGGGUAAAGUCCAAUACUCUCUACCGAGUUUCGGUAUGUUACAGGUGGGACCCAUCCUUUUUUUUUUCUCUCUCUCUCACUCUCUCUCCUCUCUGUCACUCUCUCUCUCUCUUUUACUUUUUUUAUUUCUUUUUCUCUCUCCCCAUCGCGCUAAAAUAGCUACUAAAAUUAUGAAGGUUGAUUAAAUUUUUAAAUAAAGUUAUUAGAAUACUUUAACUCUACAAAUACUGAAAGCUAAAAAUAUUAAUAAAAAAAUAGCUUUUAUAAUAUAUAAAGGAUAUAUAAGUUUGUUUUAUAUUUUUCAUUAUAAAUUUUUUCAAUUUUAAAAUUUUAAAAAUUAUAUAUAUUAAUUAACUGAAAUAUUAUCUACACGCCGCGAAGCGCGGGUCCUGUACUAGUUCAUAGUUAAAAUCUGAUACAUAUGUGCAUUCAUGCAUCACUGUUUCAUUCUUUUCCCUCCUAUUUUGAGUCAACCAUUUAACCAUAUUAUAUUGAUUCUUCCUCUCAAGAUACGAAAUUAAAUCAAGUAGGAGGAAAUUAUUAAUAAUAAGAGUCUGGCACUCAAACUCAGAAUCUUCUACUUUGAUACUCUGUGAAAUAAUAUGAAACGAUCGUUAUUCUCUAAAACUCAAGCAAAUAGAAAACGAUGUUGAUAAAAUUUAGCAAUAAUUGCUUAUAUACUGCUCAAAAUUUCGAAAAUAUCUAAUUUAUCUUUUUUUUUUUCUGUUCCUGAUAUACCCCUCAUAUGUUCUUCUGUUAUUUAAAAAUGCCCCUGCAGUUACCACCCAUUAAGUUUUCUCGAGUUAAACGAGAAUUAAAUGUCUACCAGUGUUAAAAAAAUCAAAAUAUCUCUUUCGCCUUUAACUUAAGGACAAAUAAAAAAAGUUGGUGAUAGUAGAGGAAUAUAUUUGAAAAGACAAAAAAUCAAAAUACUUUUUUGUCCCUAACUGAAUGACAAAUAAGAAAAUUUGGUGAUGAUAGAAGGGUAUACUUGAAAGGAUUCACAAAAAUAACGGCUAUUGCUAAUCAUUUGCUAACAGAAUUUAACUCUAGAAACAUAUAUGAAAUAACUCGGAACGUAAAGAGUAUUUUUAGUAUUAACCUUUUGAAAGAGAUAAAUUAGAAGGUCGGAAAUUUUUCAGGAGUAUAUAAGCAAUUGCCCUUAAAAUUUAUAUUCAAUACUUUUAACACUUCAAAUAGUUCAUCAUAGUGAAGAACCACUGCACUAUGCAAUAGUUCAUAGGCUAUUGGAUGCCUCUUUAACCAAUUUUUUAUUUCAAUUUUCAAUUUAGUUUGAAAGAGAGAACCUUUUUUUGUACAUCCAUGCAGAAAUAUUCUUAUAAUUACUAAAAUAUAUUUAUAAUAUUUAGGAUAAUUAUUUUAAAUUAUUAUAACACAUAAUUAGAUGACCUAACAGGUAUGAUUGCUAUAUUAUAUAUAGUAAUUAAAUAACAAGUAUAAUAAAUAAUAAAACAUAUUUUUAAUAGAAAUUUUAAUAAGAGCCUUGAGUUUUUAUUUUCCAGGUAAAAUAUCUGGAAAACGGAAACUCCACUUCUCAAUAAAAGUAAUUUCUUCAAAAAUUCUUUAACGACAAACGUUCACCUGAACUGAAAAUGAUUUUUGAUUUCAUUUUACAAGGAACUAAACAGCCCCUUAGUUUUUAUGAGGGCAUGCAGGAGAUGAUUAGUACAUACGAUACGGUUGAUAUUUGUUGGCUUAAUUUUUAUAAAGGUGCAUACAGGUCCCCGCAAACAUGGUGAAUUAUAGAUAUAUCCCUACAAAGUUCAACUUUCAUAAGUUAUCCCUACAAAAGUCCUAAUGUAUUCAGAUAUGUCCCUUUGGUUAGCACCCGUUAGAGAACUGUUUAUUUUUAACAGUAGGUUUGUAAAAUGACAUUUUUGCCCUCACAAAUAUGUCCCUCUAAAAGCUCCAGCUGGUAUAUGUUUGGAAAAAUGCCCUCACAAAUGUCCUUUUCCCCCUUUCUCUUCCUUUUUGGGCUGCCAGAGCGGGGGGCGGCGCAGAGUUUGUCAGAGUUGCGGCCGACGAGAAUGAGGCUGAGGCCUGCAGCGACGAGGCGGAGGGCGAAGGUGCAGCCGAUUCAAAGAAAGAGGAGGAAACGGAAAAGGAAGAAGGAGGAGAAAAGGAGGAGGAAAAGGAGGAUACGAAGAAGGAGAAGAGGAAGAGGAAGAAUGGUAAAAUUAUCAAUUUACCUUAUUAAUUAACCGUGGUUAAGUAUUUUAAUUGUGGUUAACUAAAUUUCUUUAACGGAUCCUAACGGCAAGGAUAUAUCUAAAUACAUUAGGACUUUUGCACGAAUAACUUAUGAAAGUUGAACUUUGCAGGGAUAUCUGUAAUUCACUAUGUUUGCGGGGACCUAUAUGCAAUUAACCCUUUUGUAAAUAGACAGUUGUGUUUUUUGAGACUUUGAGUAGAGCUGUUUGAAGAACCACUAACAUUUUUCUAUUGCUACAUGUUUUCAUAUAUUUAUAAAAUUAUACGUGUUCAAAAAAAUAUUCUGAAAAAUAAUUGAAAUAUUAUCUCCCCGCGGCAUCGCGCGGGCCCUUACCUAGUAUUGUCAUAAUUAACAAGGUCUCCUCUUUUGGUUCGUGCCUACAGAUAGAGUUGCCACAGCCUCCAGUUGGUGAAGGAAGAUCAUACUGUGCUCUUUGUAAGGACUUGAGGCCCUCUCUUGACUGGUCUCCAGAAAAUGGUUGGGCAAUACCUAUAUCAAAGGUAUUACCUUCGUUUUUCUUUCUAUGUUGGUAUUGCAUUUUCUUAUCAUUAUUAAAAAAUCAUUUUGCUGAUAAAAUCACCAUCACUUUUCUGUCCUUUUAGCUAAACUCUGUUUGCUUCCUACUAUUCAUUGGUGAUUUUUGUGCUUAUAAACCUAUCACAGAACAAUAUCUGUUCUGUCCAUCAUUAGUAAUUUUUUUUUUAAAUUUUUUAAAUGCUUGAUUAUACAUUUGGCUUUUGUAACAAAAUUUAAGGGCCUAUUUCUGCUGUUUAUAUGUUGUUACUUCUGACUUUCCUAUCUGUAGUGGUUCUUCUUGAGGAGAGUGGAUGAGUUGUGUUCGUAAGGCUUGAGAAGGAUUGUAAUACAAAGCAUUGCCCUUCUCUUGAAUUUACCCUAAUAAAGAUAAAUGCUGUUGUGUGUACACCAAUAAUAGGGUUGAGGAUCUAUAUUGCAAGUUUGUUGAGAGAUUAGGAAAGAUAGUUUUCUCGAAUCAGGGUUGCAGCAGAUCCUACUCUCAGAUAGCAGGUUGUGGCUCAACCUAGCUGGACAGUUCAGUAGAUUAGUCUCUAGAUAUCCAGACCCUGGUGAUUUUCUUCUUGCCUCUCAUGCCAACUUCUAGCUUUCUACACUAUACAAUUCUGAGACAAAACAUAGUCUAACACCUGGCGAAAAUAUUAGUUUAAGCUGAAGUGAAAUUCUUUUUGAUGUAAUGUUAUAUAUACUCGGGAUGAACUAAAUUUUGCUUCUUGACAACUUAUGUUGUGCUGUAGAAGGUGGUCCUGGUGUUAUGCACUGUUAGCCACUAUUUCCUUGAGCCUAGUUACGUGUCAUGCCCCGGGGCCCCUUUAAAGUUUACGGACCAGCGGAAAGUGCCCAAUUUUUUUUUUUUUUUUUUUUUUAAACCUUGUCCCAAGGGAUGAUAGACCCGCUACAAAUAUAGAGAAUCCAUUGUCCCUGUGGACAGAGUCUCCCCUGUAUUUGCACGGCGUCGCAUACAGUACAAGUUACAACCACAUUCAUCCGCAACACACGUUCACAAUUACAUUCACCACACAUAAUAGGUAUAUCAUUAGCAACCCACAUCUAUCAGUUGAAAGUGUUUCCCACCCGAAAAUUCAUUUUGAAAAACUAAAGUCACAGAAAGCUUAAAACCUUUUUGAAAACUGUUUUCCACACGGAACCUUUUAUUUCUUUUGAAAACAAGCUACCACGAGGGGUAGAAAACUAUUUUAAAAACUGUUUCCUAAAUUCAUAUAAUGUUCACAAACCAGUUGUAUUUGAUAUCUCAAAUCAUGCCAUAGACCAAGUAAAACUAGAGUAAAAUCGAAUAACCUGAAUAGAGAUAAACUGGACCACAUGCUGUCUAAAUUAUUAUUCAAUAAAAGGAUAAGUUUAAAACCGAUAUGCAAUCAGGCCGGGGACUCUAACUGUCGCUAGGUACGUGCCUUACGCCUCGUCCCGACUCGGUCCAUCAAGAUCACCUGAAAUGGGGGGAGGGGGGGAGGUGUGUUGAGAAACUAACAAGGGUCUUCCAGUGGGUACCGCAAGUCGACGAGGGUGAGUCCAACCACUGGCAACCAAAAGUAUAGCUAUGAAAGGUAAUACAAUAGCAAUGCCAAAUAAGGAACAAGAUAUAUAUGCAACUACCGCUACUGUAAAUAACAUGCAUCAACCGGAUGAUCAGUCCAAAGUACCCAAUCCAGAAUUCGCCGUGUCGGUUUAAAGACCUCAGACAAAUACCAUGCCUCUCUAAAUAGCAUAUAAUCCUAGCAUAAGCUCUUGGGCUCACGGGUCGAAAGUCUCACCACUUCUCCGAAAAAGAACACCAUUGCGGUGGCCAAAUCGUUGGUGUACGUAAAAUGCGUAUGAGCAAUGGCGAUCGAUGCAAAUAUAAUCAAUAGCCGUUGGCAAAAAGCCAACAAUCAACCCCCUCAUGGUAUACCGACCGAAUAGGUCAUCAAACAACGAGAAUCAUAGAACCGACUAAUUAGGUCACAAUGGAUGUCACAAAUCCACGGAUACAGUAAAUAACCGCUCUACUUCUAGAUCAUGAUAAAUGAAUGUAAUGUAACUGAGUAGAGUAGCAUGCAAUGUAGUCAUAUGGUGCCAGGCUAAACAAUCAUAAGUAAUGCAAGGAAUAUAGAGAGAGAAGGAGGGAAUGUGUCAUGCCCCGAGCCCCGCCUAUUUGGUCGGAUUUGGGCACGCCAACAGACCGCCGAACGGACAGAGUCUCCCCUGUACGUCUUAGGUGUCGCAAUCAAAACAAUAUAAGAGGUUCCAACCAGAAACAGUAUUCAACAUACAGAUUGUAUAAGGAAGUAUUAAAAACAUAAACAACUAAGUUAUUACAUACAUUCAACCCACUUGCAUUUUUACAUCACAUUUUCUUUUACAUUUGACUUCCAAAUACAAUCAAGAUUUAUUACAAAUUGUAUUCAAGUUUGUUUCUCUCAUUUCUAACCCCUAAGCUAAGUCACUUCGGGUACCGCUAUCUCUGGUCUCGGGGUAGGGCGCUAUUUACGGAGCUACGCCUUUUUCUCGCCCCGCCGCGCCGCUCACGUGUGAACCUGUACCCCCAAAAACAACACUAGGGUGAGAACUAUUGUCCAUAGUUCCCAGUGGAUACAGCCACCCAAGGAAAAAGCUCAACCCACCAGGUCCAAGGAGGCACUGCAACAUGUUAGUCCAACAAUAUCCACAGAUAUAUAUAUAAUCAUAUGAUUUAUGCAACUAACAUCAUCAUGUUCAUGCCUCACGAUAUGCGAUAUGAAAAUCAUGCAAUUCUAUGCAACUAUGCAACCAAUCAGUAGAUCUAUUGAUUCUACGUUCAAUUAUGCUAAUCUUAGCUCAUGUCAUUUAGCUUUAAGGUUUCUACUACCUUAGGUUCACAAUUCGAGUCCACUUUCUACUAAGGUUUCCACUUCCUUAGCUCUUGCUAUUCACACUUGCUUUUAAGGUUUCUACUACCUUAUCCAAGCUAUCCACCCGACUCGGCCUCGAGUCAAUCAUCUGCGGACUACCGCGCACUGGCUGCUCAACAGCCCACCGCACUCCAUGAUUUAGCCACCUGGCGGCGAAAUUGUCGCACGCGCCAACACUGGCUCAAGUCACCUAGCGGCAUAAUUCACAAACCGGCUUAACCAUCUGGCGGCGAAAUCGUCGCACACGCCAAACAAUGGUUCAAGCCUCCGGGUGGUGAACUCUGCGCACACACCCUAUUUCCUCCCUUGGUAUCAACCUCGGCGGCGAAAUUGUCGCACACGCCCUAGCCUUGAUACCAAGGUCAUCACAAGUUCUGGGAUUCCGGAAUCCAUUUCCACAUCUCAAGGGUCCGUCUCCAACCCUAUACUUUUGAGUGUCGACCUACCUAGGCUCGACCCACAACAUCCUAGUGGCUACUACCACUAUUGUUCACAACCUAGGUUCAAUGCCAUUCUAGGUUCACUACAUAUCAUAACCUAGGUUCCAACACUCUAGGUUCUAUAUCAUCUCUACCUAGAUCUCAGCUUCUAGGUUUACUUGUGCAACCUAUGUUUACUAACACUAGGUUCAAUGCCACUCAUAUCCAACCUAUGUUCAUGUCACUAGGUUCAAUAUCAUUCAUGUCCAACCUACGUCUAUUAACGCUAGGUUGAAUGCCACUCGAUCUAGUACAUUUCACAAUGUCAACAUGCAUUCGUUUAGUACUCGCAUUAUAUCCUCAUGCAUUCUCCUAGCUUUAACCACAUGUGCCCAGCUAGCAUUUCUACAACAUGCUCAUCAUGCAUUCAUCUAGCAUUUUCCUGAAUGUAUCAACAUGCAUAUCUCAAUGGUAGGUAAUAAACAUCAAGCAUAAUAAGAUUCAUGCGUCUAUAUUAUCUUAUGCAACCCACCACUACACAUGGAUGCAUCAAUAGUAAACAUCAAUCCGCUUCGACAUGGAAGCGAGCAGGACAUUUCGAUGAGCAUAACCCACCUCAAAUCGCUUUCCGAUUGCUUAUAGUCACUUGCAAUCGGCCUCCCGUGGACCCGUUGUCCGGUUUGGCCCAAUCUUGCAAUUGAUCACUAACCGCGUGUCGAUUUGUGGCCUCGGAUUUUAAAGGUCUUCAGCUAGCUGCCGCGAUGCUGGGAAUCCAAUUUCGUGAUUUUUGGACGCCGCCUCGGCCCUCCAGGCGGAAACGAAGCUCAAACUAUUCUUUUUCCCAAUAUCUUCACAUAGGCUCGACGGAUCGCCAAACCGACUUCGCCAAUGCGUCAGAAAACCUAGCAAUUAGGUUUACAUAGGUUUAAUUUAGAUCAAACCCCAUCUAUUCACAAAACCCCAUUUUUGGAGCCCUAGAUGCCACUAGUGCAAAAUCCAUCAUUUAACUUCAUGAAUCAUGCAUUAUCCAUCUAUUUAGCAUCCUAAGGGUUCAACUAAAACCAUUCACAAGGUAUUUAAACCUAGCGCUAAGCAUUCACCAUUAGAGCACAAGAAGCUUACCUCUGUAAGCUUUCUCCCAAUGGUGAGGAAGAAGAAGAUGAGGAUAAAGCUUCUCCUCCAAGCUUCCUUCUUUUCCAAUCCUUCUCCUUGCCUUCCUCCUUGAAGAGAGAGAGAGAGAGAAAGACACCUUAGAGAGAGAGAGAGGGAGUGUUUUAGGGUGUUUAGAAUAUAAGGGAGUGAGAGAGGAAUGAGAGAAACCCAUCUCAUAUAACCCCUACUUGCCAAAAUUGCAUAAAACCCCCUCCACUUGCCCAAUAGUGCACUGCCCGCACUGGGCAUUUUCGGGCUACGGGGACCGGUCCUUGGCCAGAGGGACCGGACCCCGUAGUUCCAGACUGCCCAGUGAAUUAAGGACUUAGGCAAUUUUCAGCAGUUUUCAGCUUUAGCCCGUUUCUUCUCCGUUUUCGCUCGUUUUCGCUCCGUGGGUCUCCGAUUCACUUCUAAUCGUACCGAGACCCCCAAUACAUAUUUUCGAGCGUGUUCAAACCAUCUUUUCACCUACGCUUCGCCGGAUUUCGGUCAAAGUCCAAUAUAGCUUUUCGGGUUCCGUUUUCGUGCCCGACGCGUACCGAAAACAUCCAAACGGUCCCGAACUUCACCGGAAUCAUUCAACAGGCUUUCCAAACUAACAUACACCGUAACUUCAUGAUUAUAGAAGUUCGGUAUGUUACAGAACGUCACCGAGUGUGCACCACUAGAGUGACUUGGAAUCGAAGUACCCACCUGUACCACUGUCGCGCCCGUCUCCUGAGAUGCGUGAGAACCUACAAGGGCUCUACCGGAUCAGAGACCAACCCACUGACUCAAAAUGCAAUACUCACAAUCCUGGUAAUUUACCACGGAAUCGGUUUCCUAAAAAACCGAUCUUCGUAACUCGCUGGAAGUCCUAAAAAUCACACCGGGACGUCAUUGGGACCCACGAAGUGUCCCGAAAGACACCAACUCAUGUCAUGAGUCACCCGCUGCCUCGAAACACACCAUUUUGGGUGUCCUAGCAGCAACCACAAGAUCUCACGUUGAAACGAUUAUCGUCGAAUAAUCGUUCCGAUCCGGGUUCUCAGAAGUGUCAAUUUCGACAUCGGGACCCUCCGCCGCACACCCGUCAUCUCUGAAUACUUGAGACGACGUAGGUGACCAGCCAACAAGGCUCAACGGCAAAACCCAGGGUAUUCCAACAGCGUCGGAUGAAAUCCGAAUUGAAACUGCGUUCUGUCGUCGAAUUUCGCUGAAAAGCGCACCGAGACCGAUAUUCGUUCUCUGCGAAAGGUUUCGAACCUUGGAUGAUCAGUCCAGAGGUCACCUUCCACACAUACAUGCUGCCCACAGCAGCCACAAGGUGACAAAUUGCAUAAAAGCCCUUAUUAGUAUUCACAAUUACAAUAAUCUAUGCAAAACAAGGAAUUUUAGGGCUUUGUACCGCUAAUCGAGUACUUUCGAGAUCAGCCGAGACACUAGCUGACAGGUUUCAACGAGGCGGAGACCGUGCUCGCUAUUCGGAGCACCGCGGAUCGCUGUGGAAUGCGCGGGAGCAAGCCGAAGUUCUGCGAACAAUGCACACCGGGAGCGACAAGGCCGAAACCGACCGUCGAGACCUCGCCAAAGACAAACCAGGUGAGCAUUGUGAUCAGCACUGUCCAGGGUUCAUUGUGUUCACCUCCGAAGGUGUCAGAGCAGCCUCUGGUCGCCAGAACAGUGAAAGCCACAUGAAAGAAUUCCUAAUCAAGCUUGCUGUGAGCAACUGGGCUCCGGUUGGCUACCGGCGGGUCGGCGGCGUGUGCGCCGGCGGCAGGAGGGUGCGGCCGACUGGGAAGGGUCAGGGGGCGCACCAGCUGGCGGCGGCGGCGGCGGCGCUGGCAUAAUCCAAGCUCGCACGGGUUAGGGCUCGGCUUGGCCUUCUUCUCCGAUCGCGGCGAUGGUUGAGGCAGCCAAGGGGGUGGUGCGAGGUUCCGGCUUGGCCUUCUUCUCCGGUCGCGGCGAUGGUUGAGGCGGCCAAGGGGGUGGUGCGAGGUUCCACUUGGACUGAGAGGAAUGGAGGGUGAUGGCGGCUGGCGGUUGGGUGCAGUUGCUCGAGCACUAGGCAGCUCCAAAAAGGCUGCAGUCACGCCGGAGGCCCUCCAGGGCGGCAGCGGCCGAUGGGGAGCUUUGCCGGGGGGUCCUUCAAAUUUUAUUAUUUUAUGCUCAAACUCCACCAACACGCGUAAAUUGUGCAGUAGCCCCGCCCCAAUGAGUUUCGCAUGAAUCGAUACAGAAAAUGCCGCACUUUUUUCAAAAAUACCCUGAAACCUAGAUUUUCUCUCUGCUUUUCGCUUUAAUUCGUGCAUUUACCGCGUAGAAUCAGGAAACGGACCUUAUCACGACUUCCAGCACUACCGGACGGACCUUGAGGGUGGGAAUUUUGUUGCAUUAAAAACCAUUUCGGUUUGCGAAAUAGCUUUUUUCCAGAGUUUUGUUGAAUAUAACUUGGUUUUUCAUAAACUUUGAAAAUUACAGUUUAUACAGUCAUGGAAAUUUUAUCUAUGAAGUAUCAUCUUAUUUUCUCUUAUAGAAUGAUACUUGUAUAUCUAAGCAUCAUAAUUGCUAAUCUUGUGUUGUGAAUGAUUGUAACAGGAACAUGAGGGUUGCCAAUAUUCUGUUCGUUUGGUUCAUACGCAUAAUCAAGGUAAUAAUGGUCAUGUGAACACUUUGCUCUACUUCAUUUCAUGCAAAAUUAGUUCUUAUGAGUGAAAUGUAGACUUUAAGCGACAAAUGCAAUAGAUUCGUAAAGACAAUCUUAUCGUUCUUCUUGUCAAAUUUUGAUAGAAACAACUACUUUUGUCUUGCAUUUUUUUGAUCCAAGAAUCUCAAUUAUUUUCUGCUAACAGAUUGUUCAUCUGUAUUACCACUGCACAACCAGAUUUUCAAUGUAUUUACAGUACUAACUGGAAGACGAAUUUCAGCAAAUUAUGGAACAGGAUACAUAAUAGGAUUAGUGUCAUGCCCCGAGCCCCUUUUUGAGAACAUGGGGGAAGCUUAUUUGGAAACCUACUGGGAGCAUGCACAGAUUUGCCACAAACAUAAGUCCACCGCAGCGCUUAUACUUGCAUCGCGUCAGUACAAGGCAACCAACCCUAAUUUAAUAAUACAUUAAAUACAAUAGUGGAAUCAAAGAGUACAUAAACUCAACCAAAGUCUUACAAAUCUUUUAGUACAUCACUUAGAUUCUUUUGUGAUUCAACAUAAGGUAACGACUCACCAACUAGGUUUAUUACAAUUCUUUGCUCAUAUGCACCUAAGUUCACAACUUCCUUGAGGAUUGUCUAGGUGGCACUAAACUAACCUCGAACCUCAUGCAACGUCCGGAACCUCCCCGCCCAAGUCACGUGCAAUGGAAAGGGGGUGAGAAACACAAAAAUGUUUCCCAGUGGGUACAGGAAGCCGCACCUACUGAUCAACAAGAUAGAUAACAAAGUAGAUAGUAGCAUUUCAGAGAAACAAUAAAGCAUGAUAAACUGAAUGACAUAUGCUACUGUAACAAGAGUUAAUCAAUGAAGUAUCUCAAAGUGAGUGUGCCAUGCAUCAAGCGAAUAGAUAGCUCGUCAAGUGUUGUGUCCAAUCCAUGCCCGUUGUUACAUAGGACCUUGGGCUCCUGCCCUCAUGCUCAAGCCAGCUGUCAUGUAACAUAAUGGGCGUGUCCUGGGCUCAUGGGUCAGCUCCCGACUGGUUUUUCCUAGCAGAACAUCCUCAGUCCAUGUGAUGUCGUUGAUUAGACCUCUGUGCCGGUGUUCGUGAAUGCACAGUGAACGAUGGCAUGCUAGAUGCUCAAGGCCUCAACUCAAUCCAAUGCUCAAAAGAAAUUUUUAAUAGUCAAGGAGAGCUGCUGCAGAGUAUUAUGAAACCAUAUAGUUUCUAUGUGUACAAGCAUCACCGAGAGCCUCAUAAUUGGCUUCUAUGCCUUACUACUAAAGUUUCAAAUGGAUAAGCAAUGACAAAUGCAUAGUAUUAAGAGAAUAUGCUAUCAUCUCAAUCAUGAAUAAUAUGCUAGUAAAGAAAAUAUCCAAGCAACUAUGAAUUACGGGGAAUGGAUAAAAGGAAAACCAAGUAAAUACAACUAUACCAACUUCGAAUCAAAGCACCCACCCCCAUAUUUAGAACCUCUAAGCACUCAAGUCCAAAAUAGGGUUCAAUUACUUCCAAGUCCUUUCCAUCUCUACUUAAUUAUUUUUAAUACAACAUUAAUAAUGAUAUGUAUCCACUUUUGAAGUUAAAUUUAUUGUUAGAAGAGAAACUAUGAAUGUCAUGUACGUGUGAUUUUCUAGAUGAGAAACUAUAAAUUUACUGUUAACAAAUCUGCGAUUAAUCGAUAUAAUCUCACUAAACAAGUUAUCUUUGCACGUGCAGUUUCUAGACAAAUCCACCAGUGCCUAAAUCAGUCAAAUCUGAGCUAUAACGGAAAAGUUAUAGCAGAUUUAUGUUUCAGUCUCUGAACAAGUUUUUAGAGUUAUAGAUAGUCCCUGAACAAUCAGUGGUUUUGCAUGUUGGUUCCAGACCCGUUAAAUCCAGUUGUAAGACAGCUUAUGUUGUCCUCACCUGGUACCCGAGUUGAAAAUUGGUCCUUAGAAUCCCAAUUAAGCAAUUUCUUCAUUAGGUAGGCUUAGCUAGGUCCACUUUUCUUUAAUCAAUCAAUUUAUUAUCUUAAUUUACUUAAUUAUUUAUUUCGAAGAAUCAACUAUUCAGAGUUUAUCAUAAUCUAAAUCAAAGUAUAACUCCGAUUGAAAUUCCUUCUUUCGAACCGGACCAACCCAAAAUUUUAUGGUGAGACUCAUUCUUCUAUUGCUACAUGAAAAGCUCCAACAAGAAUAUGUGUCACUUUUUUUCCUACACAUUCAAUGAAGAAGACAAAAUAGAGGAGUAACACAUUAUUUUUAUUAUUAUUGUUAUUUAUUUUUAAUUGAACAAACCUCAAUACAAACCCGCUGAGAGGAGUCACGCUGCCUUGAUGCUCCCUGCAGCAACAAAGAGCAAUUAUUUUCUCCUCAGCCACAAGUAUGACGUGCCCUAAUUGCUCUAUAUGGGGUUUUAUAUGUGUAUAUAUAUAUACAAUUAGUUAAGUUCUAUUCAUUUUGGACAAUUCCCUAAACCCAUUAAGUCUUAAUUAAAGCCGGUCAUGUGUGAAUCCCCACAUACACCAAUCAGAUCAUUGCUUUAGUUCUCCUCAUAAUAAUAGGCCCGGCCUUUAGACAGACCAUGGUCUAUUAUUAUUUGAGUGAGGUUAGAAUUCUGAUCCAAGUAAUGAAUAGACUAAUAUAGGCAGACUCGCUGAGUGCACCAUGAGUAUUAUUAUUUUUCCUUCUAUGGAAUACCACCCAAAUUGACGAUUCUAAACAAAAUAAUUGAUUCUAGAUCAUAACUUGAAAAUUUUUAUAAAAGCAAUGAACUGGGUAUUAUAAUUAAAAAAAUAAAAAAAGACAAAAAAGACAAAAAAAAAAAACAACAUUACAAGAAAAGAUGGAAAUUUGUAAAAGCAAAUAAUAUCAAACUUCUAAUGCAUUGUUAUUUUAUAAAUUUUUAUUGGCAAUUGGUGAUAGUGGGUUUGAUAUUUUUAUUUUCUUUUUUUCUGGAGCCUGGAGGGAAUCUUGAAAUUACUUGUCUGUGAAAUGCUUAAUUGUGUUUGUUUUUCGAGUGACUGGAUGUCUGGAACCAUCUGUUUGUUGCAUUGUGUGAUUGGAGCAUGAUCAUUUUGCUACUAAACUAAGGCCUUGUUUGGUCGUGCGAAAAAAGCUUUCUCAACACCAUAUUGUUUUGUGGCUGCACGUCUUGUUGUGGCGCGCGACCGCACGGCCAAACAGGCACUAAGGUUCUUUGGCACAUUGACAAAGAGUGAAUGUUUGACAUAAUUCAAGAAUAAAAUCACAGUACUUGUUUGUUAGUUAUUUCUCUCUCUCUCUUAUUUAGUACUUGUUUGUUAGUUAUUUCUCUCUCUCUCUCUCUUAUUUGGAUCUCUUCUAAGUUAAAGGUUUUAGGGCUAUACUUUUCUAGUAAAUUUGUUCUUUGUUAGACAGUUUCUUGUUGCUAGGACUUUUUUUUUUGCAAAUAAUCUUAUAUAAUUUUUAAUUUGAUGAAAUGAUCUAUUGUAUAUUUUAUUUGGGCAAAUAAAACCUUUUUUUUCUCUCGUAAGUUGUAAGACGGUGGAUCAUUUGUUGCUUUCAUAGUAGAGUAACUAUACACGGUGAAUCAUUCACUACCUUUGAAAAAUGGUGAAUCAUUCUCUGCAUUUCUGUAAAGGAUUGUUUGUGGGUUGUUUGUGCAGGAUGUUGGAAUUUUUUUAGGGUUGUUUUAGGAAAUGCGGUGAAUCCUUCACCGCUUUUAAGACGUGAGAGAAAUGAUGAAACCAUUUUCUUUUUAAAGAUGAGAUACGGAAAACAAUUUACCAUAUUUCUACUUUUCACAUUUACGUGGCAUUGAUGUGGCGACGACAGGGUAAUAUACCGAAAUAAAAUUUUGGAGAUGUUAUAUACCCAAAUAAAAAUUUCAUAAGGUUUUUUUUUUCCCAGAAAAAUCCCUGUUGCUACUUUCGUUUUUGAAUCCACUUGUAUACCUUCUUGGGCUUUGGAAGUAGCUUGGUGCUACAAACUUGAUCUUGCUGAUACAUGUCAUGCCCUGAGUCCUACCAAUUGGACAUACUCAGGCACGUGCAACAAACCCGCCGGACGGGCAAGUUUUCUCUACCCGCAUGAAGCGGAACAUACACUACCUGUAACACAUACAUAUGUAUACAUAGAGUAUUAGUGUACAACUAUUAAAUUAAACCACUACAAGUUUAAACUCUUUAAAAUUUAUGACACUUAGGGCUUGUUUGGGGAUCAUUGAAAAAAAAGAGUUUCAUUUUACAACGUACUUGAUACAUUGAAAAACUCUAUUAAAAAAAUACUCUGUUUUGGGUGUUUGGAUUGUCUUAAAAAAAACACUCUAUUAUUAUUGUUAUAUAAAAAUAAAUUGAGAAAAGUUGCAUUAAGCAAAACUAAGCUUUUCCAUUUGUUGAUCAAAGCAUAGAGAAAAGCAUAAUUCAUUUGUAAAUUAUAUCAAAUUUAGAAAAAUUGCCAUAAAUAAAUCUAAAAUAUAUAAUUAAAUAAUAUAAUUAAAUCAUAUUAAUGAGAAGAAUUGCCGCACAACAAAACCUAUUGAUGAUUGAAUUGUAAAGUUACAACAACUUAGAAAGUCGACAUAAAAAUACAUAAUUUUACAAAAUCUUUUAUAAAACGAAAACUAAAUCUAGAUCAUUAAAAAAAUGAGAUAUGUGAGAUAUUCAUGAGACUCGAUUUUGCUCCAAAUUUUAGUUUGGAUAACAAAUUUGAAACAAAUUAUGCAAAAUGGUUAGUACCUAAAUUGCUGAAUUCAAAAAUUUCAUCAAAUUUCACUAAAAUAUAUCACCUAAAAAACCCUACCACUCGGGAGAAUCAUCAGGGCAGAUCCUCCUUCGGGAGGCACAGCGGGGUGAGCACCGCCAACACCAUUGCCUACUCUUUUGUCGUCACGGCUCACCGCUGCAGGAGGAUGUCCUAGGCUCGGGGCCUAUCCUACUUCACGAACUCUCCCACUCUGAUGUUGUUAUUGUGAUGGGUUUGGAGAGGAAGGGGGAGGAGGAAGAAGAAGAAAAAUAAGGAUGCGAGGAUGAGGGGAAAGCGUGAUGGGUUUGGAGAGGAGGGGGAGGAGGAGGGAAACAGAGAGAGAAUGGGGAGGGUGAGGAGAAAGUAGAACCAUAGUUAGUUAAUUCAGAUACGGUAAAAGUUCGGUACAGAUAAAAUACGAAUAAAAUUCUUUUCUUGAUUUUUAAAUUUGUUGAAAAAUAUGGUUUAAAAAUCGGAUUCGUCAAUAAUUCGUAUACGCUAUUUAUACAAGAAUUUUACGUUUAUCAUUUAAAAAUUCGGAAUAAAAAUUCGUCUAUUAAAUUAAAAUUUUUCUUUAGAUUAAUGCUAUUAUCAUAAAUAUUUAUAAUUCUUAUAAAUAUAAAAAUAAAAUUAUAUAUAAAAUUAUAUAUAUAUAUAUAUAUAUAUGAGUCCUGCUGGGAUAGUAUCGAUAGCACCAAGCACUUGGUGCUAUCGAGUUUUCCGAUGUUAGAUUUAACCCUUUGACUAUUUUUAUCCGUUAGAUUAUACUAUUCAACUAACAACUCACUCAACCCUAGGGGGCCCACAUCAUUCUAACCGUUCAUUUCUUCAUCCAAGGGCGGAAAACCUAAUAGCACCAACAACUUGGUGCUAUUGAUAGUAUUCUAGCCUAGUUCUCUCUCUCUCUCUCUCUCUCUCUCUCUCUCUAUAUAUAUAUAUAUAUAUACAAACACAAAGGGGGAGUAAGAGGUCCACCGUGGACCUUUCACUCCCCACGAUCCACGAGGCUGAGUGCAGCCUCGUGGACCGUGCUUUUUCCCAACGCGGUGAGCUGCGAUUUUCUUCUUCCUUGCCCCUCCUCUUUUCUUCUUUGCUCGUUCCCUCUCCAUGUUUUCUUCAAAAUAGAACAAGCAAAGUUGCUCGAUUGCUCAGGAGGAAGUGCACGGAUCUGCGGAGCAGCGGUUCGCGCGACACCGGUCCGAGAAAUUUCAUCUUUUCGUGGCCGCCCAAUCCAAAUUUUCUUGAGAAAUUUCAUCUUUCCACCGCUGCUCAAUCCGAAUUUUUUGGAAUAUAAUCGGCAAAACCGUUUUGAUUGCGAAUACUUUGAGCAAGGAAAAAAAACAUGUUUUAUUCUGAUUUUUUGGAAAAAAUUCGUAAACGGAGCGCUUUAUACGCUUGGAUGAUUACGCUUGGAUGAUUGUUAGGGAAUAAUUCGCGUAUUAUACACGAAUUAACUAACUAAGAGUAGAACAUGAAAAAGGCGAGAAAGGGGCGAGCUUUCGUGCACGACAAAUGGAGAAUAAAUUUACGGAGCAUAGACCUCUAUUUUUUUCCCCAAUACCCAUAAUACCUAUUUUACUCCGUAAAAUUUUUAUUUUGUUGGACCAUCCAAACAUAGCAACUAAAAAACAAAUAGAGGUUUCUAAAAUUCAGAGUAAGUUGGUUUAUUACGUUUAUUACCCUAUAUCAUGGGUUUCCCAAAUAGCCCCUUAGUACUUUCUAAAAUAUUACGAGUCUUUUUUUGUUCGCACAAAAGGGUACACUCUAGACCACUCACUCAGUCUAACUAUUCCGUGACGACCUUUGUUGCGGUCUCGCGCCUCACCAACAGUAAUAGAUUUGAAAAGGGUAAACAACAAAAAUGUGAGAACUUUAGAUGAGUUCUCAGUGGGUGCAACUGCCGAAAGUGGCGCUCUACACAUUCGGUCUAAAGGAGGCAUUAGUAACAAGCAAUACUAAGCAACAACUAUUACUACAAUAGGAAUGCAAAUAAGCAAGAAAUGCCUACAAUGCCUCAACAUAUACAAUAUGCCACAAUCAUUUUAUUAUGCCAUCGGUCUAUACUCAUGACUCAACUACAUGCUCAACUGUAACCAAUUUAUUAAUUUGGUUUCUUUUCUUUUUCACCUCAUGGAGAGUCGAGAAAUAUCGAACUUCUCUCCAGUUGGUAGAUACUUCGGGUAGAGGGAGAUCGGACUUUUCCAAGUGUGGCAUUGGGAGUCAAGAUGAUUGGACUUCUCCUUCUAUGACACUUUCGGAAGGGGCAACAUGUUUCCUCAUUCACCCCAAGUUUCUGACUUUUGGUGUUAUCCAUGUUAUUCAAUUGCCAUUUUUGUGUUCUCUCGUUCAAGUUUACUCCAGAGUUCAAACGUCACUAUAUUCACACCUUAGGUUUCAAACUAGGUUAGAUGCCACACUUGUUUCCUAUGUUUCGAGGUUCACAUAAUACUUACAUGCAUGUUACACAGUGUCCUUUUUUAUCAUACAAUGUGUUAGAAACCUCAUUUUUCGUAGGCUAAUGCUCAUGAGCUAUCUUGACCUACUAGAUCCCUUAACAUGCAACUAUACAUUUUAGUUUACAUAUUACUCAUAUUAUAUGCAUGCAACCAAAGGAAACUUUAGACAAAAGGACGAUCAAAUUCAUUUCGCUGACAUUCCUUGCCUUCUUCUUGAUCUUCUCUAAUGGGUGAUCCAUGAUUUCCUUAGAACCUCAAGAAAAUCCUAAAAAUAGUUCUAACAAAGUUAGAAUCUCAAAAUCCCUCAUUUGGAAAAACCUCUAGACAAAAUCCUAAAGAUACCAACUAACCUCUCCACCUCCUAGCAUGAGAAAAAUGGGUUAAGAGAGUUCUUCACCCUUCUAGAGCUUCUUCUUGAUGCUCUUGACCUUCCCCAAGCUCCUAAGGAGAUGGAUCUCUAAGCUCCAACAAUGAGAAAAACUAGGGCCCUGUUCUAGAGAGAGAAAGGAGGAAAAGAGAGGGAGUGAAAAGGAAAAUAAAGUGAGGGAUUAGGGUUUGGCUGUGAAAAGCCUAUAUAUGGGAGUGCUACAAUAGCACCUAAACCCCCCAACGAUCCAAAUUUACAACCAACAGAUUCUCAGCCUUUAUGCCAGGUUUCGGGCGCCGACUAACCUCACGUAGCUGCGCCCGAUUGAUAAUCCGGACGCCAGCUCAGUCUCUCUCCAAACAUUAUUUGGGCGCACGCAGGGAAAAUUAGGUGUCUAUUUAUUUAACAGGCCGCACGAUCCCUGCUCUCAGGUUGAGCGUCUGAAAGCCAUUCGGACGCUCACGGAAGACUAUCCGAAAGAUGUUCCGGGUGCCCGUAGGAACAUUCUGAUGGCCAAAUCCUCGACUCCUGCGCGCACCCGAACUUUCACGUUGGGAAUCCUAAAGAUAGUUCGAAUCAAAGUUUUAAGUGUCCAUUGGCACGUGCCGUAUCCACCAUGCCAUACCGUGCCAACAAGAUACCGACACGAUACAGACCCCGUGCCGAUGGCACAGCUCAAAACCCUCUAUUCUUUAAAUUAGUAAGUAAUUUUCUCAAUAAAAUUCAAAAGAUGUGAUAAAAAGAUAUAAUAAAUAGUUAAAAUAUUUUGUUGCUAAAGAAAAUAAAUAUUUCAUGCUAUUAUGUGUCGGCACACAAGAAUUUUUUUGACCGGCACACACCGUGCUGGCAAGUUUCCGACACGACCCCGUGCCAUGACACUUAAAUCCUUGGUCCGAAUGCCCUCUUUGAGGUAUCAAAACAUUUUCAGGCGCCUGAAUCCCUGUUUUGGGCGUCCGAAAAGGCUAAAACUCAGAUUUUGCUUCUAUUCAGGAUUCCGUUUCGAUCCGAAUUGAUUUCAGUUCGAUCCAAACUCGGUCUGAGCUUUUCAAAACCCACUUUAAUCAAGUCUAAUAUGACCUAAUCCGCACCUUAUCAAUUUAGCAAAGUUCAGUGCAUUACAAUAAGAGGUGGGGGAAAUAUUUUCCAAUACUUGUUCUGCUUUCAUAAGUCGUGGUCGAAAGUACAAAGGCAAAUCAGCUUCAGAGUUCAAUAAGUCAAAGAAUGGUCGUAAUACAUGGUCAGAUUUUCAUAAUCAAUAUAUCUCAUGCAAAGAUGUAGACUACGAUAUUUUGAUUAGUGUAAAUUAACAGUCAUUUUAUAUGAUAAACUAUUGCAUUGUUGAUCUCUUCAGAUGUGGUUUGUGUUUUAUUGAUGAUAUAUAUAUGUAUAUAUAAUCAUCUAACUAUACAUCAAGUUCUUAUUCCAUACGCCUUUCUGACUUGCUUGGAAAGGGAUAUUGUAAAAUCUUACUUCUGAUUGAUGCCAUGCAUUGUUUCAAAGAGUCAUGCUCUUUUGUGUGUUACUUCUUCACUAAUAAUCUAAUUGUAGAAGAUUCAAAUGCAGAAAGAUAUUCCAUGUGCCUUUCUGAUUUGCUUGGGAAGGGAUAUUGUAAAAUCUUACUGAGUUACUUCUGAUUGAUACGAUGCAUUGUUUCAAAGAGUUAUGCUCUUUUGUGUGUUACUUCUUCACUAAUAAUCUUAUUGUAGAAGAUUCAAAUGCAGAAAGAAUUAACAUGAGUACCGACUUGGAAUCCAAUGAUGCUAUGGAGGGAAUACAUAACUGCUUGUACGAAUCCAGUCUGAGUGGCAAUGUAAAAGAUUCAUCUGACACGGAAGCAAUGCUUAAUGGUUUAUAUGAUAUAUCCUGUUUGCGUGAUGAAGUAACAAGUUCACCUGACGUGCUGAUAGAGAAUGGAAAGCUGAACUCCUUUAGCAAAGCAUCUAGUUCAAGUGAUGAGGUGAAAAAUUCAGCGACCAUGUUGAUGAACAGUGAAAGCAUAUACAGGUCCAGCAGAUACCCACUUCGUUACUUUGAUUCUUUUGAUAAUAUAUGGACCGACAAGCAGAUCUAUCUGACUUCAAUAAGGCAUCCUGACACUCUAGAGGCUUCCAUUUUCGAACUGGAGGAGCUUGCUGUUAAAAUCAGAUGGCUUAAAGGUCUUUUAAAAUUUGGGCUUCAGUGGUCAAAUGCGAUGGUACCUUCCUGGAGGUUUGUGGAGAACUACAAUCGAACAGAUAUGACUUCAUAACAUAUCCUCAGUUUCAUCUUCUGAUAUCUAACUGCAAAGGUUUGCAUCUACCUUAUUCCCUUUAUGCGCAGUCGCCACUUCAUGGUUAGUUUAGUGAGUUCACUAAUGUAAUCUAAGUCAUUUUCUAUUAGCAAAUCAUUUUGGUUGUAGGUGCAUGAACUUAGUAUUGUUGAAUAUGUGGUGGAAUAAAAAAAAUAUCAAGGCGUUAUUGCAGAUCUCUUGGACCCUACUCUUUUUUAAUGAAGGGUCUACAAUGACACAUUUAUCUAUGGAUCAACAGGCCACUGUUUCAUCCUUGAAUAUGCCUCUCUUGCUUUUAUAAUUUGAAGAAACUUCAAUUUUUCAAGUUGUCCUCAGGAUCCUCAAAAAGCAUUUUUACUCUGAUUUAUUUUCAAUACAUGUGGUUCCUUCCAAAUGAUCUAUAUGUCUAGGUGAUCUAUUUUCCACUGAUAUAUACAUCCUCGGAUCCUUCCUUAUUUACAAGAAAUCCACAAGUAUAAUUUAGAGUUGUAUUAUUGUGAUCCUCGCUAAUGCUGUAGAUGUCUCCUUUUCCAUUUGGUGCUUUUGUUUCCCGCCCAUGCCAAUAAACUAGAAGCCUACUUCCACUCGAUUUGCUAAUAGACAUUGCAGCCUCCGUCCACCAAACAGGGCAUUGGUUUAUCUGAUGCUGUUUCUAUAGGCCGGAAGGUGAACCAAUGCUCCUGCAGUUGGCUGAUUCUGCUUCUGUCAUUCAGAAGGUCAACCAAUGCAGUCCUGCAAUAAAUGCAACAUUUCAGAGCCUUUAGAUGCUGAAAAUAUGAGGGCAGAUGUCCUUCCAUUUUGUUUAUUUUUCCAUAGAGCUGUAUCCUCUGCUGUGAAAUUAGGGAAACUAGAGAUUUUGUUUCACCUGCAACGCAGAGUCUAUAACUAUGCUGUCUAGGGGGAAUUCUUUAGGUACAAUGUGAUGGCAGAAAUGAUCUAUGAGAACAGGAUGGCUACUGGCAAGCACAGGUUGAUGGCAGAAAUGAUUUAUGAAAAAAGGAUGGCUACUGACAAUAUGCCUAACUCUUAGAAGGUGUACCCAACGUUGUCGCAUCCAACCAUAAGACCCAAAUGACCCAAAUGGCGUUGUGAAUAUGCUGCUGAUGUAUUUAGGUGUUAUUGAAGCUUCAACGCCAAGUCCUCAUUAAAUCUUGGACUUGAAGGCAUUUGACGUUAACAUUGAAGUUGGCCAACCUCUUAUUCUUUUUGUAAGAAUAAUAUUCAUAUAUAUGUGCCAUGGAAAAAAGAAAAAAGUGCCCAAAAUAAAGUUUUCAAAUCAUGAUCGCAUCAGGGAAACAAAGCCGGUAUGAUCAAACAUUGCUGAAUCCAUGCAUUAAAGACCUUAAGAUCAUGCUUUGUGUUCACAAUGCUAAAUUGAAAUCAAAUCUACAUGAGAAAGCGAAGAGAUCGACCUUUCUAAGGUCUUAGUAUAGUUUAUAGUAGGAUAUGUACUUGCUUGUCGUAUCAUGUAGCUGCGCAUAUGCUCUUUGUUUUGUUCUGGGAUAAUAACGAGUAUUGGAACAAAUUUUUCUAUCUUGAGAUAGUUUAUUAUUCCGUGAUAGUCAGAAAUAAAAGUAUAAUAGUAUUUGGUUCGUAAUGUUGUUAUCCUUCUGAAUAAGUGAAAGUGCAUUUGUUUAAUUUUAUAGAAUAAUAGAAAGUAGUAAAAAAAAAAAAAAAAAAAGAAGAUUGAAUUUGAUUUUGAAUAUGUACUUGGUUUUAAAAAAAAACCUAUUAUAAUAUUUAAUAAAAAUAUUUUAUUAUAAAAAUACUUUUUCUUUUUCAAAUUCUACUGAAGCGUAAAUUUAAUAAAAAUAAUUUAUCAUAAUCGUUAAGUAUAAUUUAUUAUAAUUUUUAAGUAUAAAAAAUAUGCAGUAAUUAAUAUAGUAUAAUUAAUAAUUAUUAUUAUAUAAUUUACUCUUUGUAAUAUGUAAAUAUUAUGUCUACAUAAUUUACUUUUAAGUCAAUUUAUAAUCUUUAGAAUUAACCUUGGAAAUAACACUAUUUCAUUAAAAUGGUGGAAUGGAUUAUUCAAAGCUCUCUUGGGAUAAUCAGGAAUAUUAAGGUUUGACCGGAAAAAAGUAUUUCGAUUAAAAGACAUCUUAUCUGGUGGAAUAGCGUUGAUAACUUUCGUCUUGCCUUAUCUCCGAAUCAAAAAGGACCUAGAGUGUAGGGAUUAAGAUUUGUUUUUAUCCUUAACAUUUAUUAUCUGUUAUAAGAACGAAAGGAGAACAUUGUAUAAACCUCACAGUUUUCUCAGCCGCAUCCUUAGGCACGUCCUUUUCGCGGGAGGGGAAGAAAGAAAAGGCUUAGGAAAGCUCUAGGAACUCUGAAUAGUUCUUUGAAUAAAAGUAGAUUCGAAAUGAGACAAACAAAAGAUAUAGAAAUGAGACAAACAAAAGAAAUAAAAAUAGAUUCCAAAUGAGACAAACAAAAGAGACCCUGUGGGUAUUAAGUACCUGUUUGAUGAUGAGCCGGGAGUCUCCGUGGACUGGUCUCUUUUUUUUUCUUUUUUUUUAACUUAGGAUUCCAACUUGGGUCUCAGAUGCCAACCACCAAGCUCUUUGCCACUUACUCUAGGGAUUGGUCUCUUGCUAUAAGAAGAAAGACGUAAUUACAACAAAAUAUAUUCCUUUUUAUAUUAUACUCAAGUUUUUGAUAAAAAAAAUCUAGUCGUCAUGCCUCUCCUGCACACCUUUAUUCUCUCCGAUCUUUUAGUAGAAAGACGUUUUCUGUACAAGAGUUAGCACCUCGGUGAGUACUCCGAUCAGAUCAGCAAUCUCGUUUGAAUAUCUAUAGAGGCCUCGUUUGAAUAUCUAUAGAGGCCAGACGUUUGCGGCCGAUUAUUAGAUCGCGGUGUAGAUUUAUUCGCACAAAAGUGAAGAUUGAAUCUUUCUUUUUCUCUUUCAAUCUUAAAUACACGAGAGAUCCUGUUUUUGCAUGGUUUUCGACAUUAGAUCUCAAGUUUUAAAAUCAAAUUUUGUUUCAUUUUUCUUUUCACUGCGUUUUAUUGUACGCAAAUCCUAACAGUGAACUAAAAGGCUUUGUGUAUUUCUCACCUUCUAGAUCUUUAAUAAAUGUUAAAACAAGAGAGAGGGUGGCCUCUACUAGGGCUAUUACUAACCCUAACUAGUGCCGAUCAAGGUGGGAAAGAGUAAAAGUUAUUCACUUCGAUUUAAUCCCAUGAGAGAUGAAGAAGCUAUUUUCACAGUUGUAAUAUGAAGCACCUGGUAACAUGUUUAAUGCUAUAAGUUGGAAAUUGCCCAAAAUAAAUGGUUAGGUGCUCGAUCGCAUGGCUAAAUCUAGUUUUAUGGCUAAUUAGGUGUCACCGUGCAGGAGAUGGUAAGCUUAGUUCAUGCUAUUUCACCGAUUGUUCAGCUCCAGAUUUGCUGCGUAAGAAAUAUAAUAAGCACAAGAUGUUGAGACUCAUGAUCCAAGAGGCUUUUCAUUUGCUAUUUUAAUCACGUGUGUUUGGUUCAGGGUAUACUAUUAGAAUUACAGGCAAUCCUAUUGGAAUUAUUACAUGUGGUUAAUCCAGUCUCUAAUCUAGUCGGUAAUGUAGCAUUACAAUAAUGCAAUAUUACUCUAAGGGCGCGUUUGGUUCGAGUUAUGUAAUAUUACAGAGUAUUUCAAUAUAUCCAGGUAUCUUGGAUUUCUAAAUGAGAUUACUAUUCAUGCUGCAUUAGUGCGUUUGGUUUAAUACAGUAAUGUAUUGCUGGAUUGCAGCGUUUAUAGCGUUACUACUUUGCUUCUGUCUAUAAAAUUUACUAAUCUAGACAAUAAAAUAUAAUCUAUUCCAAAAUUGCCCUUAGUCAUAUUUCGUAAAAUUUUUUUUACUGUUUACAAACAAUAUUUUUUUACCAAAUUUUAUUUUAAAUUAACUUAAUUUUUUAAAUUUUAAAUUUUAAAUUUUAAAUUUUUACAACAAUUUAAAUUUAAUAUUUUAAUUUAAAAUAUGGAAUUUCUAAAUUUAAAAUCUAAAAUUUAAAUAUAAAUAUAUAUAAAAUAAAAAAUUAAAAUCUAAAUUUAAAAUUCAGAAUUUAAAAUACAAAUUUGUGUUUUAAAAUUUGAAAUUUGAAAUUUGAAAUUUAAAAUUUGAAAUUUCAAACUUAUAAUUUAAAAUCUAAACUUUUAAUUUAAACUUAAAAUUUAAAAUUUAAAAUUUUAAACUUAUAAUUUAAAAUCUAAAAUUUUAAUUUAAAUUUAAAAUUUAAAAUUUAAAUUUGAAGUUUAAAAAUUUUAAAUUUUAAAUUUAAAAAUUCAAAUUUAAAAAUUAAAAAUUAAAAGUUGACAAUUCAAAAUUUUAAAUUAAAUUUUUUAAAAUAAUAUAUUGAAAGGGUUUCGAGAGUUAGAGGGUAAAAUUUUCAUUUUACAUAAUAUGUAGUAUUACCGGUUUUCAGUAAUGCAAGAUACACGACCCCCUUCUCGUUAAUAUUUUCGGUGUAAUCCUGCUCGAUUUGUAAUGCUAUAUUAACGGUUGGAUUACAUAGCGGAUGAACCAAACACAGUAAUCCUGACAGGAUUGUCUGUAAUCCUGCCAGGAUAACUCGAACCAAACGCACUCUAAAAAUAUUAUCAAGGAGUGGGUAUCUCGUAUUAUUGAUAAGCAAGUAAUCUUGCAUAUUAUUAUAUAAAAUUAUAAUUUUACCCCUUCAAACCCUCCCAAACUCUUUUAAUGUGUUAUUUUUAGCGCUCUCUCUCUCUCUCUCUCUCUCUCUCUCUCUAUUUGCACGAAUCCUAAUAAAUGAGUUUCUAAAUUAAAAUCUAUUUAUUUUUUAAUUAUUGUAUAUUUAUAUAAUAUAUUUUUUUAAAUUUAUUCUUAUAUUAGUUGAAAUUAAUUUUUAGCUUUAUAUGUGUCUUUUUAUUUAUAUUGCUUAUUAAUAUAAUUAAUUUAAGUGCAAAUUAUAUUAAGUUAUUGUUUAGUAAAAAGAAUAUUAAAUAUGAUCACAAAGAUAAUUUUGGAAUAGAAUAAUAAUUUACUGUCAGGAUUACUGAAUUUUAUAAAUUAAAUUAAAUAUAGUAAUUCAAUAUAAACUAUAAUGCAAUAUCAGUAGUAAUCUGAUUCAGAAUUUUUGAUUAUUUCAAAAUAAAGGAUAUCGCGCCUUAGACAGAGACCUCCAAAGUAUAGUUCAUUCCUGUAUGUCAUCUUUUGUUAUGAUGAAUAGAGUUGUAUAAAUGUGAUGUAUUUUGGGAUAAUCAUGUGAUAGAUGAUGUAUAGAGAAGAAAACAAGAGAAUGUAAUUAUUGUAUGCAUGUAUGUGAUCAAAGGUGUUCACAAUACUUGUAUGGAUGCAAUAGAUUAGAACUUUCACUUUUGAUGUUGCUUGCCCUCGUGCAAGCCAUAUAUAUCAUUAUUUUCGCUGUGUAAAAUAUAUACAUGUUGUAAUUGUUGAGCCUUGGGCGGACAGGGAAGAUGCUGUCCGUUCAGCGUCUGUCGGCGUGCCCGAACCGACCUAAUAAGCGGGCUCGGGGCAUGACAAUAAUUAAACGGAUGAAAAUGAUAAAAGAGAUAAUCUAACGGCAGAAAACUUGAUAGCACCAAAUGUUUCGUGCUAUCGAUAGUGUCACGCCCCCGACCGCACUCCCCGAAGAUGGUACCGAUUUGGUCCGGUUCGAGGGCGGCGGGCGUGAGGCCGAACGGACAGAGUCGUCCCUGUCCCCCCUAGGCUAACCAAUAAGAUUGUACACAACAAGUUCUCAGGAAAACAACUUGACUACGUACACAAUCAUUCAACGAAAACAAGAGGAGAAACAGUGCUAACACAAACGAGAGCAAGCGAUACUAGUAAGAACAUACAAGUAUACAAAAGAGAUAUGAGCUUAAGUAGUGGAAACAUAAUUGAAACAUUUAAUCUCUUUGAUGUCAUUAAAGCUUUAACCAUUUGAUACAACUUGCAUUCUUUUUCCAAAAUGUAAAUACAUCAUGUGCUCUCCAAAACCUCACCCUAUACAACGUCUACUCUCAAAAUGUAAAAGCAGGGUGAACUAAUGCAAGUGAAAAAGUAAGCUAUCAACCAAAUGCGCUAGGGCGCCAAGCCCUUGCCGCGAUCCUCCCGCUCGGUGGGGAUACUCGAACUAGCACCUGCAACGUGGGGUGUGAGAACUACGAAUAGUUCCCAGUGGAUUCGGCCGCCGACUCCGCCGAUCUACCCACUAGGUCUUAAGCAGGCAUAGAGGGAUAUAUAUAUAUACAACAUAUAAAGCUAUGCUGAAACGAAAGCAGGUAAGUAGAGCAGGAAUAUUUAGCUAUGCCUCAAUCUGAUAUCAUGGAUGCAUGAACAAUAAGUAAAGCUGCGUAAGUAAGCUACUAUGAACAUCAAGUAAGCUAUGCAAUCAAGCUAUCAUGAACAACAAUAAUGAGUAUGACUCAAUAGGUUUCCAAAUCUCCUGGUGAACUCUGGUUCACAAACAUGUCUCACGUGUAAGCCUCAUAGGGAAAAGUCUCACUGAACUAUUCCCCGAGACCGCCUGCGGACAGCACACAGACCGUCUAGACAGCACACUGACUAUCGUUCUAGUGACCAACCUCCGGAGUGCACAGCUUGUGGGGAGCGACCCCUCCAAGCGCAGACAGGCUAUGUGAGCACGAUCAACUCACGAACAACAGCAACCUACCCACUAAGGGUAAUCUCAUCAUGGAAUCAAGGUGUUCUUGUACCCAAUCUCAUAGUGUCUCAACUACACUAAGGUUAUCAACAAUCAUAUGCCACUCAUCAUAGUUUUCUAUAACUAGAUGUCACUCGUCAUAGUUUUCUAAACUAGAUGCCACUCGUCAUUUAGACUCAUCAUCAACACUAGUUACAUUAUACUAGUUCUUUAAUCACAUAAACAUUAAUCAUCACAUAUAGGCUCUAGGUUUUCAUCAUACAUUUCAUGCAUACUAAAUCAUGGAUCAACCAACCAAGGGAUAUAGCUACUAGUAUGCAAAUAUAAGCAAUAGCAACAAUCUUCUAACCCUAUAUGUAUAUGCACAAGAUGCAACUAGAUCAACAUUAACUCAGACAUAGAAGGUAGCCCCGCUGCUUCGGAAUGGUCACCACCCUCCUUGUGGUAGUGCCGGAAAGCUAAGAAACUUGGCGUCGCGGUCCACGUGCGCUGCUUCAACACCUUGGGUCAAAACGAACCCUAGAGCACCCAAAUCGGCGAUAUUUCCGCGCUCGCUCGACGUAUUGACGAACCGUCUUCGCCUACGCGUUCGGGAACAUAGCAAUUAGGUUUCCGACCCCUCAAUAUAGAUCAAAACCCUAUAUUCCCAAAAAUUCCAAAAUCAAGCCCUAGAUUUAGCAACCAUGGGAACCCAUGGUUUCUAGCUUCAAUGUGAGCUAGAUCCUUGUUCUCUAAGCUCAUUAGGUUCCAUUUGAACCAAUAAAACCAACAAAAAGCUCCCAAAACCCUAGAUCCACAAGUUGGGGUUGAGGCUUACCUCUAGGGUUUACUCCAAAGCAAGCCCUAGCUUGAGAAGAGGAGGGAGAGAAGCUGCUUCUUCUUCUCCUUGAUCUUCUCCUUCCUUUCCUUCUUCUUCUCUUUCUUUCUCUCCUUCUUUCUUCUUCUCCUUCUUCUUUCUGUUAGAGAGAGAGAGAGCUAAGUGAGAGGGAGAGACAGAGGCUAAGAGUGAGAGGGAGUCGCUGAGAGAGAGAGGCUUAAGUCCUCUAUUGUAACAAAAUCCCCAAAAGCCCCUCUAUUUUCUAUUUUUUUAAUCAGCCCAGCUAUUUCGGGUCCCUUGUACCGGUACACGGGUUCUUGUACUGGUACAAGGCCUGGGUGACAGCGAAACCGAGCGCAACCCGAGAGCUCGGUUUCUCGAUUUCGAUGGGUUUGUACCGGUACAAGGGGUCUUGUACCGGUACAGCAUCUGAAGCCCUCUAACCGGAGAGGCAGCGAUGGUUGUACCGGUACAACCAUCGCCCUUGUACCGGUACAACAGCUCCAUAAUGCUGUUUUCACUUCAUUUCGGCUUUACUUCGCGCCGAUCGAUGCCAAAACCCUUCCAACACCUUUGGAGCUCACUUUUGCUCUUCCAAACUUGUUAGAAUGCGAAAUGGAACUUGUCCAAACCAUUCAAUUGCCCACUUUGGUCCAUUUGGCCAAAGUUAGCCGAAUUCCAUCGAGUUUCAAUAUCUCACAUUCUCCGCCCCUUAAAAGGAGUUUCGUCCUCGAAACAACUCAACUCUUAUCUCGAACUCAACUCUUACCUCAAUCCUCGAACAAGUGAGGAUGAUUCGCUCUUAUCAGGUCCUCGAGUUCCCAAGUGGCUUCGCGAUCGUCGUGAUUGCUCCACCGAACCCUAACAUAGGAAAUCUCUCGAUUCCUUAGCUUACGCACUUCUCAAGCCAAAAUCUCCACCGAAAAUUCUUCAUAGCUCAUAUCAUCUUGAAGCUCCGGCGGCUCGUACACUAGAACGUGCUCGGGAUCAUGCACAUACUUGCGAAGAUUGGAGACGUGGAAGACAUUGUGCACACCCGCAAGCUUCGGGGGUAAUGCAAGUCGGUACGCCACCGUCCCAAUUCGCUCCAAGAUCUCGUAGGGGCCAAUAUAACGGGGACUCAGCUUUCCUCGCACCCCAAACCUCUUCACGCCUCGCAUCGGCGAAACCUUCAAGAACACGCGGUCACCCACCGCGAACUCUAAAUCUCUACGGCGUUUAUCCGAAUAACUCUUUUGCCGUGACUGCGCCGUGAGCAAUCUUUUGCGAGCAAGGUGGACUUUCUCUUCCGCCUCUCGCAAAAUAUCCAGACCGAACUCAACUCGUUCGCCUACAUCACUCCAAUGAAUGGGAGAUCAGCACUUCCGCCGGUAUAGAGCCUCGAACGGUGCCAUGCCCACUAGCAUGAUAACUGUUGUUGUAGGCGAACUCGGCCAUCGGUAUGUGCUUACACCAACCACCCUUGUAAUCAAUAACACACGCUCGCAACAUAUCCUCCAGAGUUUGAAUAGUCCUCUCUGUCUGCCCAUCUGUCUGGGGAUGGAAUGCAGUACUAAACUUGAGACGCGUCCCAAGGGCAUCCUGCAGGCUCCUCCAAAAAUGUGAGGUGAAGUCACCCCGUGAAGGGCAUCCUGCAGGCUCCUCCAAUCGACUUCGGCACCCCGUGAAGUCUCACUAUCUCAUCAAGAUAUACCUGAGCCAAUUUCUCGUCUACCCAAGUGUUAUGGAUCGGUAGAAAGUGUGCUGAUUUUGUCAAACGAUCCACAAUCACCCAAAUAGCAUCGUGGCCACCUGUCGAUCGAGGCAAGCCAACGACAAAAUCCAUCUUCCCCAUUUGCAACCACAGGGGCGUCUGAUUAGUAACCCACAAGGCUAGAUUUUCAACAGACUUCCGGCUAAGCGCAUCGGCAACUACGUUCGCCUUCCCGGGGUGGUAGAGAAUAUCAACAUCAUAAUCUUUAAGCAACUCCAACCACCGCCGCUGUCGCAUAUUCAGCUCCUUCUGGGUAAAUAGAUACUUCAAGCUUUUAUGGUCGGUGUAGAUCUCGCAAUGAGCACCAUAUAGAUAAUGUCUCCAUAGCUUCAAGGCAAAGAUCACCGCCGCCAACUCUAAAUGGUGAAUGGGGUAGUCCUUUUCAUAGCUCUUUAGCUGACGGGAUGCAUAAGCAAUAACUUUCCCGCCCUGCAUCAGCACACACCCCAAGCCCAGAUAAGAAGCAUCGCUGUAGACGACAUAGUCCUGUCCCUGCACCGGUAGGGCGAGUACCGGAGUCGAAGUUAACCUUUACUUCAACUCUUUAAAACUCCGGUCGCACUCGUCACCCCAAAUGAACUUGGUGCCCUUUUGUGUCAGACGGGUAAGUGGAGUCACAAUCUUUGAGAACCCCUCCACGAACCGUCGAUAAUAACCUGCUAGGCCCACAAAACUACGGACCUCAGCUACACUCGUCGGGCGCGGCCAAUUCUCAAUAGCCUCCACUUUCCUCCGGUCAACUGAAACACCACCCUCGAAAAUAACGUGCCCGAGAAAUGCAACCUCCCUGAGCCAGAAGUCGCAUUUCUUCAGCUUUGCGUACAACUUCUUCUCCCGAAGGAUUUGAAGUACUGCACGCAAAUGCUCCGCGUGCUCCUCGUCGCUACGCGAAUAUACCAAAAUGUCGUCUAUGAAGACCACGACAAAUCGGUCCAAGCACUCCUGGAACACCCGGUUCAUCAAGCUCAUGAACGCUGCCGGGGCAUUUGUAAGCCCAAACGGCAUCACCGUGAACUCGUAGUGUCCAUAACGCGUGCGAAACGCCGUCUUCUGAACAUCUUCCGGCUUAAUCUUUAACUGGUGAUAGCCGGACUGAAGGUCAAUCUUCGAAUACACUCGCGACCCCUGCAACUGAUCAAACAAGUCAUCGAUACGGGGUAGCGGGUACUUGUUCUUCACCGUGACCUUGUUCAACUCGCGGUAAUCCACGCAGAGUCGAAAAGAUCCAUCUUUCUUUCGCAUAAAUAAUACCGGGGCACCCCACGGCGAAACGCUCGGCCUAAUGAAUUUCUUAUCUAGAAGAUCCUGUAAUUGAUCUCUCAACUCCCUUAGCUCGGCCGGCGCCAUACGAUACGGGGCCUUAGAUAUCGGUGCUGUGCCGGGAACCAAGUCGAUCAUGAACUCGAUCUCUCGGUCCGGCGGCAUACCCGGUAACUCUGCGGGAAACAUGUCAGGGAACUCCCGCACAACCGCCAACUCCUCGAGGGUCGGAACUACUCGAUCAAUCUCCACAACGGUCGCCAAAUAGGCUGUGCAACCGCUGUUCACCAACUUCCUCGCUCUAGUUGCAGACACCGUCGCGGCGAAGCACGAGCUCUUGCAAGCUCGGUAGGUGAACUCUUCUUGACCCGGUUCCCGAAAUGUGAUAACUCGAGUUGGGCAGUCGAUCGACACAUAAUACUUCGAGUGCCAAUCCAUGCCCAAUAUGACGUCGAACUCAUUCAGCCUUUUGAGCACAAACAAGUCGACCGGCAUAACCCAGUCAUUCACCUGCACUGGACAUGCCAAACAUCGCUUCCUAACCAUAAAUGAUCUCCCGGGGCCCUCAACAUGUCAAACGUGCUCCCCCGGACGAUACUCAAUAUCAUGUGUUUGUGCGAACGAUCGACUAAUGAAUGAGUGUGAUGCACCUGUAUCAAAUAGAGCUCUCGCUCGAACACCCUUAACCAAAAUUAUACCUGCCACAACAUUAUGCUUACCGGCCUCUGAAGGCUUCUCAACGUGCACUGGAGCGGCAUACAUCCUCCCGCUCGGCGCAGAUCGUGCAGGCUCUGGUUGGCGUGGCGCCGCUGCUCGCCCAGUAGAUGCUGCAGGAGGGGGCAAGGCAUAGCGAGCUGGAACCGCCGGGGCCAAUGCAGUCAACAUAGCAGGCGAAGCUCCUCCUUGAGGACAGUUGCGGAUGACAUGUCCCGCUUGCCCGCACUUGAAGCACCUCCCACGGCGAUGCUCACACACACCCGGCCGGUGGUCUCCGCCGCAAAAGACGCAUCGCUCUGCUCCACGACCCUUGGGCUGAGAGCGUGGAUACUUCGGGGGCCUCCUGGANAGAAGACGCAUCGCUGAGCACCACGACCCUUGGGCUGAGAGCGUGGAUACUUCGGGGGCCGCUUGGAGCUAGACUGACCGCCCGAACCACCACCCUGUCUCUUCUUGCCUUUAUCCUUGUCGAGCGCCUCACGGUCCUCACGCUCGCAAGCGUUCCCGUGCUCGACCCAUAGCGCGCGGUCUAAAGCCUCCGCCAAAGAGUGGAACUUGAAGGCAUGCACCGUUUUGAAUACUCCGGGCCGAAGUCCUCGAACAAAACAAUCCGCCUGGUCCUGCUCUGUCACCGCCACGUCCGAAACGCAGCUCAGGAGAUGGGUGAACUCCCGCUCGUACUCCCGAACCGUGCGGUUACCUUGCUUGAGCUGGCGGAAGUCUUCCCGCAUCUUUCUCUUGUCACUGUUGGGGAAGUACUCGGCGAACAUUAGCCUGCGGAACUCCGCCGAAUCGAUCGGGGGAAGCUCCGGGAGUCGGUCUUGCUUGACCCUCUGCCACCAAUUCUUGGCCCGCUUCUCGAAGCAAUGAGCAGUCAAGUUCACCUUGUCCUUCUCCAAGGUGAAGAUGUCCUAAAAUAGAGUCUCCAUAGCCGUCAGCCAAGACUCCACCGUCGCUGGAUCCACCACCUCUCCGUCGAAAGUAGGUGGGUGAAACUUAGUGAACCUCGUGAGCGCUACAUAGUCGCGCUCACGCUCCGCCUCCUCAACCGCCACCGCGGGGGUAGGAGAACUUGAACUCGCCAGAGGAAUAUCCACCGGUGGGGGUUGGGCCGCCACCGGAACCGAUACGCCACCCACACCCUCGGCCGCAUCGGGGGCGCGAACCGAAGGCGCAGGCGGACCGCGACCUAGACCCGCUGCCGCAGCCGCCGCCGCCGCAACCUGCCGCUCCAGUAGCUCCUGGAGCCUAUCGAACCGUCCCGUGAGCGCCGUAACCUGCGCUCGCAACUCCUGCACCUCAGUAGGCCCAGCUGGCCCUGGCGCCACUGGAGGCACGACUGGCUCAGGCACCUCUCGAGGUGGUGCCGGAGCAGUCCUACGCACGUAGCAUCUCUUUGGUGCCAUAGCUCCUGAAACGCAAACAACCGGUUAAUUACUUAACCCAACAUGUCGUCGUAACUAUGAAGCGUAAGCGAUUAAACAACAUUAAUCAGGCGGCAGCUUGUAAGUGUACUCGUUCUUGUCUCUCGGCAUUAUGUUGUCAGCCGCCAACACAAUCACCUUAAGCCAAAAGCUAAUACCACUUAGAUCAUCUCUAGCCAUAACCAGAGUCUCAAUGGCAACUCCAAACCCAAUCGAUUAGCUUCCGCCGCGUCAUAGGUUCACGUCGCACUCAGGCACCUAUAACCUUAGGGUUAACCAACCUAGAGUCUCCUAGGUCAUCCUAGACUCUCUCUUUUGCUUGCUCUUAACUCGCUCUGAUACCACAACUGUCACGCCCCCGACCGCACUCCCCGAAGACGGUAUCGAUUUGGUCCGGUUCGAGGGCGGCGGGCGUGAGGCCGAACGGACAGAGUCUCCCUUGUCCGCCCUAGGCUAAUCAACAAGAUUGUGCACAACAAGUGUCACCCCCCGCGGCCAACCGCCGAUUUGGACCGGGUCGCGGCGCCACCGACAGACCGCCGAACGGACCGGGAAUUCCCCUGUACGCGAACAGAGUCUCCCCAGUACGUCCAAGGCGUCGCAAUCCAAACAAUCAACGAAUGUUCCAACAAGGAACGGAUAUCAAUCCAGAUUGCAUAAGGAAGUAUCAAAUACAUAAACUACUUGCUAUUACAAGCAUUCAUUUCACAAUCACGUUAUACAUCACAGUUUCAGUUUACAUUCUUUUUUUACUUCCAAAUUACAAUCCAAUUAUUACAUCAUUUAAUUUACAAGUUUGAUACAUUUUCUUUUCUUGCCUUCUAGACCCCUAAGCUAGACUGUCUCAGGGUACGGCUACCUCGGUCUCUGUGGUGGGGCGCUAUCUACUGAGCUACGCCCUCGCCUCGCGCCGCCGCGCCGCACACGAACGACCUGAAAACCCGAAAACAACGUGGGGUGAGAACCAACUCCAUGGUUCCCAGUGGGUACGGCCACCCAAGGGAAAAACUCGACCGAUAGGUCCGAGGAGGCACUGCAACAUGUUAGUUCAACAAUAUACAACAGAUAUAUAUAUAUUCAAUUGAAAUACAUGCCAUGCCUCACAAUAUGCGAUAGGAAAAUCAUGCAACAACUAGUAGAUCAUUUGAAUUCUACUUUUACUUGGCUACUUUAGCUCAUAACUUUACUCUAAGGUUUCUAUUACCUUAGGAUCACAACACUAACCACUAGCUUCUAAGGUUUCUAUUNUCUCGAAGCAAUGAGCGGCCAAGUUCACCUUGUCCUUCUCCAAGGUGAAGAUGUCCUCAAAUAGAGUCUCCAUAGCCAUCAGCCAAGACUCCACCGUCGCUGGAUCCACCACCUCUCCGUCGAAAGUAGGUGGGUGAAACUUAGUGAACCUCUUGAGCGCCACAUAGCAGCGCUCACACUCCGCCUCCUCAACCGCCACCGCGGGGGUAGGAGAACUCCAACUCGUCGGAGGAAUAUCCACCGGUGGGGGUUGCGCCGCCACCGGAACUGAUACGCCACCCACACCCUCGGCCGCAUCGGGGGCUCGAACCGAAGGCGCAGGCGGACCGCGGCCUAGACCCGCUGCCGCCGCCGCAACCUGCCGCUCCAGUAGCUCCUGGAGCCUAUCGAACCGUCGCGUGAGCGCCAUAACCUGCGUUCGCAACUGCUACACCUCAGUAGGCCCAGCUGGCACUGGCGCCACUGGAGGCACAGCUGGCUCAGGCACCUCUCGAGGUGGUGUCAGAGCGGUCCUACGCACGUAGCAUCUCAUUGGUGCCAUAGCUCCUGAAACGCAAACAACCGGUUAAUUACUUAACCCAACAUGUCAUCGUAACUACGAAGCGUAAGCGAUUAAACAACAUUAAUCAGGCGGCAGCUUGUAAGUGUACUCGUUCUUGUCUCUCGACAUCAUGUUGUCGGCCGCCAACACAAUCACCUUAAGCCAAAAGCUAAUACCACUUAGAUCAUCUCUAGCCAUAACCAGAGUCUUAAUGCCAACUCCAAACCCAAUCGAUUAGCUUCCGCCGCGUCAUAGGUUCACGUCGCACUCACGCACCUAUAACCUUAGGGUUAACCAACCUAGAGUCUCCUAGGUCAUCCUAGACUCUCUCUUUUGCUUGCUCUUUACUCGCUCUGAUACCACAACUGUCACGCCCCCGACCGCACUCCCCGAAGACGGUACCUGUAAGGUAUCGGACUUCUAAAAUCAUGAAGUUACGGUGUACAUUUGGUUGGAGAGCUGUUUGAAUGGUCCCGGUGAAGUUCUGGGGUAAUCGGGCGUUUCGGUGCGCAUAGGCGCGAAAACGGAGCCGAAAGGCCAUGUUAGGCCGGGAGCUAAAUCCAGCAUUAGCGAGGAUGAAAAGAUGAUGGAAACAUGCUCGAAAACAUGUUUGAAGAGUCUCGGUUCGAUUUGAAACGAAUCGGAGGUCAAACGAGCGAAAACGGGCGAAAACGGAGAAGAAACGGUGAAAAAGGCUGAAAUUUGGCUAAGUCCUUGAGGCUGAGUACUGGACCUUCGGGGACCGGUCUCUCACCGCAAGGACCGGUCUCUCAGGGACCGGUCUCUCACAGCAAGGACCGGUCCCCGAGCGCGAAAAUGGCCCAGUUCGGGCUGUUGCAAAAGAGGCUUUGUUGAGGGAUUUUUAUGCAAUUUUGCCCUCAUGUGAGUGUAUAGAAGAGAGAGAUGGGCCUUUUCUCUCUUCCCUCUCACCCUAAAACUCUCCCUCUCUCUCUCUAGAAAGAAAAGAAAGAGAAGAAGAAAGAGGAGAAGAAGAAGAAGAGGAGGAGAAGAAGAAGAAAAGGGAGGAGAAGAAGAGAAGCAUCAUCACCACCAUCAUCUUCUUCUUCCUCUCAACCUUGGAGCUAACACCUAAAGGUAAGCUUGAUGCUUAUUAAUGGUAGAUCUCUAGGGCUUGAGCCUUUUUCUCUAGAAUUGGAUUUAGAUGAAUCCUAGCAAGCUUAAUAGAUGUUUAUUGCAUGAAUUGGAGAUCAAUUUGGUGGAUUUUGCCGUAGUACAAAUCUAGGGCUCCAAAAUGGCGAUUUGAUUUACAGGAGGGUUUGAUCUCUUUUAACACUCUGUAAACCUAAUUGGUAGGUCUACGAACGCAACGGUGCGUUCGGUUCGGCGAUCCGACGAGUGUACGCGGAGAUAUUGAGGAUCGAAGCCGUUAAGGUACAGAUUGCCGCAGCUCGUGGCGAAAGCUUCCAAAAAUCAUGGAAAUGGAAUCGUAGCAUCGUGGUGUCGGGGAAUAAACUCCAGAACAGACGGAUCGCGGAUAGGAGGUCAUUUGGCAGUCNNNNNNNNNNNNNNNNNNNNNNNNNNNNNNNNNNNNNNNNNNNNNNNNNNNNNNNNNNNNNNNNNNNNNNNNNNNNNNNNAUACCGUCUGGCGGCGAACGGGUCGCACCACACCCAACAACGGUCAUGUCAGACUCGGUCCCCUGGAGGCACCCGCAUCGUACUUACCCAGCAUGGAUUCAGUCUACUCUGGUGGUCCGAUCCUCAAAUGGCUUAACCAUCCUGGCGGCGAAAUCGUCGCACAAACGCCACGGCAAUGGUUCAAGCCCCAGGCGGUGAUCUCCACAUGGUCACGCCCAAUCUACCCACAGUACCAAGCUCGGCGGCGAAGUCGUCGCACACACGCCCUAGCUUGUACUAGGGACAUCAAAAGUCCUGGGAUCCCGGAAUCCACUUUCCACAGGUCGAGGGUUCAUAACCAACCCUAUAUCAUCGACCUAACUCAUCCUAGUGGCUAUACCACUAUACUCAUCAACCUAGGUUCCAAGGCUCUAGGUUCUAUGUCCACGUCACUUGACCUAGGUACCCUUGCUAGGUUCUUGUCGUCAUCUUAGCCUAGAUGUCCACCUCUAGGUUUACUAGUUCGACCUAGGUUCGCUACCACUAGGUUCGAUGCCAUACACCUAGAUUGUUCGACUCUAGGUUUACUAUUCAAUCUAUGUUCUUUAACACUAGGUUAGAUGCCACUCGAUCUACCUGACAACCUAGUUGUCCAAUCAACUCUACUCACACUAGAGUUAUUAACUCGUGCUUUCUACGUGGCAUUUACUCUAUGCAUCUUUGAUCAUUGGCAUUUCCAUCUAUGCACUACUAUUAGUAUGCAUUCUUUACAUUAGCUAGCACUAUUUACGCGUCAUGCUAUCAUGCAUGCUACUUACUAUGCGUUCAUUACUUAGCCUUUACUUCAUGCAUUUCUUGUCCUUGUCUACAUGCACAUGCGUCAACAUAGAGAUACAUUGCUAAGACAUAAAGGGCGACUUAGUCGCUUCGGUAAGCACAACCCACCUUAGAUAGCUUUUCCGAUUGCUCGUCGACACUUGCAAUCGGCCUCCCGCGGCACUCGGCACCCGUUUGGACCCGAUCUCGCAGUUGCUCCCCAAGAGCGCGCCGCUUCGCCGUUUCAAGUGCUAGUGAUCUUCGCCUCGCCACUACGGUGCUCGGGACCCGAUUUCACGAUUUAUGGACGUUGCCUCGGCCUCCCAGGCGGAAAUGAAGCUCCGAGCGCCCGCUUCUUCAAUAUCUUCGUAACAGCUUGUCGGAUUGCCGAACCGACUUCGCCAACGUGUUUCGUUACCUACCAAUUAGGUUUACGAAGGGUCAAAUGAGAUCAAACUCAUCUAUUUACAAAAACCCCCAUGGAUGCCCUAGAAUGCCCUCAACAUCAAAACCACCAAAUCGAUCUAUGAGAUGGGGUGAAAUCAUCUUAGAGGCAUGCUAGGGUCCCUCUAAAUCCAUUUCUAGAGAUCAAAACCCUAUCUUUAAGGAUUUACCAUGAGAGGGCUUGGAAGCUUACCUCUCAAAGAGCUCCAUGGAGAGAAGAAGAUGAAGAUGAAGAUGAGGAAGAGGAUCUCCUCCUUGGUCCUCUCCUUCCUUUCCUUUCCUUUCUCUUUUUCUUCUUCUCUUCUCCUUUCUCUUUUCUUUCCUUCCUUUCUUUCCCCUUUCGCACAAUCAGAGGGAGAGAGAGAGAGAGAGAGAGGCUGAGGGAGUACGAGAGAGAGAGGAAAAGGUCUCUCUAAUACCCUAUCUCAUUUUGUAACAAUAUCCCCAAAGGCCCCUCAAUUUUUCUUCUCUUACACAGCCCCUUACUGGGCGUUCUGCGCGCGGAGGGACCGGUCCCCGGGGCCUUCCCCCGCGGACACGCGUUCGGGAACCGGUCCCUCCCUGAGAGACCGGUCCUCGGGAGACCGGUUCCUCUCAGAGAGACCGGUUCCCGAGAGCUAAACUCUUGGGACUUAGCCGAUUUUCGGCUCUUCUCACUGGUGUCGCAGGCUGGGACCGGUCCCUCCUCUGCCAGGGACCGGUUGCAUCAGCAACCCCACAGCCUUCAGCUGAUGGGACCGGUCUCUCACCUCUAGAGACCGGUCCCCGAGAGCAACUUCAGCCCAAAAAUGCUGAUUGCAUUAUUUGCUCUCGCGGACUCCAUUCCAAUGUACUUCUCGGCUUUCGUGCAUCCUUAGCUUUUUCAAAGCUUAUCCAUUCGACCCUUAGUCGAUUCUAGACGAGGUGCAACCCUCGGAUUUCGAGAGUUCACAUUGUUACAAAAAGUUCCCAAGAAAACAACUUGACUACGUACACAAUCAUUCAACGAAAACGAGAGCACAAACAGUGCUAACACAAACGAGAGCAAGCGAUACUAGUAAGAACAUACAAGUAUACAAAAGAGAGAUGAGCUUAAGUAGUGGAGACAUAAUUGAAACAUUUAAUCUCUUUGAUGUCAUUAAAGCUUUAACCAUUUGAUACAACUUGCAUUCUUUUUCCAAAAUGUAAAUACAUCAUGUGCUAUCGAUAGUGUCACGCCCCCGACCGCACUCCCCGAAGAUGGUACCGAUUUGGUCCGGUUCGAGGGCGGCGGGCGUGAGGCCGAACGGACAGAGUCUUCCCUGUCCCCCCUAGGCUAACCAAUAAGAUUGUGCACAACAAGUUCCCAGGAAAACAACUUGACUACGUACACAAUCAUUCAACGAAAACAAGAGGAGAAACAGUGCUAACACAAACGAGAGCAAGCGAUACUAGUAAGAACAUACAAGUAUACAAAAGAGAUAUGAGCUUAAGUAGUGGAGACAUAAUUGAAACAUUUAAUCUCUUUGAUGUCAUUAAAGCUUUAACCAUUUGAUACAACUUGCAUUCUUUUUUCAAAAUGUAAAUACAUCAUGUGCUCUCCAAAACCUCACCCUAUACAACGUCUACUCUCAAAAUGUAAAAGCAGGGUGAACUAAUGCAAGUGAAAAAGUAAGCUAUCAACCAAAUGCGCUAGGGCGCCAAGCCCUUGCCGCGAUCCUCCCGCUCGGUGGGGAUACUCGAACUAGCACCUGCAACGUGGGGUGUGAGAACUACGAAUAGUUCCCAGUGGAUUCGGCCGCCGACUCCGCCGAUCUACCCACUAGGUCUUAAGCAGGCAUAGAGGGAUAUAUAUAUAUACAACAUAUAAAGCUAUGCUGAAACGAAAGCAGGUAAGUAGAGCAGGAAUAUUUAGCUAUGCCUCAAUCUGAUAUCAUGGAUGCAUGAACAAUAAGUAAAGCUGCGUAAGUAAGCUACUAUGAACAUCAAGUAAGCUAUGCAAUCAAGCUAUCAUGAACAACAAUAAUGAGUAUGACUCAAUAGGUUUCCAAAUCUCCUGGUGAACUCUGGUUCACAAACAUGUCUCACGUGUAAGCCUCAUAGGGAAAAGUCUCACUGAACUAUUCCCCGAGAUCGCCUGCGGACAGCACACAGAUCGUCCAGACAGCACACUGAUUGUCCCUCUAGUGACGAACCUCCGGAGUGCACAGCUUGUGGGGAGCGACCCCUCCAAGCGCAGGCAGGCUAUGUGAGCACGAUCAACUCACGAACAACAGCAACCUACCCACUAAGGGUAAUCUCAUCAUGGAAUCAAGGUGUUCUUGUACCCAAUCUCAUAGUGUCUCAACUACACUAAGGUUAUCAACAAUCAUAUGCCACUCAUCAUAGUUUUCUAUAACUAGAUGUCACUCGUCAUAGUUUUCUAAACUAGAUGCCCUCGUCAUUUAGACUCAUCAUCAACACUAGUUACAUUAUACUACUUCUUUAAUCACAUAAACAUUAAUCAUCACAUAUAGGGUCUAGGUUUUCAUCAUACAUUUCAUGCAUACUAAAUCAUGGAUCAACCAACCAAGGGAUAUAGCUACUAGUAUGCAAAUACAAGCAAUAGCAACAAUCUUCUAAUCCUAUAUGUAUAUGCACAAGAUGCAACUAGAUCAACAUUAACUUAGACAUAGAAGGUAGCCCCGCUGCUUCGGGAUGGUCACCACCCACCUUGUGGUAGUGCCGGAAAGCUAAGAAACUUGGCGUCGCGGUCCACGUGCGCCACUUCAACACCUUGGGUCAAAACGAACCCUAGAGCACCCAAAUCGGCGAUAUCUCCGCGCUCGCUCGACAGAUCGACAAACCGUCUUCGCCUACGCGUUCGGGAACAUAGCAAUUAGGUUUCCGACCCCUCAAUAUAGAUCAAAACCCUAUAAUCCCAAAAAUUCCAAAAUCAAGCCCUAGGUUUAGCAACCAUGGGAACCCAUGGUUUCUAGCUUCAAUGUGAGCUAGAUUCAACAUCUCUAAGCUCAUUAGGUUCCAUUUGAACCAAUAAAACCAACAAAAAGCUCCCAAAAUCCUAGAUUCACAAGUUGGGGUUGAGGCUUACCUCUAGAGUUUGCUCCAAAGCAAGCCCUAGCUUGAGGAAGAGGAGGGAGAGAAGCUUCUUCUUCUCCUUGAUCUUCUCCUUCCUUUCCUUCUUCUUCUCUUUCUUUCUCUCCUUCUUUCUUCUUCUCCUUCUUUUUUCGGUUAGAGAGAGAGAGAGCUAAGUGAGAGGGAGAGAGAGAGGCUAAGAGUGAGAGGGAGUGGCUGAGAGAGAGAGGCUUAAGUCCUCUAUUGUAACAAAAUCUCCAAAAGCCCCUCUAUUUUCUAUUUUUCCAAUCAGCCCCGCUGUUUCGGGUCCCUUGUACCGGUACACGGGUUCUUGUAUCGGUACAAGGCCUGGGUGACAGCGAAACCGAGCGCAACCCGAGAGCUCGGUUUCUCGAUUUCGAAGGGUUUGUACCGGUACAAGGGGUCUUGUACUGGUACAGCACCUGAAGCCCUCUAACCGGAGAGGCAGCGAUGGUUGUACCGGUACAACCAUCACCCUUGUACCGGUACAACAGCUCCAGAAUGCUGUUUUCACUUCGUUUCGGCUCUACUUCGUGCCGAUCGAUGUCAAAACCAUUCCAACACCUUUGGAACUCAUUUUUACUCUUCCAAACUUGUUGGAAUGCGAAAUGGAACUUGUCCAAACUGUUCAAUUGCCCACUUUGGUCCAUUUGGCCAAAGUUAGCCGAAUUCCAUCGAGUUUCAAUAUCUCACAGAUAGUAUCCCAACCGGGCUAUAUAUAUAUAUAUACUUAGGCUGGAAUACUAUCAAUAGCAGCAAGCAUUUUGUGCUAUUAGGUUUUCAGCCCUUGGAUUUAAAAAUGUACGGUUAGGAUGAUGUGGGCCCCUUAGGGUUGAGUGAGUUGUUAGUUUAAUAGUAUAAUCCAACGGAUGAAAAUAGUCAAAGAGUUAAAUCUAAUGGCGGAAAACUUGAUAGUGGUGAGCCGUUUACAAGUUUAACGAUGUAGAAAUAUCUGAUCAUGUGAAAUUUUGAUUAAAAAUUCUUUAUACUAUAUAAAAUAAGAUCAAUAUCUUUGAUCUAAAAUUUUGUAAUAUUUUUAUUUUCAGCCAUUGAUUUUGAACCCUUUCGAUCAUUAGGCAAAUGAUAUAAAAAAAAAUCACGAAGUUUAUUUUCUAGGUACUUCAAAUACUCUAGAUUAAGCCUAACGAAACCGAUUGUCGAUUCAAAAAUUCCAAUAUCAAAAACGACUUGGAAACACAGAGGGCUCCAUGCUUCAAAAAGCAUACCAGCCUCACUAUAUAUAUAUAUAUAUAUAUAUAGAACUAGGCUGGAAUACUAUUAAUAGCACUAAUGACUUGGUGCUAUUAAGUUUUCUGCCCUUGAAUUAAAAGAUGUACGGUUAGGAUGAUAUGGGUCCCCUAGGGUUGAGUGGAUGGUUGGUUGAAUAGUAUAAUCGAACGGAUGAAAAUGAUAAAGAGAUAAAUCUAACGACAGAAAAUUUGGUAGCACCAAAUGCUUCGUACUAUCGAUAGUAUCCCAGCCGGACUAUAUAUAUAAUGUUCGUGGUAUCGAUCUGAUAUAUAUAUAUAUAUAUAUAUAUAUAUAAGAGAGAGAGAGAGAGGAAGAGAGAGAGAGGUUGAGGUCUAAAUACUCUCAAAAGCACCAGGGUGGUGCUUUUUGUAGUUUUUUAGCCUUAUGUAUGAUGGAGAGAUGUAGGGUUGGAUGAUGAUGGUAGGUGGUGUAGGUGGAAUAAAAUACGAAAUUUGAUCCAAGCGGCCUAUUAUUAUCAGGGAGAAGAUUACAGGGGUAGAAACUGAAGCACACAAGGGUUUUGGAGCUUCUAAAAGUACCUAUAUCAACUAUAAUAUAUUAUAAUAUAAUAUAUAUAUAAUUUAAGAUAUAUUAUAUAUAUCACUAGUAUAUAUAUAUAUAUUAAUAUGUGUAGAGCUACUAUGCUAAUCGAAGCAUAAAUUAGUUGAUGGCUUCCGAUUUUUUAGCCCUUUGGAUCAAAGAUCUAUGAUUAGAGGAUAAGAAGCAGUCACUUAAGAGUAUGAGUGGUUCCUAGGCGUUAGAGUGCAUCCCCAUUCGUUAUAAAUAUUAAUCUAUUGUUUAGAAAUGAUAUGGGGUUGAUUAGAGCUUAAAAAAAUGUAAGCACCAACCACUUUAUUCCUUCGUGCGAUAGCAUAGUAGCGAUACUAUAUAUAUACAUAUAUUAUAUACUAUGUAUAUGUAUCUGUAAUGUAUAUACUAUGUAUAACGGUACAUAUAUAUGUAUAAUGUACAUGAUACAUAUUAUGUAUAUACAUGUAUAUGUAUAUACAUAUGUAUAUGUAUAUAUCUAUGUAUAUAAUAUUAUAUAUGGGACAGUUUUUCGAAAAUAACUGUGAUUAUCAUAUUUGCAACUAACCUGUGAAAAUUUUAUGUUUGUGAACUAACCUCCUACUAUGAGGCAAACAGCGGACAUAGAGCAUAGCGCAGAUUCAGCAUUUCUAAAUAAGAGUGACUCGUUCACUCGUACUUAAGAGCCUCGUGAAGCGGUAAACUGGUUAACCGUAUUCUCAAGGCCAUUACAUACAGCCUUUCAGCCACUUCCAACGCGGGCCAGCUUCUUCUCAUGAAACUUCCCCCACCGUGGAGCGAGGUGUAGAGAAAGUCCCCCGUUUACGUUCACAAAGGCGGUAAAAUACCAUACCGCCUUUUUUUAUGGCAAUUCCCGCCUUUCAGCAUUCGCGUGGCGAGAAGUGACUAGAGAAGACGGUCACUCGUUACCCUUUCAAAAGGCCGUAAAUACAUACCGCCUUUUAAUUCCCCGCCCGCUUCUCAGCAAUUUCCCAGCGUGGUCGCAAGGUCCUAGAGAAAACGGUCACUCGUAGCAGUCUUACAAGGCAUAAAUAGUUUACCAGUCUAUCUUGUCAUAAGCCAUUUACCCAUAGCCAGCCUAAUUUCGGAGAUCGAGAGAGAGGACCUAAACAAAGAUAAGACAAUGAGUGUUUAACAUUAAUUAGGCGGUAACCUAUUCGCCGAUAUACAGUUAAAUUGCCACCUGCCGCUAAUUGGACCAAGUCGUGUGGCUAAAACACGAUAAGAACGUGAAAGCUUACCGUCUUAUUGUUCUGCAUAUAGGAGGUGAAUGGUUUAUCACCGUCUUAUCUGUUGUAAAAGAAACCCAGUCAGGACUUAAGCUUUUUUCGGGUUUUCAUGAGAGUUUGACACUAAAGGGUAACCAUUCACCGCUUUUAGUGUACAGUGGCAAGGAUAAGCUCAUUCAGCGACUAUUUUCAACAGAUAUAUGAGACAAGUUUUAUUCACAGUAAGAAAUUUCAAAACGAGAAACACACAUACGAUUGGAAUAACAAAAUACAAUCACUGGAUAAAUAUAAACAAUAUUACAAAUAUAAAAUAUGGAAAAAGAACCAGUUGAGAGCAAAACUCAAUUUUGCUAAAGAAAAAAUAAUUCCAACAAUAUGAAGCAAUUUUUUACAGAUAAAAUAUUUUAAACGAGAAAAAAAACGAGUGGAUAAACAAAAUAAACAAUGCAAAGAAUAAAAUAAUCAACAAACAUUAGAAAUAUACCAAUAUGAAGCUAAAUCAUGUAUUAUAAAUUAUACCAAGUUAAUUCCAAAUAAAAAAAUACAAUAGCUCCUCGUCGUCCUCUCCCAUGACGUCCCAGGCAAUCUCGCCAGCAAGUCACGUCACUUUAGCCACCCAUGAUAGCAUAAGCUCGCAUAGGUCACUCUAUAAAUAAAAGAUACCAGCCAUCUUCAAUGAGAUCCGAGAUAAUGCCAUCGGUUGCUCCCGAAUCGCCUGAGUAUCCUCUGGCUAGGUUGUCACCUCAGAUAAUGGCCGGUGUGAAUGCAAAAAACAAAAGGGCCUGUGAUGAUGAAAAUAGCGAGAUAUCUAAAGUGUACCUGCGAGACUGCGGGAAAUGCGUCAUAAGCCACGCGGAUAGGGCGCGCAAAACGGGAAAAAAAACGGGAGCGAUGUUAUCAACUCUGGCAAUCUGCAACAUCACUAGAAUGGAAUGGAUACUCGAUAAAGGCACGAUUCUCGGUAAGAUCCAGUCGAUUUAGGUCAGAGUGUAUCCUAGUGAUACCGAUGUCCGAGGGUUUGACCAAGAUCGACUCACAUCAGCGUGAAGGUAUGGAAUGAAUUACCAGUACUGUGGCGAUCAAUCUGGACAUCUCAUGCUAGUAACUGUCUCUAAUAUCGAAUCGUAAGAAGUCUAUAGAACUAGCCCUCGAUGCAACAUUUGAGCUGUCGUAAGCGUCCACUCCUGCAUUUAGAAAAAAAACCAUUAGAUGACAUUAAAUAUUACUGUAGAUAAUGCAUAUAAAAAUUAACAAUACUCGAUGAUCGUGACCAGUGUCUCUACCGGCUGGCCGCGAGGCGUCGGUAUGUCAAUGUGGAACCUGUACUGCAGCGACAUAGAAUCAAUCAUAUUCUCUAAUCUGCCAAUACCUAUAACAUAUAUAUAGAGGUCCGUAUGUACCGUCAGAGUGGUAUCACGAAUCGAUUGGUCAUAAUACCUUACUGCUGUCCCCAUCUCUGCGAAUCAGUUGCAGCCAUGAUGUUGCGCACGCUGACGUCGAGGUUCUGCGCAUAGUGAACUGACUCUGUCUGUUAUUCAUUAAUACAUGUGGUGAAAAAAUUUUAUAAUUUAAAAAAAUAUUUAACCGAAAUCUUGAGAUGAUAUUACGUUGGUAUAUCUUAAGCCUAGUCAUUAAUACACUUACGGUCGACGCAUCCAUUGGAUUUCCGAAUCCACAUCGAUACAUUAUGUCAGGUAUGUGUAAUACUUCGAUGAUAUUGUUCUCUGAAAGGAUAUAAAUUUUCCUCUAUGUUACACCCAACUGACACCACAUCCAUAAUGUUACCACUGAAGGUAACUCUCCUAUAGAUUCAUCAUCUAUAUAUCGAGCAGACAUAGUAUCAUUUAGCUAAUCACAGUAGGGCAGAAUUGUGUAUUAUAACAACAUUCUUCUCUAUUAAAUUUACUAAGUACAUUCUCCUUCAAAAUUCGCAUAGGAAUAUUGAACGAACGAAUCAAUUGCUUUCGACAGCGAAAUAUCGGAGGACAUUCAUCAUAUCUAACUGUCUAUCCCAAGCCUAACAGACACCGCACUUAGCCAUUUUAACAUAACUACAUCCUAAACUAUCACACAUCUCACCAUGGUCUCAUACAGCGAAAACUAACCUCAGUGAAAUGCACUAACUAAAUGAUAGGAAAAUUUGGCACACAAGACAUAAAAAGAGUGUUACUGACAAAAGUCUAAAACUUGUAAAUAUCUUUUAACAUGGUUGCGGCAGUUUAGACAAGUUUUAAAAGUGAAAAAAGGUGAAAACAGUAAAUAUAAGUUAAAAGCCAUUUUCAUGGAAAAAAAUUAAAUAUUAAAAAAAUAGUGGAUUCAGCGUUUUAUGGUUACUUUAAAACAGUGAGGUAUCUUAUACGAGAGCACUCUUCUUUCAUUUAAUCAAAUUUAUUGUUACUUGUAUAGUUCACAUCUUUGCUCUACUAUCUAAGUAAUGACUCUUUUAGCAAAUGGUUCCAUAAGUGAGAUUAAUUAAUGAAAGUGUAGGUACUACGACUGUAGUACGUUCUUUCAAGAAGCGGAGCAACUUUAUUCUUUAUGAUCUCAUUUCGAUCCGCUUAAUGAUAACAUUUGCUACCAUAAUGGGGCAUUGCUUCUUAUAUAAAAUCUAGAUGAUUGGAUUUGCACCAAUGGAAACCAUAAAUUCCAUAUACAAUAUGGGUAUACCUUUAACUAGGUCUAAACCCUAAACACUAAACCUAGUUUAAACUAGGUUUAAGGGUUUAGGGUUUAGUUUAAACUAGUAUAAACUAGGUUUAAGGGUUUAGGGUUUAGUUUAAACUUGUUUAAACUAGUUUAAACUAGGUUUGGGGUUACUUUAAACUAGGUUUAGGGUUUAAGGUUUAGGGUUUAGUUUACACUAGUUUAAACUAGGUUUAGGGUUUAGUUUAAACUAGUUUAAACUAGGUUUAGGGUUUAGGGUUUAUACUAGUUAAACUAGUUUAGGGAGUUUAGGGUUUAGGGUUUAUACUAGUUAAACUAGUUUAGGGUUUAGGGUUUAUACUAGCUAAACUAGUUUAGGGAUUUUAGAGUUUAGGAUUUAUACUAGUUAAACUAGUUUAAACUAGGUUUAAACCUAGAAACUUGCUAAGAUAGAAUAUUACUUGCAAUGUGGGUUGCUGUGGCACGGGGGAAGGCUCGGUGGGUCGACAGUGACCGGCGGCGGCGACGUCGGCUAGGGCGGCGGCGACUGGCGGCGGCGAUGACGGGGUGCGACUAUUGGUUGGAGCGGGAUGGGCAGAGAGGGAGAGAGAGACAGAGAGAUAAGAGAGAAAGAGAGCGAAGAGUGAGGGAGAGGUGUUGGGGCUUCGGGUGUACCUAGGUAAGACGGUGAAUUGUUCACCGUCUUCAUAAAAAACAGUGGAGACGGUGAACGAUUCACCGUCUUACCUUGGCCCACCUCCUGGGGGUUACCAAUAAAGACGGUGAAUAGUUCACCGUCUUUACUGCAGCACAAAUAAGACGAUGNUGAACGAUUCACCGUCUUACCUUGGCCCACCUCCUGGGGGUUACCAAUAAAGACGGUGAAUAGUUCACCGUCUUUACUGCAGCACAAAUAAGACGAUGAACUAUUCACCGUCUUAUCUGUGUUUUAUGUCUCCAGGACUUGGCCAAAGUUGGGGGGUGUGGGGGGAUAAUGUACCGUCUUAGGUAAGACGGUGAACUGUUUACCGUCUUAUUGAAGGGGGGGUGAAUUCGCUCUAAAGACGGUGAAUAGUUCACCAUCUCAUGAAGGCGGUGAACCAUCCACCGUCUUCGUGAGAAAUGCGCAUAGACGGUGAACGAUUCACCGUCUUUACGAGAAAAAUCCGAGCUGGCGCCGACGUGGCGAAAGGAGGGUUAGUUUUACAAAUAAAAUUUUCAGAGGGUUAUUUGGCCAAAUAUAAAAUUCUAUAGGGUCAGUUUCAAAAAAAGUCC
rnacentral:lncRNA from 1 species